rnacentral:lncRNA from 1 species
ACAUUAUAUGAAGAAGAAAGAGGUAAAUUUGGGCCACCAGAACCAGGCAUGUGGUUAUUUGACAUCGCAAAAUUUCACUGAAAAUCAUGGGGAAUAGGUGGUCCCUGAGGCAUACUAUGCAUUCCUACUACAGGUCUACUAGUAACCUGUUGCAUAGGUUGAGGAAAUUGGAUUUGAGAAGGUUGUGACAUCGCAACAUUUGCAUGUCCAAGUGGUAAAAAUUGUUGAGAUGACCCAGAACCAUAAGGUUGUGCCUGCUGGGCUAGAAGCAUAGGCUGGAACUGCUAAAGAUGUGGGGAAAAUAGUUAUCAUAAUGUCUCUACAUUCAAAAGUCAUUUAUCCCUCCCCCAAGCCUCCAUAACUUUACCUACAGUGACAUGGAUGGAAUAGCACCAGGAGCAGGACUAGCCAGAGGAGGUAUAGGAGGCUUCUUAACUAAUAUCCAUGCAAGGAAGAACAGACGAAAUCAGAAUAUAGCUACUUUUCAAUCAUAUUUAGUUAAUUUUCCAAUCAAUGUUGAAAGCUUGUAUCCAUGCACAACUCCCUAAAUUAAUUUAAAGGACAAGGCAAGAAUUUUGAAGCUAAACCACAUAGUAACAUGAAGCCCUUUUCUUCAUCUAAUAAAUAGAAAGCUUGAAACGAGAAUAAAGAGAGAUAGGAAAUAGAUGACCUAUCACAACGUUAGACUAGAAUGGACAAAAUGAUAAGCAUCUUUACCUUAUGGCUUGGGUUCAACAGCUACUGAUGGCCUAAGUAUCUUUUCUUCGGGUGUAAAGAAGCACGUCUGUUAAUGCAAAACUAUGAUCAUUGAACUGAAACAUGAGGUAUGAGUAGGUAUUAGGAUAACCAAAAAAUACUGAGACUGGAAUGGGUUGAGCCUCAAUCUUCCCUUCUGAUGUUCUAUGUGAUACUGACAUCACUACUAGAAUCUGAAAGCCUGACUUGGUUAUUCUCUCUAUCAUCUCUCCCUUAGCUUUAAGCCAUCAAAUUAAGUUUGGGAGAUCCCUUACUAGACUCUAAACUAAAGUACACUCACUGUACUCUGGGGUCUGGAAAACUACUAUACACGCAUAUCAUGGCACUUAACCCUAAUGACUACACCUGAAAUUGGAAAACCCACUAUUAAUACUACCUUCUGAGAUACACUUUAUCAUUCUAUAGACCCAGUAGUCAUCAUAUAAUACUUGCAUACUUACUAACUUCGGGUCUUCAUGGGUAUCCCCAUAGUCGAAGUGCACACCCUCUAGUGCUUUAACUCUUAUUUCUAUUAGUUAAGCCUUUAAAAACUCAAACUUAGAAUCUAGCACUCAACAUGGAUAUAACCAAGCCUUCAAUGAAUCAUACCACUUCCUACAUAGCCUACCAAUAUUGCGACUCUAAACUUACAUCUCUCUACUAUAAGAAUCAAGAUCAUAUAAAAGGGCUCAACACUAUUAAUCAAAACUCCUUAAUUUGGCUAUUCAGAACACCAUAUACCAUCUAACUAGUCUUUCUCCACCUAGCAACUCAACGGUACCACUUGUCACACAAAACAUGUAAUAGUCUUAGAAAAUACCGCAACCUCAGAUCACCUUGGGCAUACUUCUACAUUAUAUAUGCAACAUCAUACUUCACUGCGAAUCAAAUAAACUUAAGCUCUUGCAUAUAUCAUUCAAGCCUAUUAGAUUACUUCCAUAAAACUAGUAUCAGUAACCAAGAAAUCAUCACAUCCACCUUCAUGGACAUCAAUUGUUCAAAACUUAAUGUCUAGUGCUAAACAUGAUGUUACAACCCAACCUUACGUAUGAUUCUCACUUGGAUACCAUGAAAUUGACAUCAAGAAACACUAGUACACUAGAACUUCCAAACAACAAAUAAUUGAUCUUGAUCUUACGGUCUUCCUUAUCAUAACUCAUUAGCACGGACUAUUUUAACACAUCAAGCCUACUAAUUUUUUCCCACAAAACAUAGAUCAUUAAUCUCAUGCCACUAUUUUUACCACCACAUUGUACAUUAAAUUCAAGAAUAUAGUCUUGUACCAAUCAUCUAUCACUACUAAAAAAUGCAACAUAACAUGCUAGUUCAUAAAAUUUGGGACAUACUAUACAAGCGCCUCAAAAAUCACUACUUACCUUCUCACAAGUAGUACUAGUUUACAAUAGAAGGUCAAGGGGUAAAGUUACAUAAUAAACAUUAUCAACCUUAAUCUUAUAUUAUAACCCCAUACAAUCUUUUCUACUUAUACGGAUUUCUCUCCGCAUACUUACUUACCCAAACAUACAUUUAGAGUACCUACAAAUUCCACAACAACCAUGAGUCUAUACUUACAACUUACUGGCUAAUAUAGCCAUUUUCAUACUUCAAGCAAUCGAGAAAUCAACCUAACUAACAACUCCCUCUCUAUCUUCUACUAAACUAACACACAAGGACAAAUCACCUUUCUACCAACUCAAUCUUAUGCAAACAGAUUCAGCUAUAUAUAUAUAUAUAUAUAUAUAUAUAUAUAUAUAUAUAUAUAUAUAAAAAAAACAAAAAAAANNNNNNNNNNNNNNNNNNNNNNNNNNNNNNNNNNNNNNNNNNNNNNNNNNNNNNNNNNNNNNNNNNNNNNNNNNNNNNNNNNNNNNNNNNNNNNNNNNNNNNNNNNNNNNNNNNNNNNNNNNNNNNNNNNNNNNNNNNNNNNNNNNNNAAGUCAACUAUGCUAGUGAAUCGAAAGAGCCCCACAGGGCUUCACUAGACUUUAUUUUUUUCAACAACACCUUGAUUACAAGAUUACAUAAGAUAGAAAUUUAAUAUGCAAUAUCCAAUGAACUAGGAAUACACAUCUUUCUCUGUAUAAAUAAAAUUAGAGUCAAACAAUUCCUCCACGGACUACCAUACCUUCCACACAUGCUACUAGUUACCACAUUAGUCUAUCACCAUAAGGGGUAAAUCAUUCUCAAACAUCGUUUAUUCAACUAAAAUAUUCAUUUACAUAAAAGUCACCCUCGCUCUGACUUCUAACUUUGUGACUUCACAUCACCAACUUCUUGGUCUAAUUUCACUACCAAUAGGUCAUGACAACAACACUUUAACGCAUACUACUAUUUAGGUGGAAAUAUAGUUCCAACAUUCUACUACACACCAUCCCACCCCUUAAGCAAGACAUUUGUAACAUAAAUUUGAAGGGGACUAAAUGCAAUUAAUACCUCAAACUGAAAAGCACGAUUCCAUCAGGAUCAAUGUUUACAUCAGAAUCAAUACACAUUGAAGCAAUCAACUAAUUAAUUUCAAUUAAUUAGAAUCAAUUUUAUGAUCAUAAUAUAUAGACUCAAGUUCCUUAAAUUUAAUGUUGUAUGUAAAUUUUAAAAUAUAUUUAUAGCUAAAGUAGUAGUCAAUGUUCGUUGUUUUUUACCAAUAUAUGCAUAUCAAUUACGAAUCUUUCCAUAUAUAUAUUUUUUAUUAAAGUAAUUGUCAGUAUUAACUAAUUUCUAGUUCAAUUUAGUCUAAUUAAUUUGAUAGCAAUAAAAUUAUUAUUAAUAUUAUAUAUUUAUUUACCAUAAAUCUGGCCUAAUUUUAUAGCUUGAUUAUAUUUAAUUAAUCUACAAUUGUAUAAAGGGCUCAAAUACGAAAAUAAUUGAUAUUAAUUACAUGUUUUUAUAGAUUGAUUACAUUAAAUUGAUAUCAAUUACCUUUUUAAUUUUGGAAAGAAUUUUAAAAAGGUAACAAUUAUUUAUUUUUCUAAUUACUAAUUUAGUUUUCAAAUAUUUCUUAUAAAUUUAUAAUUUAAUUAUAGUCAAUUAAUUAUUAUUAUAUUUAUAAUUUGCUAAACACUCAAAUAAGGUAACAAUUUUCUUUUUUCCUAAUUACGGAUUUUCUUAUAUUCAUUCAUUUAUUUGUUUACAAAAAUAGGUCAAACUUAAUUAUUUUGAGGGAUGACACCUUUUUUUAAUAUUUUUUACUCAGAAUGAUUACAAUAUUUUUUUAUAUAAAUUGAUCAGUUACUAUUUAUUAAUUGGUUAUUCUCUUAAAUAAUUUUUUCUUGUAAUAUUUCUUUUAGUCAAUUGUAAUUAAAUCAAUAAUAUUUAUUUUCUUAUAAUACUAUUAUUAAAAACAUUUGAAAUGUAAUUUAUUAAAUAUGAAAUAUGAAAUAAUAUUAAAUAUUUAAAUAAUCAACAAAAUAGUUUUUUGUUAUGAAAUGAUGGUUUUUUGUUGUAAAAAUUCAAAUAGGUAGUUCUCAAUAUGACACUUGUCUUAGUUUUAGGCUAGACUAUCCUCCUUUAUUAUAUAGAUAGAUAAUUUCAACAAAAUUAAUUAGAGUAUUUUCUUAUAAAAUUUUAUAAAAAUAAUAUAAAAUAUGGCAUAUUAAUAAUAUUUGCAUUAAUUAUUCUUCUAUUUUCUUACGCAGUAUUUGAUUCUACGUAUUAAAAAUAACAUUGAAUCAAUGGUGAAAGUGGAGGGACUUCUUUCUUUAUUGGGGUUUUUCUUUUUGGGAAAGCUAACACUUUCUUGACUACCAACCACCCAACACAAAGCUGACACUUCUUGGUAGAUUGGCUAUUUUUUCAUACGGUACUAAUUUAUAUACAUUUUCUUUGAUAUUUGUUAUAUUGUUAGUUUUAUUUUGCAUAUUGUAUUAGUUUAAAUGCAUUUAUCUUUUAUGUUUGGUAUAUUAUUAUGAUCCUAAGCUGGGAGUCUAUCAGAACAUCCUCUCUACUUCACCUGAGUAGUGAUAUGAUCUGCAUACACUAACCUCCCUAGACCUCACUAUGUGGGAAUACACUGGGUGUUGUUGUUGUUGUUGUUCUUUCUUACACAGUAUUUGAUUCAACGUAUUAAAAAUAACAUUUAUUACAUAAUUUUUUUUUUACAUAAUACCCCCACUUUAAGCAUGUUAAUGCAUGCAUUAGAUCCAUUGCAUUACUAAUGUCAUAAAUUUUGAGGUAUUAGUAAUACACACCUCAAUAUACAACAGAGUAUAUAACUAAUUUUUGCAUUAGUUAUACAUAAGAUAAAAAGAUAUAUAUCAAACAAGGGACUACUAAUAGACAUUAAAUUAAUGGAUGCAUUAGUUUUUACGUAAAACAUUCCAUGCUUUAUCACAGAUUUGGUUAUUAUUCCAUGUCUUGAGCUGGGAGUCUAUCAUAAACCACCUUUCUACUUCUCCGGAGGUAGUGAUAUGGACUACGUACAUCUUACCCUCUCCAAACCCCACUAUGUGGAAAUACACUAAAUUUAUUGUUGUUGUUGUUAUUAAUUUUUUAAUACACUCUAUCAAAAGACUCCAUGCUUCUCAUUUAAUAAUACCUUUAGCUCCUCUUUAAUUAUGAUAAUUGCUCUCUGACUCCACCUUGCUUUUUUAAAAUAUACAUAAAUAACAAUGAAUUUAAUUUUGCUCAUUACUCUACUAAUUGUAGUAAUGUUAGGUGAAUUCAUCAACUUAAAAUUAGAGUACAUUCACUUAAGCUACAUGUUAUAGCUAUAGCUCAAAAAAGGAAUUAUACGUUUGACAUAAUACAUAAAUGUGUUUUCAACUUGACAUCAUCAGUAAAUAUUUAUAUAUUUUAAUUUUGAGUGUUGCACAAAUAAAUACUUAGACUAUCAUAUAAAGUUAAAAUAAAGAUAUAUAUGCUAGUCUUGUAUCGCAAUUUGUCAUGCAAAAUGCAUGCAUCUCAUACAAUUUGUCAAGUAAUUAAAGCAUUUGUGUCUAGGAGAGUGCAUCAGUCGGUUCGGUUGGGUAUUACAUAUUAUCGUUAGAUUUAUCGGUUUUCAAUUUUUAAAUAUGUUAAACCAAUAACCAAACUAAUAAAGUAUUUUUUUCGGUUUUUAGUCCUUAACGAUUCGAUUUUUGGUUUAACCGAUAAGAAAAUGCACAUAAAAUAGAAAUAGAAGUAACUAACAUGUAAAAAAUGAAUGUUAGUUGCAAGAAAAAUCCUACAUGAAGUGUUUAAAUUUACAAAAAUCUUCAAGUUUGAACUAAAUAUUGUUAGGAGAAAUUAAGAGUUUAUAUAAUUGAAAUAAUAGGUUUGUUUAUUUGUAGAAAUAAAAGAUAAAUAUAAUAAUAAGUCAUAUAUAUUCUUAUUGGGUUAUCGGUUUACCCAAUAACCCAAUAAGAAAAAAUCGAACCGAAACAAUAACCCAAUAAUUUUUUGUAACACCCCAUACUUUCAGACUUGAACGUAAAUUGUUAUUCUACUUGUACACAUUCCAAAAACCAUAAAUAUAUUGUGAAUAUAGUGUUUUAAUCAACUAUGUGGUGUAUAAAUCUAGUUGAUCAUGAAUUGAGAUCAUAGAGGUCCCCUAACUCAAGGACGAGUUCAAAGCUUUUCCAUCGAUUGAGUUUUAGUAAGUGUCAAAACUUGGGUCAAUUUCAAUCAGUCAUUAAUCUUUGUAUAUAUUGAAUUAGAGUGCCUACUAUAUAUCAAAUAAAAUCCCUUCGAAUUAUCUUUCCAACGAUAUCAAUUUCGCAAAUAUCCAACACUCAAGGAAGAAGUUAUGACUUUGCAAAGUGGAGUAUGUCAUGCAGCAUAAGGUGUGCGACGCACACCCUAACUUAUUCCAUAAGGUGUGCGACGCACAACCUAAUGUGUGAGAUUAAGAGUGCGCUGCACAACCUAUAUUAUGCGAUAAGGUGUUGUCCGCAUACAUUACUACUCAAGUGACUUAAACACUCCAUUUUUGGGGCAAAAUGGUCCUUUUCCCACCCUUAUUUAGCCAUAAACACGAAAUUCAGUCACUAAAUACCCCAAAAUACACCUUCAUUCAUCAAAAUUGCUCAAGAACUCUCCUUAGCAUUUCAAAAUAAAACUCGGGCAACUUAAAAUUCAACCGUGGGUUUUUGAAACUAAUUGCAUAUUUGGAAUCCCUAAAACGUAGGCUUCAAGAAACACCUAUCAUCUUUGCAUAUAGAGGUACGUGGGGUUAUCCUAAAAUCUCAUGGGCCUUUAAAUUCAUGUUUUAAAAUGGGGGUUUUGAAACUACGAAUAUAAUCAUGUUUUGAACUUUUCUAUAAUAUUGAUUUCGUCUUUAGGCCUAUUUCCGAUGUGAUUUGACAUAUUAUAUAUAUAUGCAUGUGUUUUGAAAAGGUGUUAAUUUGAGAGCAUGAAUUAUAUGGAAUCCCUCUCUUGAUGUGAAUUUGUUUUAAAUGUUCAUAUGGUGUAAAUUGUUUGAAAACAUCUUGAAAAGCAUGACAUAAAAUGUUUUGAGAAUUGAUAUGAUUUUGACUUGAAAACGAGAGGGCUAUUUGUGUUGAAACAUGUUGACUAAAAUGGUUGAAUGAGAAGAAUGAUGUGAUAUUGAUGGCUUACAAGUCGGGUAUGACGAUACCCUAUAGAAUAUGAUAUGUGAUUGAAUCAGAUGAAAUUUGAAUGCAUUGAUUUUACAUGAGAUAAGUGGAUGCUCGACGAAGGCAUUUGAGUGUAAGGGCUCAUCAUUGGAAACCGUGUUUGUCGACAUGGGAAUUUGGUAACCUGCUUUGUGAUCUUGCGUACCUGACUUUAUGUCAUUCCCAAGUUGGGAUAUGGUUAGGAGCCCUGCUUUAUGAUCUUGCGCACUACCAUUGGGUCGAGACACCCUGCUGUGUAAUCUUGUGUAUCUUUCCCUCACUUAUACUCUAAUUUCAGCGGCAACCGAGGUUUGACAGUUGGUGUAAAUAUGAUAUGUAGGGUAUUCUACCUAGCUCAACUGUAUUACAUUGUUGUUGAAAACAAUUACAUUACGCCAAUGUGUUUUCAAAUGAUUUGAUAUGAAACUGCUUUAUAAUGGCUCUCAACUAUAUUUUUUUAAAAUGUUAUGUUUUGUUUUGAUAUCUCUGUGUACCAGUACUUUUAUAUUGACCCCCUUCCCUUCCAGGUUUGGAGGCACAGUCUAGCUGUCCAGAAAAUUAGUAGAUUCCUCAGACAGAUUUGUAGAGUCACUUGUGAGCCUUCUAUAUUUCGGAAGGCCUGAUAUCUGGCAGUUUCAUUUAUCAUUUAUUAGUUUUGGAUCUACUGGGGGAAUUGUCCCAGUUUUCAGAGAGAUAUUUAUUUCAACCAUGUAGUAGAGAUUUCGCAGACGUUAUAGAGAUGUCGUGUUGAGAUUGUGGGACAUUAUUCCCAGUUAUUGAUUUCAUAAGAUUCUUGACCAUGUUUUCGUAAUAUUGUUUAUCUUCCGUAUUUCUUUUAUGAUAUGAGUUAUGUGCAUGAUUAUCAGACAAAUAGGGGUGUUUUGGGCCUUCAUGGUUCGGAAUGAUCGUCAUGGCCAGGGCCCCGAUUCGGGUCGCGAAAAACUUUGUAUCAGAGCACGGUUCAUGGUCCCAGGGUGUCUGCAAAAUCAUGUCAGGUAGAGUCUUAUUUAUGGGUGUGUAGCGCGCCACACUUAUAAGCAGGAGGCUACUUAGCGUUUAGGAAUGUCUCUCUUUCUUCAUGUUCCAGUUCGUGCAAUAGAGUCAAAAUGUUCCUCUUUCAUACUGUCAUUCAUGCUAUGGUGUCACCCAUAUGAAGGUAAAUUCAUCCCAAAUUCUUUCCUUACUCAGAUGUUCUCAGACAUGUCCCAUUAUUGGGGUGAUUCAAGUGCAAAAAGCUUAUAAUCUCUAUGAUAUAGUCUUUUUCGAUUAUGUCAUAUAAGAAAAAAAAAUUGUGCAAAGACUCGAGAGGAGUUUGUUGGUGCUUCAAUAUGUGUUGAUUCUGAUGUAAACAUUAAUCCUGAUGGAAUCAUGCUUUCCAGCUUAAGGUAUUAAGUGCAUCUAGUCCCUCCGAAAAAUCUUGAUACAGAUGUGGAUGGUGUAUAGCAGAAUGUUGGAACUGUAUUUCCACCAGAAUAGUAGCAUAAGUUAAAGUGUUGUUGUCAUGACCUAUCGGUAAUGAAAUUAGACCAAGAAGUUAGUGAUGUGAAUUCACAAAGUUAGAAGUCAGAGUGAGGGUGAUUUUUGGUGUAAAUGAAUAUUUCAGUUGAAUAACCGAUAUUUGAGGAUGAUUUACCCCUUUAUAGUGAUAAACUAAUGUGGUAGCUAGUAGCACAUGUGGAUGGUAUGGUAGUCCAUGGGGGAAGUAUUUUACUCAGAUUUUAAUUUAUACAAAGUAAGAUGUGUAUUCUUAGACCAUUAAAUAUUGUGUCAAAUUCCUAUCUCUUGUAAUAUGUAAUCUUCUUAUCAUGGUAUUUUUGAAAAAAAAAAAUUAAAGUAUAGUGAAGCCGUGUGGGGCUCUAUCGAUUCACUAGCAUAGUUGCCUUGUCAUCCAUCUCAUUUUCUUGUUCAAAAUACAAAACCAAAUUCUAGUGAAGCCGUGUGAGGCCUAUUUCGAUUCACUAGCAACUUGUUGUCCAGCUUGUUGUUCUUUUGUUGGUUUAAUAUAUGUAUGGCUGAAUCUGCUUGCAUGAGAUGGAGUUGGUAAAGAGGUAAUUUAUCCUUGUGAGUUAGUUUAGUAUAAGGUAGAGAAGGAGUUGUUAGUCAGGGUGAUUUGUUGGUUGCUUGAAUGUGAAAAAUGGCUAUAUUAGCGAGUAAGUUAUGAUUAUAGACUCAUGGUUGUUUGAGGAAUUUGAAGACAGUCUAAAUGUAUGCUUGAGUAAGUAAGUAUGAGGUGAGAAAUCCUCAUAAGUAGAUAAGAUCGUAUGGGGUUAUAAUAUCAGAUUAAGGUUGAUCAUGUCUAUUAUGUGACCUUACCCCUUGACUUUUUUCUAUGAGAAGGUAUGUAGCAAAUUAUGAGGUAUUUGGAUAGUACUACAUGAUUGGCACAGAUUUUUUGAAGUUUUGCAGGAGUUCUCGAAACUAUUUUCUAAAAAAUUAAGAGAUUUAGCAGCAUACUUCAACAGAACCGUGAAACAAUCACAAAUGCCAGAUAUUAAAAAACUAUAACAAUCGAAACUAACUGCUAGAGCUAUUAAACGCCCAGUGUUGGAACAACUAAUAAUUGACAUCAACCAAUUUCUAGAGGAAUAAGUUCAACAUUAAAAAUCACUUAGAAAAAUGGUAAUUCAUGCUAAUACUAUAAAGAAAUAGCCUACCUAAAUGUUGAGGAAUAUAAAACAACAAAUCAUUCAACACAGCUAUUAUUUUAAGGUACAUUCUAGAACUAUGUGAAUUACUGAGUUUAGAAUAUUGAAAGAGUUGGUCCUUGAAAAUAAUAUCAAUUAUCAUUCUCCAAUGGUCCUUGCAAUCAUGUUACAAAUUCUAGAUCAAUAAAAGCAAAAGAAGCUACUUGCCUAUCUCCGAAGAGAGAUUUGCAGUCCCCCCAUUUCGAUAAUGCAAUAAUUUUCUACAACCACAGCAAACAAAUAGAUUAUGGUUUAAAGGAAAUAUCAUGGGAUCCCAUCCAUUGCAAUGUGAGAGAUUGUAAACUGUUUAAAAUACCUUUGAUGCAUGAAGAAGUUCAUAGAACUCAUCUGCUAGACGUUUACGCUUUUUAGCUUCUUUUUCUUCUUUCUCCCUAGCCCUUUCCAGUAACUCCUCAAAGACAAACUAUGCAGAUGAAAUAUGCACAUUCAAUACUCAAUGACCUGGCAAGCCCUACCGCGUAGAAAUAAUGUUUAGAAAGGAAGUAUGGAAUAAAAUUAAGUAUAAUCCAUGUAUGUCCUCUUACUCCUUCGUUUGGAAGGCAAGGGGAAUAUAAUUUAAGAGUAUUAUUACCAUCUUUUGAAGUAACUCCUCACGUUAUAAUCUUUGAUAAAAUGCUUUACAAAAGUUUUGAGCUAUUGAAAGUAAACUAAAAGCCUUAAGAGACCCAACCAUCUAAGCAUAAUUCUUCGACAAGAUACCCCUUGCAAUUCCCUCUUCCCACAUACAUAGAUUAUACGCCAUGACCAUAAAUAACCUCCAAAAUCCAAAUGAUAUAUGAAGAAUAUCCUCAUUACAAAAAUAGCAAAUGAUUGUUGAUAUCAUCCAGUUAUGCUGUUAAACCAGUUUCGUAGAGUAAAACUCUUAUCCACUAACCGUAAAAAGAGAAAACUACAAGGCAUAGUGCUUUGACUUAAGUAACUUAAGAUAUGUGCGGUAGGUUUAAUAUUAAACACCGUCGUCCAGGAAAUAAAAACUAAGGAAAAUGGUACCAAAACUGAAGAAUUGGAAGCAAAAGCUAACACCAAAUAUUUGAUCAAUGUGGUCCUCGUCUUUAUUCUUGAAGGUUUUAGGCUUACUUGUUAACUGACACACUGCUCUUCUAUUAACUCCAUUACAAGAAGAUCCAAAUUUAAUGUGGGAUAGGUUAUGGUUAAUACUAAAGAAAAAUGCCACUAACCACAGUUGACUACCUAUGAGUUGCCAAUUUAGCAAUCACAAACUGACCAAUUUCCAGUGAAACAUAACAUGGAAGUACUACUAAUGCUUUUGCACUCAAUCCACUCAUCUUAUGCAGGACCUGUCCCAAAGACAAAAAGGGGACAAAUACAUAGAAAUCCAUUUUGUGAAUGGGGUACUUCAAUUUUCACAACAUUCAACUCAACAUUGGUCGAUGUGAAACAGUAUCCAGUGCUUAGCCAUAAUUUGACUUUUAAGUUGGUAUCUGACAUUGGUGGAGAGCUAAUAUACUUGGCGAUUGCAACCUUAAAAUCAUCAAGCGUCCAGGCUGAUGUCAAUCCAAUCUGAAAGUAGAGACGGCUCAGCCAAAAUAUUAGGUACUAAUCGAAGCACAACAGAGGUUAAAAUGGAGAGUGGUGAUUACCUCGGCCAUCCUAACUGAAUCUUUAAUUUGUGACUUGUCAUCAAGAUACUGAAGCAACAUACAAGUAACACAAAUUCAGAAUGCUUAUCAGUAAAAAAAAUAGGAUACCAAAUGGAGCCUUGUCCAUGCAUUUGAGUUCCAUAAAGUCUAUAAAUUACAAGCAGUGUGAUGGGGAUGAAAUUUCUUUCAUGAAUACCAACAUUUCUCCACUUGUUCAAAGUCAUCUACAAUAUCACAAGNNNNNNNNNNNNNNNNNNNNNNNNNNNNNNNNNNNNNNNNNNNNNNNNNNNNNNNNNNNNNNNNNNNNNNNNNNNNNNNNNNNNNNNNNNNNNNAAAAAAGUGAAUAAAUAAAAAUGGAUAGCAUCUCUGUUAACAGCGCUUUCGUUAUAUUUACUUAAUAAGAAUCAUUUAUGCAUACAAACAGUAAUACAAACUUUAAAGAUAGAAGUUGACAUCUUUAUUUUACAAGGGAAAAAGAAAAGAUUUUCAGCAUCGGAGUUUAUGUAUAACUCUCACUAUCCCAUAGCAAGAGCCUAACUCAAGAAAACAUUACCAAAUUCAAUCAUUGAAUAAGAGUACGAACAGGAUCAUUACCAUGCUAGGAUAGCAGGUAAACGCCCUCUUUCAUCAAGAAUGGAGAUAAAUGCUAAUAACAUUUGAUCAUUCAACUUCAAUUCUUUUCAGAAAGGGCAGAGGAUGAAACAAUAUAUCGUUUAGUUAGUCGCAAGUGUGCAUUACGGCGAAAAAAAUCACAGUGAGGGAGAUGCAACUUUAUUUAGAGAAACAAAGAUUCUCUCAGGCACUUUUUCCAAGGCUAAUCUUUUCUAAGCCUUUACUUUCAUUACAUCUCAACUACCUCUUCAGAGGCGAAUUCUGGCACUAAGUUUAUUUAGUCCAAUUUAUAUGGUUGACAACACAAUAUAUUUUGAAUUGGGUUUUAAGUUGCACGAUAUCAUCCGAAGUGAAAUCAAAAUUGGGGUGUGGUACAAAAGGACAAAACAUGGUCGAAACUUGACCAGACAAACUACUUUCAGGUCUCAUUUAUUUGCACUUAUUGGAUUUAUGAACCUGUUCAAACCUCAAACCAUUAAGUGCACUUGUUUUUAUUAGGAUUUUAGCUCUUAAUAGGCCUGAGUAGGUCUUAAUCAUUCAGAUGUGGAACCAAGACUAAAUAUCAUUUACAGAUAUUCUUGGGUAGGAAAAAAUUCACCACCACUCUAUCCACAAUCACCUGUCACCACCACCAACCACUUCCACCAUCACAACCAACAUCACUACCAACUACACUGCUAGCCGCUACCACACCUACCACUUCCAUUAUUCUAAUUAUAUCCACCGCCAACUAGGGGUGUUCACGGUUUGGUUUUUAACCAAACUGAACCGCGAUCCAAACCAAAUUGAUUAAGAAAACCUAUAUUUGGUUAGGUUUGGUUUGGAUUUGAAUUUUAAAAAAUCGAUACUAAUUUGGUUUAGUUUGGUUUGGUUUUACUCUAAAAUAACCAAACCGAACCGAUAUACAUAGAUAUUAUAAUUAUUUAUAUGUUUUUCAUAAAUGUAAUCUAAAUAUUUGUUGCAUUUUAUAUUUUAAUCAUGAUUUAACUUUAGUCGUAACACAUUCAUUCAUAUGUCUUCAUCUAGUUGACAAUACAUUAUGAAAUUCUAAAUGAAUUUCAUAUUUUGAAUGACAAAUGAUACUAAUUGUGAAAAUAAUAUCUUGUUAUAUAUUGAAAUUUACUGCUGAAAUUCAUUAGAUUAUACACAAUCACUAAUUUUAACUUUCUUUUGAACCUUGUUGAGCAAGAAGUUUAUGUGUUCACCUUUUGGGGGUAUAUCAUAUCAUUCUAUUAAAUAUAGUUUUUAAAUAUUUUUCUAAAAGCGUUCAUAUGGUGUUAUCAUGGCUUUGCCGAAGUAUAACACUCAAUUGACAUCAUAGUUUCAAGAUUGAGCUACAACACUCGGUUGACAUCUCAUAUGUUAGAUUGGAUUUGUUUUUUUAAAAUUUUCAACUUUUAUCAUUAACUAAAGUUAUAAACCAAAAAACCCGAAUCAAACCGAACUAAACCAACAAGAACCAAACCGAUGGUUAUUUUUUUUUUUUUGGUUUGGUUUGGUUUUAGAAAUUUAAAAACCAAUUAAGUUGGUUUGGUUAUGGUUUUGACCAAUAACCGACCCAUAUCGACCCAUAAAUACCCCUACCGCCAACGCCGCCACCAUCAACUCCUACCAGUCGACCCCUACUACCAACCAACUCAUCUAUCAGAACUAGCACUACCACUAAUAACCACCAACACAUCAUCAACUUCCACACAUCGCUAACAACCACUAACACAUCAUCAACUUCCACACAUUCUGCGAACACCAUCACCACCACUGUCACCAGCAUCACCACCUCUACCACCACCAUCCGCUACACUCGCUACAGUAUCUAUACUAACAACCAUUCCACCAUCACAGCUAACAGCGUCUCCAACGACCACCAACACAUCAUCAACCAUCAUGCAUACAGUUUUCCGUCACCACGAUCAACACCUCCAACUACUAACAUUAACCAACUUCACAUCACAACCACCACCACCACUACCAAUCGCCAAUAUCAUGAUAGUUACUACAAUGCCAACUAUCUCUACUAUCACAACUAUCAACACCAACGUUGCUAAUCACUAACAUCAAUUAAUUUAUUAGAACAACCACCACCAUUAAAAACCAUCUCCACUAUCACUAACAAACAUAAAUGUUUCUUUUUUUCAUCAAAUAAUAAUAUAAUUGCAUUAAAUUUAAAAAAAUUCUAAUAUAUAAUUAUAUUAUAUUUAGAAAUAAAUAAAUUUUGCACAUUCAGAUAUUGAGAAACACUCAACCUUAAUCAUUUAGUUUUCAGAUCUAGAGACAAUAUCUUAAUCAUUCAGAUGUACAUUCAAAAUUAUUCAAAUAUCUGAAUAUUAAUAAAAACAAAUGCAGUCUUAGCUGAAACACAAUGGUGUGGUUGUGUGAUACUUUAAAGGAGUCCUCGAAAGUCAAAGAAACUACGUGAAAACAUGGAAGUUUGAUGAUCACUUCUCAGAGUUGUUCUGAUCGAGAAACUAUAACAAUUAAGGAAAUAUAACCAUUAACAGCAUUCAAUGGAGGAGAAGUCAAUUACAAUUAUCCGUGAAGUAGAAUUUAAUACAGCUUGACUAUAUUGAAAGAAUCAUCUAUAUCUAUACUACAUUAAAAGCAUGGAACCCCUAACUUAAAAGUUUACGACAAUACCAUUCCUGUCAGCCUAAUUACCUACUAUCUAGUAAAAAAAAAAGAGGAAACUAAUUGGCAUAAAGAGAAACAAUGCAGAUGUUUAAUAGGAACAACCGGUCAUUGUUUUUAUCUGAACAAAAUAUGUGUUAUUUAAAAAAAAAAAAAGCAAGUAGAGGGGUAACUCUCAAAUCUCAAUCUCAUGCUUUUAUCCUACCAAGUAUGUUCUAUUUUUUAAUGCACUACAACAACAACAACAAACCCAGUAUAUUCCCACAUAGUAAUGCACUAACUUCCCUUUUUACCUAAUGAAUUGAACUUUUUAGUGAGAAUCUAAAUGAUUUUCAAACUUUGUUUAACAUCUGAUUCAUUAAGAUGUAUUAACAGGUUGAGUCUUUAAAAAAAACACUUAAUGGGUUGAUAUCUUAACCAUUCAAAUUCAGACCUUCAUUAAGUGAAAGCAAAUGAAAAGGGAUUGUAGUGUAAAGUCUAUAAAUAUGGCUUAGUGUAACAAAUGCAGUUGACACAAUUCAAUACUCCUAUUAGCAACCUAUUUCACCUGUUUCUCCAGCUCAUCCAUAACAUCUGUAAAUAAGUCUUUUGUUGUUGAUCCUGAAGUAUUUGAUGAGACAGCUAGAUAUGCAGCAAAAUCUUUAAUCUACAAACACAAAAUAAAGAAGGAAAUUAUUGGAAAAAAAAUUUAAAAAGACGAAAAGGGAACUCAUGAAGGUAAUCACUUACUGAACACAAGAAAGAAAAACUAACUUUGAUGCAAUAAUCACGCCAGUUAAUUUUUGCAUUAAGUAUUCCCGCAGGAACAUGCUCUUCCAUCAGUUUUUGAAACUCAUCACGAUUUUUACGUUCAGCUUUCCUCAAUUUUUCCUAUAUGAAUCAACAGUGUAUGCCCGGUGAGAAAGAGAUAAAUCAAAGUCUCCAAACAUAAAUUUAAUUUUAACCCCCGAGUCUAACAAGCAAUAUACCAUCCGCCAUUUCCUUUGCUCCUCCUCUUCGCUCUCUAAAUCACGUAUGUAUUCCUAAAACAGAAAAGGUUGCAACAUAACUUUAAAACUGAGGCGUACAAAUGAGAUGUUUGGAGAAAGUUAUUUAUGAUGUAUUAGAAAAAUGAGUAGUACCUGGAAAAUCUCCAAGCGUUCGAUUCUCUCAAGGCGGGAGCAUCUUUCAUCAGUUUCAAAGCAGUCCUGAACUUUCCGCCACUGGCUACUGGCCUGAACAAAAGAAGUCAGCAACAAUAGAACUAUGAAAGUUCUAUCUCCUGGAAAUAGAAAAAAAUAAUCUAGGAACUAAUGCUAAAUCCACUAGAACAAAUACCAUAAUAAAGUCACAAGAUUUUAAAAAUUCUAAGUACUCCACUCUAUUGCACUUCUGCUCCUCUAAUGCCUUCGCAUGCUCCUAAUAAAAUCCAGUACAAAGUAAAAAAAAAAAAAAAUUUCUCUAUAAAGAAGACAAUAUUUAAAAAGUGACUUUGACUACACUUGCAUGAAUGUAUUGAAAAACUUUUUCUAUUUUACGACGGAGGGGGGAGAGGAAGAAGCAUACCAUAGUUUCAAGUUUCAAGAAAAAUUACAUACAAUACAUGGAAGUCUGUUUAAAUUGGAAUUCAAUGGUGAACAAAUUUAAAUGUUAUACCUUUGAGAAGCCAUUAAAAAUGUAUUCAAAGAACACAAGAUUUUAAGUUGAAUAUCUACAACAUUCCUUCUUUCUACUCUUUAAGCAAAACAAAAAAAGGGAACAAACUAAAUGACAUCCUAUAAAGGAAAGGAGUGGAAUGACUGUUGUUAAUCAAGUGGACCAGCGUCUAACUCAACUUUAAAAACUAGGUCAGGUGGUGAAGAUUGUCCAAGAUCAUAUAAGGAAACUACAGUACAUACACCUUACUAGUGUGGGAUUCUCAUACAUUAAUCCCACACCAUGACUAGACAUUUGUAGCAUCAGUUAACCUAGGUUGGCUAACAUCUAAUAGUCUAACAUUAAUAUAGAUCUACCUCUAAUACCAUGUUUAAGAAAUUGGACCUUGUUUCUAUCUCAAAUGAAAGGCUAACUUAAUUUGUGAGGAGCCAAAGACCAUAUAAGGAAACUACAGUCCGCACACUUAGUUUUUAACAUAUAGAAGCUUACAAGAAAGUUCUGCAAAAGGAGCUUCACCUUUUUCUCAAGUUCCUCCACAUAAUCUUCAAAAAGGUCCUCACGGUCUUUAGCUUGCUCAACAGCUUUAAAACGUUCAUCAUGUUCGAAUAUAGAGAUUGCCUUACUGAAUAAUCAAUAGCAAAUAGUUAGUGGAUCAAAUGGAACUUACACAAGUAAUGGAUCAACUUCAAGGUACCAAACACAUACAAACAAUGACCAAGAUUAGAAAACAAGAAGCAGACAACUUAACAUUACAAGUGAAAGACAAACCUCCAUCUUGACGAUGGUGAUAGCUCCUUGCAAUCCUGUAAGAUUGAGAACAACGGACAUUGUUGUGAAAAAUACCACUUAUUCUUUUGAACAGGUCAAAUACCAGUCUCUAACACAUCAUGAAUAUUAUGAUAAUAUCUUUUUAUUUUUGAAACUGGUAAUGUGAAUAUCACGAUAUAUCAAAUGAAAGACACCACAAAAGAAAAUUUCACUUACUUCUAACAUUAUCCUGAAAUCUUCCCAAGCUUUUUUCUGCUUAACACGCCUCUCUUCAGCUUCCAGUGUUUUCUUUUGGCUCAGAUACUGAUACUGGAACAGACACACAACUUCAAAAUGAUCACUAUAGACCUUGGGUGUGUUUGAUAUGAAGGAAAAUGUUUUCCUAGAAAACAAGUUGGUUUCUUACUUGUUUUCUUAUGUUUGGUUGAUGAAAGGAAAACAUUUUUCAGAAAAUGUUUUCUAGUGUUUGGUUGGUGAAUAAAAAAAUAUUUUUCAAAAAAUACAUUUGAGAGUUGUAUAAACAUUUCAACUUAAGAGUGAGAUUGAAAGAGAGUUUUGGAAAAUGUUUUUCCUACUUUUUGAAGGGAAUUAAUUUUCCUUAUAUUUAAGGAAAAUAAGUUGAUUUGGAAAACAUUUUCCAAAAUAUUUAAGUCAACCGAACAUGAAACAAUUGUAUAUCAAACAAAAUCCAUCUUUUUGCAAUACGGUAUGCUGAAACAUUGAAGCAGCAAUUAACCCAUUCCAAUGCCGACAUGGAGAGAUACCUCAUUAAAAGCUUGCUUCCGCUCACAAAGGGAUUUUAGAGCACCAUAUCUCCAGUCAUUAAUUACUGAGCUCAUGCCUUGACAAAUACAAUUCAUGUCAAAUGAUCUCCCUCAAUUGUUUGGUACGCACAAAACAGUCAAGUAAUAAACCUGAUCCCACGUGCAAUCAGACCUAAUAUUUACAGAUUCCGGAAGAGUUUUGAAUGCACUCUUUGCCUCCUAAAUAAAUCAGAUACUUAAAAUAGAAAUAAGAGAAAUUUCGAGAACAUACAUUAAAUGGGACAAAAAGCAAUAAUCAACUAUACCGUUUUGCUCUUAUAAACUAAUGGUCCCAGCUCGACUAUUUUCUCAUCUGAUGGAGUAGCACCUCUAAUUUCAGUUACUGCAGCAUCUUUCUUGACAUUCUGCAUUUUAGGCACAACAUCAAGCGCAAAGGACAAAAGCAAACCUCAUUGGAAUUUCGAGCAUAUUCUUCACCUGUUAGCAGUUGACUAACAACUGCACUACAAAAUUGUUAGAUCAACAUCCAGCAUAACAGCUACGAAAAGCUUUCUUGGUGUUUUAACCAGUAACCAGUAGUAAUUAACUAAUCGCAUAAGUAUUUCAGAAGGACAAAGUACCUCUCCAUUCUUUGAAGAAAAUCCAUCACCAUACACUACUGCAUCUUGAGUUGUAGUAGUCUCAGAACUAUACAAAAAUUGAAUUCCAAAUAAGAAGCAACACAAACCAGAGGAAAAUUUAUAACAUACAAAUCUGAAAACAUACACCGGUGGCGCGACAGAAUUUCCCAAGGUUACUACUAUUCCAAUUUUCUCCGAAUUAGCAACAGCUGGCGAAUCAGGUUCUGAAGAAUUCUUCAUUUCGACAGUUUCAAUCAUUGGAGAAGAAACCUUACCAAAUAAACUUGAUGAUUCUGAAGCCAUAAUAGUUGGUAAGUUAGCAGCUGGUGACACAGCAAUUGGGCUUGAUUUAGCACCGUGUGCCGAGACUAAUGAACCAUCUGCACCCGGGGAUGAUGUUUUAAUAACAGAAAUAGAUCCAAAAUUAGAAGCGUGCGAAAUGGUGUCUUUUCACGAGCCAACUGUGAAUUUAUAAAUAAUUGAACUUUAUGAGAAUAGAGUAUCCAAGAAAACAGAAUAUUGCCCUUUCUUAUCAUGCUAGCAACUGUGAAUGCAUAAAGAUUUUAUGAGAACUAGAGCAUCCAAGAAAACAGAAUAUUUUCCCUUCUUAUCAUGAUAUUUAAAGCACAAAACACGGAAUAUUUUUCCUUCUUAUCAUGCUAUUUAAAGCACAGAACAAUCCCUUCUUAUCAUGCUAUUUAUAGAACGGAACAAACUCAUAUUGGAUAUAAAUAUAACAUCACCUUGACUUCAUCAGGCAUUAACCUUGUUGUAGUAAUACCUACAGAAAACAAACAAAGCAAUCAGCAUUAUGCACAAGUAACACACAAAAGUACCCACUGUAGAAGAACAAUUGGAAAGAGGCCAAGAAAAUAUAUAAGUUACACACUUUCUUCCCUCAGGACUUGUAAAUUCUCUCUAAUGAGUUGAUGCAUUUGUCCUCUGUCCCAAUGAAAAUAGCAUGAAAGUAGGUCAAGUCAAAAAACAGAACAUAAAUAGUACCCUGAGAGUAGAAAUCAGUCACUUCCAGCAGUACAAUACUUGAUGGAAGUGUUAAAAUAUGAAUGAUAUAAUGUCCCACAUGGAAAAGGACUAGAAUGUACUAUGUAGAAUAUAACUACAAGCAGGGUGGAAACAUUGCCAAGCUGCGGCUGAGCUACAGCUAUCCAAGGGUGAUCUUCUGUCGUUUCUGAGUAUUUUUAAUGAACACCCAUGCUACAAAAAACAAGACUGAGUGUGACAGUAAGGGUGUUCAAAUCCUGCACUAAGGUUCUAAGUUCCAUGCUCAACACAGCCCCCCAUAAUUUUUUUUCCAUUUGGACACGUUUGAAACUCAUAAACUACAGUUAUGCUUUUUUUCGAUGAAUCAAUUUCUGAACAUGUGUUUUUUGUCCCAAUUAGCUCUUGCAAAAGAGCUAGUAACUAGCAUGCCAUGUAUAAGAAUUUUGUUUAAAUAAACUUACAGGUAAAUUUAUAAAGUGGUUAUUAUACUAGCUAUCUUGCAUGGGGCAGAGUGUUUGGCUGGUCAAGAGCUCACAUGUUCGAAAGAUAAACGUAGCAGAAAUGAGGAUGUUGAGAUUGGUGUGUGGGCAUACUAGGAGAGAUAGAAUAAGGAACAGAGAUAUGCGAGAAAAAGUGGUAGUGCUCUUUGUGGUGGACAAUUGACAAGAAUACUAGAGGGUUGGGGAUAAAGAACCUAAAAAUUCAACAUAAGGCUCUCAUGAUGAAAUGGUUGUGGAAAUAUGCAAACAAUAACUAGCUGCUAUGGAGGAAAGUGAUUGGGGCUAAACAUCCUGAAGAAGAUAGAUGGAUGACAAAAGAAGUGACCACACCAUAUGGGAUUAGCCUCUAGAGAUCUAUUAGAUCUAUUAGACACUAGUGGAAUGAAGUUAAAAGCAACUCAAAGGUUAAAGUGAUGGAUGGAAACAAGACUAGGUUCUGGAAGGAUAAUUGACAUGAGGAUGGGAAUACGAAAGUGAUUUUUCCAGAUUCUACAACUUGGUAUUGUUUCGAUAGAGGACUAUAGCAGAAUUAUGGACACCACAUGGGUGGAACUUCAAUUUCAGAAGGCAACUUAAUGACCGGGAGGUAAUGAGAGUAGUUGAAUUGUUUAAUACCGUGGACUUAUUCAAUGGACUGCAGACAGUGAAGGACGUACUAUGGUGGAUGGGAAAUGAAAAACGAAUGUUCACUGUCAACAAAGCCUACAAGAUAAUGAACCAAAUAAAUAAAUCACCUGAAUCCAAGAUGGCCAUGGAAGCAAAUAUGGAAAAGUAGGAUACCUCACACAGUGUCGUGCUUUGUCUUUGUCUGGUUACUGACCAAGGAAGUAGUUCUUACACAAGAUAAGGUCAUGAAGAAAGGGAAAACCUUGUGCUCCAGAUGUUUCCCCUGUGGAGAAACUUUAGAGACGGUUAACCAUGUAUUUCUACAUUGUAAGUACACCCAACAACUUUGGAGAAUCGUCUUAAGACUAAAAGGAAUUUCCAUGACAAUGCCUAGGAAAGUAUCCGAGACUUUAAUGUGCUGGGAGAAGUAGGUAUACAUGCGAAGGACAAAAGUAGAUGGAGAAUUAUCCCUGGUGCUACAUGGUGGGCUAUAUGGAAAGAAAGGAAUUCUAGAUGUUUUGAGAGCAUAGAGAAUAGUGUGUAGAAGGUUAAACUCAACUAUAUUUUGCUUUUAUGUUUUUGGUGUAAUCAACUAUACUCUAAUGAUACUGCCUCGAUAAUUGAUGUUCUAGACUAAAUUUAGAUAUAGAACAGUCGAUUUAGGAGUACUCUUGUAUAUAAAGGUUUCAGUACAACCCAUGUACUGUGUGAUAUAAUACAAAGUUACCAAGUUCAAAAAAAAAAAAGAUAAUAAUUUUUAAAGUACUAAAAGUUUAUAAAAUAACAAAUAAAGCAAUUAAAUCUGAGUUCAAAUUGGGUGGGUUGGGUUAUGACCCGCAUUUUAGAGCAUUUCAAUCCAACCCAUUUCAGUCCAAGUAGCUUUAGGGUGGGUUAAUAACCCACCCAUUUAUUAACUCAGACCUCUUUGAUCCAGCCAACCCCGCCCAUUUGACACCUUUAGUUUAAUAGAAGUAAAGUGGAGCAUGCUAGAACACAUACCAGAUCUAUUGAGUUGAAGUAAAGUGGACUAUCAAAGGACACACAACAAUCUGUUGAGCUGUUGGAUUAGAGGGGAUUAGCAAGAGUUAGAAGAAAUGGGGGAGAACAAUCCUUCCUUAUAUUUGGUGGACUGUAUGGAGCAAGAAAAUUUGAAGGUAUUUUGAAGAUAAAUAUAAUUCAAUUCAGAAAGUUAAAUGGAAUAGCAUUGUAGAUUUUUGUUUUUUGUUUAAGGGACAAUGUGUAUAGGAUACCUAACAGGUAGUAGAUCUCUUCAAAUCCUCGCAUUAUUUUCAUUAUUUUUCAUUUCUUUUGGACUGCUAGCAUAACCUUAACGCUAACUUAUACAAAGUAAUAUCUCCAAAAAAAAACUGUUUAUCUCAAAAAGAAAAGAAUAAAAAUGCUCAAACUUCCUUACAACUCCAGUUGUUGGUUCCUUAAUACUUGUCCCUCACAACCAACCAAACUUUCUUUGAUAACCGUCGUGUUUGGGCCAGCUUGCACCUUGACUAGUUACACCAGGUACUGCUACCUCCCACCAGCACAGAUACUGGGUAACUCUGUCGAUCAAGGCUUGGACAGAUGGUAAGAAAUCACCUAGUGUUUUUAUCUCUGUUGGAAAUUAAACCUGAGACCUCAUGGUUCUCAAUCUACUUCAUUAACCAUUAGGUCACACUCUUGGGUGCAAGUGUGCAACUAGCAAAAUUAUUAUUCUAUAAACUAGAAUGAGAAGUGUGGACCACAAUAUUAUAUCAAGUUUCCUCUCUCCAUAUCGCCAUAGAGUUACAAUAACAUUACAUCAAUCAGGAAGUAAAUAAAAUUAUUUAAAAUAGACCAAAUAUAAUCCUUCCGUGUAUGCUUAAACACAUUUUUUCAGAACAAUAGUGUUAAAUAUAAAAUAUUUUAGAACUAUAUUGGAAAUAAAAGGUCAAUGUAAAUCCCAAAUGAAGCCUACAUAGUAUAGUAAGAUCAAGGAAAUCUGCUCGCUAAACAAACAUUCAACAGAAAUCACAUAUACUUAGGAAAGAAAAAGUGGUUCUACGAAGCUUCAUAGAAAAAGAAUUGUGUACUUCUUUUUUCAUUGAUAAGCACAGGAAACUGGAUAAAACUACCCAUAAAAAUCUCGAUGAAACGAGACCUCACCUCCAUUUCUGUCAUCAGCUCUCAAGGUUUCUCCCAGGUAGAGAUUCUUGUUCUUCUAUUAUAAUAGUAUCUAAAAAUCAAUUAAAGAAUUGUAAGAAUGUUAUUAAUUGGUUGGAGUAAUAAAGCCAUAGGAAAUAUGACAACAUUAGCAACCAUAAUUGGCUUACUGUUCAUCAAAAGAUGCUGAAAGUAGCAAUACCUACUAGCAUUUAGCCACAUGUAAAAUAUGUAUGAUGAUAGAUAAAUAGGGUCAAAAUGAAGUUAUCGGUAGAGGUGUAUCAAGUUCUGCCGAUGAACAGUCAGGUAAAAUUUGGUAGCGGUGAACGGCAGCCCAUAUGAUUACUUUGACAAAGAGGACUGAAACAAAGGGGCCUUUUAUCUCCAGUGCUAAUGGAAGCAGAAUGAUGUACAAAGCACUAGAUGUGGAUACUUGAGGGAUUUCUUGGCAGUGAUGGGGGCCAACAUAUCCACCACUUGUUCAUAGACAAGACAUUAAGUGUUUCUGAUGCAGACAUUAAACUAUUCAUAUAAGUAACCUAUGUGAAUAUAAUCCAAAAGAAAGAAUUACGGAAAGCCAAAUCGGCAUGCUCUUUUUUCUGUCUGGAGAACACAAAGUGGUAAAAAGAUUGGAUCUGAAUGAAAAUGAUAUUUUUACAGAGCUUCUUUUCUUGUGUACCGCGGUUUUACACCUUUUUUGUUCACUGGAAUCUUAAUUUUCUUACUAAAAACUAUCAUAGAAUUCAAAUGUUGACUCUCUCAGUCAACACACACCCAUUAACUUAAGCAUGUUACUUGUUGACAAUAUUUAUGCAAAACGGGUACAAUAAAACACAUUGAAUUCUCACCAGAACAACCAAGGGAGCUGCUAAUUCUCCAGUCUUCUGCACAAUUGUCUCAGAAUUCACAUUAUGAUUACUUAUUGGCAUCCAGGGUUGUACCCCUGAUGGAAACCUAUGAUCAUUUAUCUGUGUCUGAUACUGGAAGCUAGAAGAAUCUGCAUUUACCUGCUGUUAAAGACGAUAACAAAAUGUAUUUCAUCAAUAUAUGAAUGGAACAUCGGAAACCAAUUGACAAUAACCACAAAAGAUCUUCCCAAGGCCUUACAUUAUAUGAAGAAGAAAGAGGUAAAUUUGGGUCACCAGAACCAGGCAUGUGGUUAUUUAACAUCGGAAGAUUUCCCUGAAAAUCAUGGGGAGUAGGUGGUCCCUGAGGCAUACUAUGCAUUCCUACUACAGGUCUACCAGUAACCUGUUGCAUAGGUUGAGGAAAUUGGAUUUGAGAAGGUUGAGACAUCGCAACAUUUGCAUGUCCAAGUGGAAAAAAUUGUUGAGAUGACUCGGAACCAUAAGGUUGUGCCUGCUGGGAUGGAAGCAUAGGCUGGAAUUGCUAAAGAUGUGGGGAAAAUAGUUAUCAUAAUGUCUCUGCAUUCAAAAGUCAUUUAUUCCUCCCCCAAGCCUCCACAACUUUACCUGCAGUGACAUGGAUGGAAUUGCACCAGGAGCAGGACCAGCCAGAGGAGGUAUAAGAGGCUUCUCAACCAAUAUCCAUGCAAGGAAGAACAGAUGAAAUCAGAAUAUAGCUACUUUUCAAUCAUAUUUAGAAAGCUUGAAUCCAUGCGCAACUCCCUAAAUUAAUUUGAAGGACAAGGCAGAAUUUUGAAGCCAAACCACAUAGUAACAUGAAACCCUUUUCUUCAUCUAAUAAAUAGAAAGCUUGAAAUGAGAAUAAAGAGAGAUAACAAAUAGAUGACCUAUCACAGCGUUAGACGAGAAUGGACAAAAUGAUAAGCAUCUUUACCUUAUGGCUUGGGUUCAACAGCUACUGAUGGCCUAAGUAUCUUUUCUUCGGGUGUAAAGAAGCACGUCUGUUAAUGCAAAGCUAUGAUCAUGGAACUGAAACGUGAGGUAUGAGUAGGUAUUAGGAUAACCGAAAAAUACUUAGACCGGAAUAGGUUGAGCCUCACUCUUCCCUUCUAAUGUUCUAUGUCAUACUGACAUCACUACUAGAAUCUGAAAGACUGACUUGGUUAUUCUCUCUGUCAUCUCCCCCUUAGCUUCAAGCCAUCAAAUUAAGUUUGGGAGAUCCCUUACUAGACUCUAAACUAAAGUACACUCACUGCACUCUGGGUCUGGAAAACUAUUAUACACACAUAUCAUGGAACUUAACCUGAAUGAAUACACCUGAAAGUGGAAAACCCACUGUUAAUACUACCUUCUGAGAUACACUUUAUCAUUCUAUAGACCCAGUAGUCAUCAUAUAAUACUUGCAUACUUACUAACUUCAGGUCUUCAUGGGUAUCCCCAUAGUCAGAGUGCACAGCCUCUAGUGCUUUAACUCUUAUUUCUAUUAGUUCAACCUUUAAAAACUCAAACUUAGAAUCUAGCACUCAACAUGGAUAUCACCAAGCCUUUAAUGAAUCAUACCACUUCCGACACAGACUACCAAUAUCGCGACUCCAAACUUGCAUCUCUCUACUAUGAGAAUCAAGAUCAUAUAAAAAGGCUUAACACUAUCAAUCAAAUCUCCUUAACUUGGAUAUUUAGAAAACCAUAUACCAUCUAACUAGUCUUUCUCCACCUAGCAACUCAACGGUACCACUCGUCACACAAAACGUGUAAUAGUCUUAGAAAAUACCGCAACCCCUUACGCAUGAUUCUCACUUGGAUACCAUGAAAUAGACAUCAAGAAACACUAGUACACUAGAACUUCCAAACAACAAAUAAUUGAUCUUGACCUUACGGUCUUCCUUAUCAUAACUCAUUAGCACGUACUAUUUUAACACAUCAAGCCUACUAAUUUUUUCCCACAAAAUAUACAUCAUUACUCUCAUGCCACUAUUUUUAUCACCACAUUCUACAUUAAAUUUAAGCAUAUAGUCCUGUACCAAUCAUCUAUCACUAUUGAAAAAUGCAACAUAAUAUGCUAGUCCAUAAAAUUUGGGACAUACUAUACAAGCGCCUCAAAAAUCACUACUUACCUUCUCACAAGUAAUACUAGUUUACAAUUACCGACGAAAAGAAGGUCAAGGGGUAAAGUUGCAUAAUAGACAUGAUCAACCUUAAUCUUAUAUUAUAACCCCAUACAAUCUUUUCUACUUAUACGGAUUUCUCACCUCAUACUUACUUACCCAAACAUACAUUUAGACUACCUUCAAAUUCCACAAACAACCAUGAGUCUAUACUUACAACUUACUGGCUAAUAUAGCCAUUUUCACACUUUAAGCAAUCGAGAAAUCACCCUAACUAACAACUCCUUCUCUACCUUCUACUAAACUAACACACAAGGACAAAUCACCUCUUUCAAUCUCAUGCAAACUGAUUCAGCUAUAUAUAUAUAUAUAUAUAUAUAUAUUAAACUAACACAAGAACAACAAGUUGGACAACAAGUUGCUAGUGAAUCGAAAUAGGCCUCACACGGCUUCACUAGACUUUACUUUUGUAUUUUUAACAAGAAAAUGAGAUGAAUGACAAGUCAACUAUGCUAGUGAAUCGAAAGAUCCCCACAGGGCAAGAUUAAUACGCAAUAUCCAAUGAACUAAGAAUACACAUCUUACUCUGUAUAAAUAAAAUAGAGUCAAACACUUCCUCCACGGACUACCAUACCAUCCACACAUGCUACUAGUUACCAUAUUAGUCUAUCACCAUAAGGGGGUAAAUCAUUCUCGAACAUCGGUUAUUCAACUAAAAUAUUCAUUUACACAAAAGUCACCCUCGCUCUGACUUCUAACUUUGUGACUUCACAUCACCAACUUCUUGGCCAAAUUUCACUACCAAUAGGUCCUGAUAACAACACUUUAACGCAUACUACUAUUCAGGUGGAAAUAUAGUUCCAACAUUCUACUACACAUCAUCCCCCCUUAAUCAAGACAUUUGUAAUAUAAAUUUGAAGGGGACUAAAUGCAAUUAAUACCUCAAGCCGAAAAGCACGAUUCCACCAGGAUCAAUGUUUACAUCGGAAUCAAUACACAUUAAAGUACUAACGAACUCUUCUCAAGUCCUUGCACAGAUUUUAACUCUUAUAUGGUUCAAUUAGAAAGGAACAUACCAUUUAGAUUCUAAACUUCUGCACUUGAAUCACCUCAAUAAUGAGACAUAUCUGAGGACAUUAGAGUAAGGAAAGAAUUUGGGAUGACUUUUUUUUUACUUUCGUAUGGGCGACACCAUAGCACGAAUUAGAGUAUGAAAGAGGAACAUUCUGACUCUAUUGCAUGAAGUAGAACAUGAAGAAAGAGAGACAUUCCUAAACGCCUAGUAUCCUCCUACUUAUGAGUAUGGCGUGCUACACACCCAUAAAUAAGACUCUACCCGAUGCAAUUUCACAGACACCCUAGGCCCAUGAACUGUGCUUUGAUACCAAGUUUGUCAUGACCUGAACUGGGGCUCUGACCGUGACGAGCAUUCCGAACCAUGAAGGCCCGAAACACCCCUAUCUAUCUGGCAAUCAUGCACAUAAUUCAUAUGAUAAUAAGAUAUGUAGAAGAUACACAAUAUUAUGAAAAACAUGGUCAUAAAUCAAAUGAAAUCAACAAAGGGGAAAUGAUGUCCCACAACAUAUAUCGACAUCUGAACAAUCGUCUAUGAAAUCUCUAAAACAUGACUGAAAUAAAUUACUGUCUGAAAACUGGGACAAGGCCCCCAGUAGACCCAAAACUACUAAAUGAUAAAUGAAUUGACAGACAUCAGGCCUUCCAAAAUAUAGAAGUCUCACCACUUGAUUCUGCAAAUCUGUCGGAAGAGAUCUACUGGUUAUUUGGACCCCUAAACUAUGCCUCCAAACCUGGGAGGGAAAGUGUUCAAUACAAAAGUACUAGUACGCAGAGAAACCAAAAACAAAAUAUAAUGUUUUUUCCAAAUAUAGGUGAGAGCUAUUAUAAAGCAGUUCCAUAUCAAAUCAUUUGAAAACACAUGGGCAUAAGUUAGGGUGUGCGUCGCACACCUUAUGGCAUAAGUUAGGGUGUGCGUCGCACACCUUAUGCUGUACGACAUACUCCACUUUGUAAAGCCAUAACUUCUUCCUCGGGUGUCGGAAUUUCGCAAAAUUGGUAUCGUUGGAAAGAUAAUUUGAAUACCUUUCAUUUGAUAUAUAGUAGGCACUGUAAUUCAAUAUAUACAAAGAUUAAUGGUCGAUUGAAGUUAACCUAAGUUUCAACGUUCACUAAAAUUCGAACGAUAGGAAAACUUUCAACUUGUCCUUGAGCUUGGGGACCUUUAUGAUCUCAAUUCAUGCUAAAAUAGGUUUCUACACUACAUAAUUUAUUAACACACUAAACUUGCAUUGGAUUUAUGGCUUUUGGAACCUUUACGUGAAGAAAAUGACGAUUUUCGUUCUCGUCCGAAAUGCGGGGUGUUACAAAAUUUUGUUAGAAAAUGGAAAAUACAACAAUAUGGAGGACAUUUUAGCUGCACCGUACUCCCAAUAUACACCGUCCUCCUAAUACACUAAACUGAACAUUAAAAGUACUAAUGCAUUUCUUACCUGCACCGUACUCCAAAUACACUAAACUGAACAUUAAAAGUACUAAUGCAUUUCUUACCUGUUGGUGUGUAGCAUUCAAAAGUUUUAUUGUCUUUUGUCGGAAGAUAGCCACAACGACGGUUUCAAGAAUGAAGAUUAAACUUAAAAGAUGCCAUGCUCGCUCUGGAGUUCCUGCUACAUGAUACAACAUGACUCUACAAUGUUGAAGCCACUUUCCUAAUCCUUGGAGUCUAAGUUCUUACGAGAAUGAAAUAUGAUUAGGUAACACAUCCUCAACAUUAUUUGAAUUAGUGACAGGAGGGUUACUGUCGCGAUGUUCUCGAUCAGCGUCCAAACUACUUCUCUGCAACAAGGCUAGAAUCUUUGGGUCUAAUCCAUUCUCCUUCAGCAUCACUGCAAAAUUAGGAUCAAGCCCUUUAUCUUGCAAUAAAUUAGCUAAUUCACGAUCAGUGUGUCUUCCUUUCUGCUUUAAUAUAGAUGUAAUCCUGGGAUCACUCAACUUUUCUUGAAAUGCUAGUGCCAAAUUCAAGUCGAGUAUCUGUUGGUUUGCAGAAGUGGAUUUACUAGAAUCACCACCUUGGCUUUCAAGUCCACUGCUAGAACAAACAACCAAUGAAAUAUUAUGCUCUAAAUUUCUAUCAACAUAUGAGGAUCCUACUUCAGGCUCUUGAACAACUGAACGACAGGAACUACUACGUAGAGCUAGACUUGGUCUUCCACUGUCUAUGCUCUUAUCACUAUUAAUCCCCUCAAUGUUAUUCCAGGUACUGCCAUCACCAGUGCAAGGCAUAGUUGCAUUACCAAGAUGACCAGCAUCAGCACUUCUAAUGCGUUUGACACUUGAGCCACACCCCUCAGAAGAGCUUACGGAGCUAUUUUGGUCUUUUCUGCGGAAACCUUCUCUACGGCGGAUAACUAUACUCUGCAAGGCAUCUUGUUAGCUGCUAAUGGGUCUGUAACUGAUAAAUGCUGUGAAACAGCAGCACCCAACAGCACAGAUGCUACAACUACAUAACUGAUACAACAAAAUUGUUGCAAUAAAAGAUUAGAAUAUUUUUUUUUGAUAACAAAAGAUUAGAAGUUUCUAUUCAACAAAUAAUAUUAAAAGGGAUGCAUAUGCCACAAGUAUAAGAAGAUUUGAUUAUGGAAGAAAAUGAAUUAGCAUAGGUUAACAACAAACCAGUAAUGAACUCCAAAACAGACCAGGAACACCCGAGAUGUUCCGACAACAAUAAGUAUGAUGACUCAGCUUUUCAAAAGCUUAAAACCAUACAAGAAAGCUUCCAAGUUCCAAUCUAAUUGAAUGAAAAGAUAGUGAAUUCAUUACUUACCACAAAGAAAUAAGAAAUUAUUUCACAAUACGAGUCAGAAAAGGAGACAGAUAUAUGUAGGAAAUUAACUACCAAGGAUUAUCAUGGCAGCUGAUGUUGUAGCCCCAAGCCAGUUUGAUUCCUUUGUUGUCAGACCAUACAGGAUCGAAUACACAAGAAGUACUACAAGUGAACCAAUAUAUAGAAGUCCAAGAUUGAGAGCCCUGCAGAGCCCAAGUUCAAAGUGAAGAAGAGUAAAUUAUAGACUUCAGAGAAAAUGUUGAAAAGAUAGUGCAGAAAAUAUGAUGAGCAGUAUAAAUGAGAACCCACUGAACACAUAAUAUAACAAGGUGACUUUAUAAUCUAAAGCAGAAUUUAAAUUAAUUUGCUUAGCAGUGAGAUUUUAAGAUCUACUGUUUUUACUGGACUACUGGAGAGUGUGUUUUGUUCUCUCAGAGUUAGUAUUCCUUUUAUUCAAAUAGAUUUGAGUUACACCCAUUGUUUAGCGUUCUUUGGCUCUUAAUUUUAAAAGUCUGUUAGUUGAGAACAUUUUGGCCUAUCUUCAUAUCUUCCAUAUCUUAUAAAAAAAAUUAUGUUCCAUCCAGAAAAAGAGUUGUCAUAUUAGUCAUCCCUGUCCUUUAUAUAGAGCUCUUCCCAUCUUUGUUCAAAUCCCUAGCCAACAAGAAUGAUGUCCCCUUCAAAAAGUAUUACAUCUUACUCUGUCUUUCUAUUGCCUAUAAACAGUCUAGCACAUCAAUGAUGUCUUCUGCUAGAGCUAAUCAUCAUGUUUACACCAAAAAUAAAGAAGUGCUAAACUAUUCAAGUUGAUCUUCUGGACAUCCUCAAAACAACCCUUGUUUCUUUCUGUCCAAACUGUCCACCAUAUACAUGUUGAACAAUUUUCCAUCUCUCCUCCUUUAUUACAUUUACAUCCCCAUUCAUGCUGCUUAGUACUUUUUUAAUGCCACUAGGUUCUACCCACCUGAUCCCCUUCAGGUUGAAAACAUUCUCUACAGUUGCUCUGUCCGUUUCCAAUGUAAGAAAGAUGGUUGAUUAUGUAAAGAAAGGAUCUUGGGCCUAACUCAACCCUAAAAGCUAGCACAUGAGGGGAGGAUUGCUCAAGUCCAUAUAAUAAGACCGACAGUUAACUCCCCAACAAUGUAGGACUUUCACCUACUCUAACACCACCUUCACGCCCAGGCCCAAUAAGAGCGUGGUACGAGAGCUCAAACGUGGAUGGACCUGUUGUUUGAGAAGGAAUAUUAACUGCUGUUUGUAUGCAAGAGAGAAUAGAUAAGAUGUUUUUACUGAAUACAUUGGGUCUAUCAGCACAUACAGGUUCAUGCAUUAUGCCAUUAGGUUUUGCAGCAGUUCCAAUAUUUUCAGCAGCACCACAAGUUGAAUUUUGAUGCACUGCAGUAAGGAAAGAAAACUUAAACAUUAACUUGAGACAACAACACAAGCUUCUCAAAUGCAGGUUCUAGCAAGAACAAAGAUAACAAGCAAAUAGAAGGCAAUGAAGAUAAGGAUAAGUCUAGAUGAGCUUGGGGACAGGCUCCAAACUGAACACAGUGCUCGUUAUUCUUGUUGUAGAUAAGAUCAGACAACUUAUUAUUUUGACGUUAAGAGUUUCUUGUAGAGGAUGCUGAAUCCAUUUUGCAACUUUGGAGGCCUUGUAAAGCACAGAGAGGCUCAUUUUUGUAAAGAAAAUACUGCCCACAUAGUAUCUAUGCUAUCAUUUUUAAAAAAAUAUGGUGCUUGCUGGUUUUACCAAUAUCUUGUAUGCUUGUACCUUCCAAUGCAACCUCCCGGCGAAAAAACUAACCACCAAUAGGCAUCUUUUAGCAUAGAAGAUUCUAAGACUGUCUUACUAGGAAUUAGGUAAGUACAAGUUCUUGAAGGGAAAUUGUUUGCAUCAUUGAAGAUCAGAAAGCCAGGUAUAUAGGAGAUUAGACAUUUUAAAGAAAAAAUAACAGGUUUAAUAUCAGGAAAGACAUCAAAAACUCUUAUUUACAUAUAAAUGAUGGAUCCCAAAUAACUUCAGAAGUUACACACAAAAGGAAAAUGGUACAGAAACCAAUUCCACCUUCAUAAUAACUAUGUCUGCUUGAUGUAAGCAUAAACAUUAUCAAGAAAGACAUCAAAGACUCUCAUUGACAUAUAAAUAAUGGAACACAAAUAACUUCAGAAGUUACACGCAAAAGGAAAAUGGUACAGAAACCAAUUCCACCUUCAUAAUAAUUGUGUCUGCUUGAUAUAAGUAUAAACAUAAAGAACAUACUGACAUACCAAAAAAUUAUCAAAAUGUUCUACAAUGUAGUGCUAAUUUUUUUUGUUUUUUGAAAUUAAACGCAGUGUAUAGUUUAAAAAUGUGCAAACAACAUUUAAUGUGGCACGUGAAGCAUCAGGUACUGGAAGGAAAAUUUAAAACAUGGUGGAGGCAAAUGAAUCAAAUAUACUAAGACAAAGAAGGCAUUUGAUUGCAGAUCAAAUGGAAGAGUCUGCCAACCGACCAGAUUUAGGAGCAGCUCUGGUCCAUGCACCAUUUUGAGGUAAAUUUAUAUGGUUAAAAAUUUGGAUGUUACUUAAUAUAUGCACAAACUGAACAUGAACUGCCCGGUUAGACAAGUGCUUUUUGUAGCUACCCAGUGACAACCUUAGUGAAAGAAUACAUCAAUGAGAAGUUAACUCAGUAAGCUUAAUGAGCUUUCCCCUGUAAGGAAUGAAAGUGUGGAUGACCCGACAUCAAAUAUACGAUUGUUAUUAUACACACAAUCUCUAUACAAUAGCAACAACAUACCCGAUGUAUAUUCGGGCAGAAUAUAUGGAAACCAUACCUCUACCUCAAAGACGAGAAGAAAACGGUAGCACCAAUCCUCACUAAAUACUUCAUAAGAUAAAAAAACAGCCAAUACUUACAAAACCAAAUGAAGCAAAAGAAGUUCAUUUUCUUGAUCACCAGCAAGUAAAAGAAAUGUUUACAAUUGGAGAUUUAAAAAGGUUGCAAAAGAAAGAAGCAAACUUUCUAUUUAACAAGUGUCAAAGUGGGGAAAGAAUAAGAGUAAAACCAAUAAGUAUACGAGAAGUCUGAACACUAUAGUCAAUGAACAAAAUAUGAAUUGUAGUUUGGAAAUUUAGUAUCCAUCACUCCAACAGAGAAUCAGGACUUGCAAGAAGGUUGAAAGGUUUGCCUAUCGAGUUUUUCAAGAUUGUGAUUUGACCCUUUUUCAUAAGAAAGUCUUCAUCGAGGGUGUCUACCUUUCUUUUCAACAUGUUGAUCUCAUAAUUCAACAACAUGUUCAUCUCACUGUAGCUCUUAACUUCCUCCCACAUGAAAUCCCUCUCCUGAAAUACUUUUGGUAGUAUCGCCUUUACAACGCAAAGUUCCUUCAUGCAUUCUUGCAAAUCAUUGGUGAGCUAGUUGAUAUUUUCAUCCCUUUUUAGCACCUGUGAGAAUCAACCGUAAACCAUGAAAAACAAAAAAGACACAAAGAUCACCAAUAACAUUUCAUCAGAAAUUCAAAACAAACUCAUAGCCUAGAAGUUCAACCAAAUCAUGAAUCCUUUUUAACUAUUAAAAUUCAUAGUAGAUAACUCCUGAGCUUGUCCAAGAAUUAAGUAAGAUGAACGAGCAAAGUUACCAAAACCCCUUCGGGUAACUUUACCACAUCAGAGCAUAAUCAGAUCAAUGGAUUUGACGAUAUCACAAAGUUUAUCAUGUUCUUGGUUGGUUCAAGUGAUGACACAUUAAGGCGAUCAGAAAUUUCACAGAAGACUACCACAUGCCAGCAACUCAUGUAUACAAGUUCAUAAAGAAAUCUGUGAACUUUAGAUGGAACAAAGAUGAACCUAAAAUCAAAUAGAAGUAGAAAGCUAAUGCAGAGAGAGUAACAUGCGAACAGGCUAUCAUAUAUGAAGACAGGGUAUCCAAAGUUGAAAAAUAAAAACUAUUCAGUUGCAACGAGAUAUUAACAUUGCCUGCUUACCUGAAGUUUGAGAUAUUUCAACUUGGGUGUGGCAUAAGAAAGAGCAUCCAGUUUAUUUUGCACUUAACAUUGGAGAAUGUCGUUACCUCUAACUGUUAUGGCUAGAUUAGCCUGAAGUUGCUUUAUGUCCAUCUCCUCGGAAUAGAGCUUCUCCCUUAGCACAGUUGUCAGCAAAGUCUCUGAUUUAAGCCCUUUAACCUUUUCCUGGUAGUUUUCUCAGACAUAAUCUCUAUUGUCUUGAGAUACUCGAUAUUCCACUUGUAACUAAGUGAGAUGCUGCCGUAGAUUUUAAUUCUCCUCUGACACUUGCUCUAUUCUCUUAGACAAAUCUUCAAGGUGUUUCUCCGAAAAUGAUAUCUUGAUUCUAUUAUCUACUUCCUUCUCAUUAAAUGAAGAGACUUCCCUUUGUAGAGACACAUUCUGCUCUGCAAGCUCCCUCGCCCUUUCACGGGUCUAUGUUGUUCAAUUUGGUAUUUCUCAAGUUUUAGAGACCAAUUGUUGGAUCUUCUAUCCAACUUCUUUUCCAAUACUGAUUUUAACUCAUUCUUUUCUGUCUCCAAUCUUCGUGUCCGUGAAUCUAGUUCUGCCUGUAAUAUGCUGGCUUCUUGCUUAGCAGAAGCCCUUUCAGCAACUUGAUUCCAUAGCAUGCUUGAAACUUCAGAAGCCAUUUGUACCUUCUCCUUUGUCAAUCUUGUAAUAGUCCGAAUCAAUAAUGGAACGCUAAGGUCUCUGCCAUGAAGAAACAUUUGUUAUUACUUUGGACAAGCAAAUGCAAAUUAAAACAUCAGUUUAAGUGUGAAAAAGGAAGCUAAAGCAAAAUGAUAUGCAUACCGGCUUGAAUCACGACUAGAUUUCUUAGGAUGAACUUUCUUACUGUGACCAUGGGGAGAUUUGCUCAGAUCCAUGAAAUUCUUUUUUCCUAACCCACUGUCAUAGAAGGAUUCGGAUGAUAAUGAAACACUCCUCCAAGAAGAAACUUCCUUGGACUUUAAUGGUGGUGAAGGGGUCUUGUUUUCAUCAUUAGUUGAUGAUCGAAAAAAGAAGAAGUUGUUCUUCAUCAUCUCUAUGUAUGGAGACUGUACAUGAAUCAAACUAGUGUCCAUGAGAUUUCAAAGGGCAAAGCAAAACACUCAUAAAUAGCCACUCACAAAUCAUUAUCCAUUCAUGAAAAUACUGCAAGCUAACUAAAUACUUAUGAGACAAAGCAAAACAUCUCUCUUUCUACAUGCUUCUUCUUCAACAACAACAUACGUAACCCCUACCUUGGCAAGUAGAAAAUUUGUUUCUCAUAAAUCCUCGGCAAGGAAAGCAAAANNNNNNNNNNNNNNNNNNNNNNNNNNNNNNNNNNNNNNNNNNNNNNNNNNNNNNNNNNNNNAUACAACAAGUAGAAAAGAAAAAUAUAUACUAAUACUACUACCAGAAGAGAUAUGACGUGAAACUAUUUACUAAUAGUCUUCUACUGAAAAUUAAUAAAAUACCCCAUAAACAAAUAGCACAAGAACAAUUCAAAGAACUUAUCAAAUCCUUCUGAUAAAACAAAUAAUCAUGGUAAAUAAUCAAAAAAUAAGAGAAAUUACUGAAUCAAAGAGUUGAAAGAGUAAGAGCCGGCAAAAUGUUGUCAUAAUUUGUACGAUUCUUGUCAUUUUUUCUUGAAAUGUAAAAAUAGCAAAAGACUAGAAUUCUGUGUCUUUCAUUCAUCAUCGUACAAUGCAUAUAUACAACUAACAAGGAUCUGUAAAUUUCAAGUAAUAUUUACAAGGAUCUGUAAAAUUCAAGUAAAUAUUUACAAGGAUCUGUAUAUGGCAAGUGAAUAUUUACAAGGAUCCAGAAAUAUGGCAAGUGAAUAUUUAUAUACUCAUAAUGAAAAACUUAAGAAAUACCUAUGAGAGAGAGAAGAAAAGUGUAACAAAUAUUUUGUGUUAUUCAAUAGCUAUAAAUAGCCAUAUGAGAUCAAAUUUUCCAUAUAAUAGAAAUAAAAUUAAAACUAUAAAUUAAAUUUUUCAAAUUAGCACACAAAUUAACUUAAAUUAUGAAAUUUAAGAUAUUUAUUUUUUCAAAAUUUAACUUUUUCAUAUAAACAUCACUGAAUUGAUAUAAACAAUAUUUUGAAAUGUGAUAAAUUAAUUAAAUAACCCAAAAAUAUUGUAAUAUUGUAUUUNNNNNNNNNNNNNNNNNNNNNNNNNNNNNNNNNNNNNNNNNNNNNNNNNNNNNNNNNNNNNNNNNNNNNNNNNNNNNNNNACUUACCAUUUAAAAAUUGUUUCAUUUGAAUUAAUAAGAUCAUAGUAGAUUGUACAAAAUCAGUUAAUAAAUGAUAUAUAUUUCAAUUAAAUAAAUAAAGUACAAUAUAAUUGUAAUAAGAAUACACAAUCAACUAAUUAAUUUCACUUAAUUAGAUUAAAUUUUAUGAUCAUAAUAUAUAGACUAAAGUUCCUUAAAUUUAAUGUUGUAAAUUUCAAAAUAUAUUUAUGGCUNNNNNNNNNNNNNNNNNNNNNNNNNNNNNNNNNNNNNNNNNNNNNNNNNNNNNNNNNNNNNNNNNNNNNNNNNNNNNNNNNNNNNNNNNNNNNNNNNNNNNNNNNNNNNNNNNNNNNNNNNNNNNNNNNNNNNNNNNNNNNNNNNNNNNNNNNNNNNNNNNNNNNNNNNNNNNNNNNNNNNNNNNNNNNNNNNNNNNNNNNNNNNNNNNNNNNNNNNNNNNNNNNNNNNNNNNNNNNNNNNNNNNNNNNNNNNNNNNNNNNNNNNNNNNNNNNNNNNNNNNNNNNNNNNNNNNNNNNNNNNNNNNNNNNNNNNNNNNNNNNNNNNNNNNNNNNNNNNNNNNNNNNNNNNNNNNNNNNNNNNNNNNNNNNNNNNNNNNNNNNNNNNNNNNNNNNNNNNNNNNNNNNNNNNNNNNNNNNNNNNNNNNNNNNNNNNNNNNNNNNNNNNNNNNNNNNNNNNNNNNNNNNNNNNNNNNNNNNNNNNNNNNNNNNNNNNNNNNNNNNNNNNNNNNNNNNNNNNNNNNNNNNNNNNNNNNNNNNNNNNNNNNNNNNNNNNNNNNNNNNNNNNNNNNNNNNNNNNNNNNNNNNNNNNNNNNNNNNNNNNNNNNNNNNNNNNNNNNNNNNNNNNNNNNNNNNNNNNNNNNNNNNNNNNNNNNNNNNNNNNNNNNNNNNNNNNNNNNNNNNNNNNNNNNNNNNNNNNNNNNNNNNNNNNNNNNNNNNNNNNNNNNNNNNNNNNNNNNNNNNNNNNNNNNNNNNNNNNNNNNNNNNNNNNNNNNNNNNNNNNNNNNNNNNNNNNNNNNNNNNNNNNNNNNNNNNNNNNNNNNNNNNNNNNNNNNNNNNNNNNNNNNNNNNNNNNNNNNNNNNNNNNNNNNNNNNNNNNNNNNNNNNNNNNNNNNNNNNNNNNNNNNNNNNNNNNNNNNNNNNNNNNNNNNNNNNNNNNNNNNNNNNNNNNNNNNNNNNNNNNNNNNNNNNNNUAUUUAUUUACCAUAAAUCUGUCCUAAUUUUAUAUCUUGAUUGUAGUUAAUUAAUCUACAAUUACAUAAAGGUCUCAAAUAUGAAAACAAUUGAUAUUAAUUACCUUUAUAAUUUUGGCAAUUCAAUCCCAUGAAUUUCUCAUGUUUUUUAUAGAUUGAUUAUAUUAAAUUUAUUUCAAUUACCUUUUUAAUUUUGGUAAGAAUUUAAAAAAGGUAACGAUUAUUUUUUUUCCUAAUUACUGAUUUAUUUCUCAAAAAGUUCUUAUAAAUUCAUAAUUUGAUUAUAGUCAAUUGAUUAUUUAAUUAUCUUUAUAAUUUGCUAAAAGCUCAAAUAAGGUAACAAUUAUUUUUUUCUAAAUUAUGGAUUUUCUUAUAUUCAAUCUUUUAUUGUUUUACUAUAAUAGUUCAAAUUUAAUUGUUUUGAGGGAUGACAACUUUUUGUGUCUAAAUCUUUUUUAAUACAUAGGAAAUGCUAAAGGCAUACAAUAAUCUCCUUUCUUUUUAUAAUCCAAACUUACCAUUUACAAAUUAUUUCAUUUGAAUUAAUAAGAUCAUAGUAGCUUGUACAAAAUCAAUUAAUUAAUUAUAUGUAUUUUGAUAUAAAAAAAAAUGAUGUACGACAUAAUUGUAAUAAAAUUACACAAUCAACGAAUUAAUUUCAAUUAAUUAGAAUCAAUUUUAUAAUCAUAAUAUAUAGACUCAAGUUCCUUANNNNNNNNNNNNNNNNNNNNNNNNNNNNNNNNNNNNNNNNNNNNNNNNNNNNNNNNNNNNNNNNNNNNNNNNNNNNNNNNNNNNNNNNNNNNNNNNNNNNNNNNNNNNNNNNNNNNNNNNNNNNNNNNNNNNNNNNNNNNNNNNNNNNNNNNNNNNNNNNNNNNNNNNNNNNNNNNNNNNNNNNNNNNNNNNNNNNNNNNNNNNNNNNNNNNNNNNNNNNNNNNNNNNNNNNNNNNNNNNNNNNNNNNNNNNNNNNNNNNNNNNNNNNNNNNNNNNNNNNNNNNNNNNNNNNNNNNNNNNNNNNNNNNNNNNNNNNNNNNNNNNNNNNNNNNNNNNNNNNNNNNNNNNNNNNNNNNNNNNNNNNNNNNNNNNNNNNNNNNNNNNNNNNNNNNNNNNNNNNNNNNNNNNNCAUGAAUUUCACAUAUUCUUAUAGUUUGGUUAUAUCAAAUUUAUAUUAAUUACCUUUAUAAUUUUGGGAAGAAUUUUAAAAAGGUAACAAUUAGUUUUUUUUUCCAAUUACUGAUUUAUUUCUCAAAAAUUUCUUAUCAAUUUACAAUUUGAUCAUUUAAUUAUCUUUACAAUUAGCUAAAAGCUCAAAUAAGGUGACAAUUAUUUCUUUUCUUAGUUACGGAUUUUCUUAUAUUCAAUCUUUCAUUGUUUCACUAAAAUAGUUCAAAUUUAAUUGUUUUGAGGCAUGACAUCUUUUUGUCUAUAAAUCUUUUUUAAUACAUAAGAAAUGCUAAAGUCAUACAAUAAUCACCUUUAUUUUUAUAAUCCAAACUUAUCAUUUAAAAAUCAUUUCAUUUGAAUUAAUAAAAUCAUAGUAUAUUGCACAAAAUCAAUAAAUUAAUUAUAUGUAUUUUUAUUAAAUAAAUUAUAUACGAAAUUGUUGUGAUAAAACUAUACAAUCAAGUAAUUAAUUUCAAUUAAUUAGAAUCAAUUUUAUGAUCAUAAUAUAUAGACUCAAGUUCCUUAAAUUUAAUGUUGUAUGUAAAUUUUAAAAUAUAUUUAUAGCUAAAGUAAUAGUCAACGUUCGUUGUUUUUUUUACCAAUAUAUGCAUAUCAAUUACGAAUCUUUCCAUAUAUUUUAUUAUUAAAGUAGUUGUCAAUAUUAACUAAUUUCUAGUUCAAUUUAAUCUAAUUAAUUUGAUAGCAAUAAAAUUAUUAUUAAUAUUAUAUAUUUAUUUACCAUAAGUCUGUCCUAAUUUUGUAGCUUGAUUAUAUUUAAUUAAUCUACAAUUGUAUAAAGGGCUCAAAUAUGAAAAUAAUUGAUAUUAAUUACCUUCAUAAUUUUGGAAAUUCAAUCCCAUGAAUAUCUCAUUUUUUUAUAGAUUGAUUACAUUAAAUUGAUAUCAAUUACCUUUUCAAUUUUGGAAAGAAUUUUAAAAAGGUAACAAUUAUUUAUUUUCCUAAUUACUAAUUUAUUUUUCAAAUAUUUCUUAUAAAUUUAUAAUUUAAUUAUAGUCAAUUAAUUAUUAUUAUCUUUAUAAUUUGCUAAAAACUCAAAUAAGGUAACAAUUAUUUUUUUCCUAAUUACGGAUUUUCUUAUAUUCAUUCAUUUAUUUGUUUACAAAAAUAGGUCAAACUUAAUUAUUUUGAGGGAUGACACCUUUUUUUAAUAUUUUUUAUUCAAAAUGAUUGCAAUAUUUUCUAUAUAAAUUGAUCCGUUACUAUUUAUUAAUUGGUUAUUCUCUUAAAUAAUUUUUUCUUGUAAUAUUUCUUUUAAUCAAUUGUAAUGAAAUAAUUCAUAUUUAUUUUCUUAUAAUACUAUCAUUAAAAACAUAUGAAAUGUAAUUUAUUAAAUUCUUAGUUUUAGGCUAGACUAUCCUCCUUUAUUAUAUAGAUAGAUAAUUUCAACAAAAUUAAUUAGAGUAUUUUCUUAUAAAAAUAAUAUAAAAUUUUAUUUUAUAAAAAUAAUAUAAAAUAUGGUAUAUUAAUAAUAUUUGCAUUAAUUAUGUUUCUAUUUUCUUACAUAUUAUUUGAUUCUACGCAUUAAAAAUAACAUUGAAUCAAUGGUGAAAGUGGAGGGACUUCUUUCUUUAUUGGGGUUUUUCUUUUUGGGAAAGCUGACACUUUCUUGACUACCAACCACCCAACACAAAGCUGACACUUCUUGGUAGAUUGGCUAUUUUUUCAUACGGUACUAAUUUAUAUGCAUUUUCUUUGAUAUUUGUUAUAUUGUUAGUUUUAUUUUGCGUAUCGUAUUAGUUUAUAUGCAUUUAUUUUUUAUGUUUGGUAUGUUAUUAUGAUCCUAAGCUAGGAGUCUAUCGGAAACAUCCUCUCUACUUCACCUGAGUACUGAUAUGAUCUACAUAUACUAACCUCCCCAGACCCCACUAUCUGGAAAUACACUGAUUUUUGUUAUUGCUGUUGUUGUUUCUUAUACAGUAUUUGAUUCAAAGUAUUAAAAAUAACACGAAUUACAUAAUUUUUUUUUACAUAAUACCCCAACUUUAAGCAUGUUAAUGCAUGCAUUAGAUCCAUUGUAUUACUAAUGUCAUAAAUUUUGAAGUAUUAGUAAUACACGCCUCAAUACACAAUAGAGUAUAUUACUAAUUUUUGCAUUAGUUAUACAUAAGAUAAAAAGAUAUAUAUCAAACAAGGGACUACUAAUACACAUUAAAUUAAUGGAUGCAUUAAUUUUUACGUAAUACAUUCCAUGCUUUAUCACAGAUUUGAUUCCUUGUCUUAAGCUGGGAGUCUAUCGGAAAUAGCCUUUCUACUUCUUCGGAGGUAGUGAUAUGAACUACGUACAUCUUACCCUCUUUAGACCCCACUAUGUGGAAAUACACUGAAUUUAUUGUUGUUGUUGUUAUUAAUUUUUGAAUACACUCUAUCAAAAGACUCUAUGCUUCUCAUUUAAUUAUACCUUUAGCUCCUUUUUAAUUAUGAUAAUUGCUCUCUGACUCCACCUUGCUUUUUAAAAAUAUAAAUAAAUAGCAAUGAAUUUAAUUUUGCUCAUUACUCUACUAAUUGUAGUAAUGUUAGGUGAAUUCAUCAACUUAAAAUUAGAGUACAUUCACUCAAGCUACAUGUUAUAGAUAUAGUUCAAAAAAGGAAUUAUACGUUUGACAUAAUACAUAAAUGUGUUUUCAACUUGACAUCAUUAGCAAAUAUUUAUAUAUUUUAAUUUUGAAUGUUGCACAAAUAAAUACUUCGACUAUCAUAUAAAGUUAAAAUAAAUAUAUAUAUAUGUGAGUCUUGUAUCGCAAUUUGUCAUGCAAAAUGUGUGCAUCUCAUACAAUUUGUCAAGUAAUUAAAGCGUUUGUGUCUAGGGGAGUGCAUCGGUCGGUUCGGUUGGGUUUUACAUAUUAUCAUUAGAUUUAUCGAUUUUCGGUUUUUAAAUAUGCUAAACCAAUAACCAAACCAAUAAAAUAUUUUUUUUUGGUUCUUAGUCCUUAACGAUUUGGUUUUGGGUUUAACCGAUAAGAAAAUACUCAUAAAAUAGAAAUAGUAGUAACUAACAUGUAAAAAAUGAAUCUUAGUUGCAACAAAAAUCCUACAUGAAGUGUUUGAAUUUACAAAAAUCUUCAAGUUUGAACUAAAUGUUGUUAGGAGAAAUUCAGAGUUUAUAUAAUUGAAAUAACAGGUUUGUUAAUUUGUAGAAAUAAAAUAUAAAUAUAUAAUAAUUCAUAUUAUAUAUGUAUAUGCAUAUGUUUUGAAAAGGUGUUAAUUUGAGAGCAUGAAUUAUAUGGAAUCCCUCUCUUGAUGUGAAUUUGUUUUAAAUGUUCAUAUGAUGUAAAUUGUUUGAAAACAUCUUGAAAAGCAUGACAUGAAAUGUUUUGAGAAUUUAUAUGAUUUUGACUUGAAAACUAGAGGGCUAUUUGUGUUGAAACAUGUUGAAUACAAUGGUUGAAUGAGAAGAAUGAUGUGAUAUUGAUGGCUUGGAAGUCGGUUAUGAUGAUACCCUACAGAAUAUGAUUUGUGAUUAAAUCGGAUGAAAUUUGAAUGCAUUGAUUUUACAUGAGAUAGGUGGAUAUCCGAAGAAGGCAUUUGAGUAUAAGGGCUCAUCGCUAGAAAUCGUGUUUGCCGACAUGGGAAUUUGGUACCCUGCUUUGUGAUCUUGCGUACCUGACUUUAUGUCAUUCCCAAUUUGGGACUAUGGUUAGGAGCCCUGCUUUGUGAUCUUGUGCACUACCAUUGGGUCGAGAUAUCCUGUUGUGUGAUCUUGUGUGUCUUCCCCUCACUUAUACUCUAAUCUUGGCGGCAACCGAGGUUUGACAGUUGGUGUAAAUAUGAUAUGUAGGGUAUUCCACCUAGCUCAGCAGGAUUAUAUUGUUGUUGAAAACAAUUAUAUUAUGCCCAUGUGUUUUCAAAUGAUUUGAUAUGAAACUGCUUUAUAAUGGCUCUCAACUAUAUUUUGUAAAACUAUUAUGUUUUGUUUUGAUAUCUCUGCGUACCAGUACUUCUGAAUUGAACCCCUUUCCUCCCGGGUACAAAGGCACAGUCUAGGGGUCCAGAAAAUCAGUAGAUUCCUCAAACAGAUUUACAGAGUCACUUGGUGAGCCUUCUAUUUUUUGGAAGGCCUGAUAUUUGGAUCUACUGGAGGCCUUGUCCCAGUUUUCAAAUAGAUAUUUAUUUCAGUCAUGUAGUAGAGAUUUCACAAACGUUAUAGAGAUGUUGUGUUGAGAUUGUGGGACAUUAUUCCCCGUUAUUGAUUCAUAUGAUUCUUGACCAUGUUUCCAUAAUAUUGUUUGUCUUCCAUAUUUCUUUUAUCAUAUGAGUUAUGUGCAUGAUUAUCAGACAAAUAGGGGUGUUUCGGGCCUUUAUGGUUCGGAAUGCUCGUCACGGACAGGGCCCCAAUUUGGGUCGUGACAAACUUGGUAUCAGAGCAAGGUUCAUGGUCCCAGGGUGUCUACAAAAUCAUAUCGGGUAGAGUCUUAUUUAUGGGUGUGUAGCGUGCCACACUUAUAAGUAGGAGGCUCCUAAGCAUUUAGGAAUGUCUCUCUUUCUUCAUGUUCCAGUUCGUGCAAUAGAGUCAAAAUGUUCCUCUUUCAUACUGUCAUUCAUGCUAUGGUGUCGCUCAUAUGAAGGUAAAGUCAUACCAAAUUCUUUCCUUACUCUGAUGUUCUCAGACAUGUCCCAUUAUUGGGGUGAUUCAAGUGCAAAAAGUUUAGAAUCUACAUGAUAUAGUCUUUUUCGAUUGUGUCAUAUAAGAAAAAAAAUUGUGCAAAGACUCGAGAGGAGUCUGUUGGUGCUUCAAUAUGUGUUGAUUCUGAUAUAAACAUUGAUCCUGAUGGAAUCGUGCUUUCUAGCUUAUGGUAUUAAGUGCAUCUAGUCCCUCCCAAAAUUCUUGAUACAGAUGUGGACGGUGUAUAGCAGAAUGUUGGAACUAUAUUUCCACCCAAAUAGUAGCAUAAGUUAAAGUGUUGUUGUCAUGACCUAUUGGUAAUGAAAUUAGACCAAGAAUUUAGUGAUGUGAAGUCACAAAGUUAGAAGUCAGAGUGAGGGUGAUUUUUGGUGUAAAUGAAUAUUUCAGUUGAAUAACCAAUAUUUGAGGAUGAUUUACCCCUUUAUAGUGAUAAACUAACGUGGUAGCUAGUAGCACGUGUGGAUGGUAUGGUAGUCCAUGGGGAAGUAUUUUACUCAAAUUUUAAUUUAUAAAGAGUAAGAUGUGUAUUCUUAGACCAUUAAAUAUUGUGUCAAUUUCCUAUCUCUUGUAAUAUGUAAUCUUGUUAUCAUGGUAUUUUUGAAAUAAAUUUUAAAGUCUAGUGAAGCCGUGUGGGGCUCUUUCGAUUCACUAGCAUAGUUGCCUUGUCAUCCAUCUCAUUUUCUUGUUCAAAAUACCAAACCAAAGUCUAGUGAAGCCGUGUGAGGCCUAUUUCAAUUCACUAGCAACUUGUUGUCCAACUUGUUGUUCUUUUGUUGGUUUAAUAUAUGUAUGGCUGAAUCUGUUUGCAUGAGAUGGAGUUGGUAAAGAGGUGAUUCAUCCUUGUGAGUUAGUUUAGUAUAAGGUAGAGAAGGAGUUGUUAGUCAGGGUGAUUUGUUGGUUUCUUGAAUGUGAAAAAUGGCUAUAUUAGCGAGUAAGUUAUGAUCAUAGACUCAUGGUUGUUUGAGGAAUUUGAAGGCAGUCUAAAUGUAUGCUUGAGAAAGUAAGUAUGAGGUCAGAAAUCCGCAUAAGUAGAUAAGAUCUUAUGGGGUUAUAAUAUCAGUUAAGGUUGAUCAUGUCUAUUAUGUGACCUUACUCCUUGACUUUUUUCGUUGGUAGUUGUAAACUAGUACUACUUAUGAGAAGGUAUGUAGCAAAUUAUGAGGUAUUUGGAUAGUACUAUAUGACUGGCAGAGACUUUUCAAAGAUUUGCAGGAGUUCUCGAAACUAUUUUCUAAAAAAUUAAGAGUACUUUGAAAAAAAUCUAUAUAAAUCUUUUACUUAGUGAUUGCCUAGACAUCAAUUAGGAUGGGGAGUCAGGGGUGGAAGUCCCAACAUGAUGAAAUACCUAAAAGAUGGCAAGGGCAAAUCAAGGAUCGUAGGAGGUCAACACGGAGUAGUUUCUUUCAAACUAAUCAUUUUUUGUGGCUGCAGGGAUUGAUACACAAAAUGAGCGUUUCUUUCGAAAAAUCCCCAAGCAAGUCGGGAGCCAUGACAGAGCAUAUAAGGCUUAGUAACGGUACCUUUGGUAGCCCAAAAACCGGCUCAACACCCAUUUAUUGACGACCUUUCGAAUUGUCCAUCUCAUUUCUUGAGACCAUGGAGGACAAACAAAGUGUCUUGUCUUUUUUACAAAUAUUGUAUUUAGAAUUUUUCUAAAAAAAAAAAUAGUCGCUAGCAAAAGCGACUUUGUGUCUACUAAUCGUCUACCUUGAGUACGGGUACAUGCAGAAAGCAAGACCCUGACAAAUGAUUUCAGGAGAAACUAUUUUUAAUUUAUCGGAAGAACCAUUGCAUGUCAUUGCCAAGAGGGCCAUUACAUAUCAUCGUCAUUCAAUAUCUGUUGGCGUGCUAGACACAAUGCUAGCAUCGAGGAUAUCAUUAGCAUUCAAUAUAUCCAUUGACAUGCAAGACACAACACUGGCGUCGAGGAUAUCAUCAUCAUAUAAUAUCUAUUAACGCGCUAGACACAACGCAGGCAUUGAGGAUAUCAUCAACAUUCAAUAUAUCUGUUGACACGCAAGACACAAUGCUAGCGUCGAGAAUAUUAUCAUCAUUCAAUAUCUAUUGACGAUCUAGAUACAACGCUGGCGUCGAGGAUAUUAUCAGCAUUCAAUAUAUCUGUUGACACGCAAGACACAAUGCUGGCGUCGAAGAUAUCAUCAUCAUUCAAUAUAUGUUGACGCGCUAGACACAACGCUAGCGUCGAGGAUAUCAUCAUUAAUAUAUAACUAUUGACACGUAAGACACAACACUGGCAUUGAGGAUACCAUCAUGAUGCAAUAGCUGUUGACAUGCAAGACAUAACUCUGGCGUCGAGGCUAUCAUCAUCAUGCAAUAUUUGUUGACGCGGAAGACACAAUGCUAGUGUCGAGGAUAUCAUCAGCAUUCAAUAUAUCUGUUGACACGUAAGACACAACACUGGCAUCGAGGAUAUCAUCAUCAUUCAAUAUAUCUGUUGAUACGUAAGACACAACGUUGGCGUCGAGGAUAUCAUCAUCAUUUUAUUUCUGUUGACAUGCAAGACAUAAACACUAGCGUCGAGGAUAUCUUAUCAUUUUAUGAAUCAGCAUCCGAAUGCAUCAAGAGCACAUGAUUUGAAGGGACGCCUUUAAGUCGCUAUCUAAGGAUGAAUGAUAUAUAAGAUUUCCUAGAAAUUUACAAUUUGAGGGUCAUCUAUAAGUUAUAUUAUUUGAAAUAUGAUAGUGUACAAGAUCACCUAUGAGUUGAUAGCCGGUAGGUCAUCCGUAAGCCACAACAAAAUUCUAACCGGAUAGUGUGCAAGAUCGCCCAAAAAUUGAUAGUUCAAAGGUUAUCCAUAAGUCGCAACUAAAUCCUUACCAGAGAAUAUGCAAGAUUAUCAAAUGGAUACAUCCAAGGGUUCUCUAUAAGCCGUGUCAUAUCCAAGUUCGAUUAUAUGCAGGAUUACCCAAAGACUAACAAUUUGAGGGAUUAUCUAUAAGUCAUAUUAUAUCCUAGGUCGGAUGAUGUGCAGGAACACCUGAAAUCUAGCGAUUGGAGGGAUAUAUGUAAGCCAUCUCUUAUUUAAAGUCGGACAAUGUGCAGGAUUACCUAAAAGCUAGAAAUCAAAAGGAUAUCUGUAAGUCGCCUCGUAUCCAACAUCAAAUAAUGUGUAAGAUUAUCUAAAGAUUGAUAAUUUAAAGGAAAUUUAUAAAUCGAUCAUCGGCUAUAACUGGAGAGGUUAUCAUUCCACAUGCAACAAAUGAUAUAGGUACCCAAAGGGUUGCCACACCAGCACGCCAUUGUCCAAAAGGGCCACCCACUUUGAAGACAUAUUCAACCGACAAAUGUCAUAAUUAUACAACAACCAAGAGGGUUGUUGUGUUUGGUAUUGUCGGUUAUUUCAUUCCAAACAGGUACAUGAAGAGAUGACUCCACUUUUCAGGCCACAACUCACGUGGAGAUAUGGUAAAAGACUGCAUGCCUCUUUCGUGAAUUAUGUUUAGCACUAAAAAUUUUUGCUUGAAGCAUUGUCGAGGGCAUCCGUGAGGAUGAAAAUCUUAAAUCAAAACCACAGGUACGGAUGACUUCAAAUAGGAUGCAAUACCCGAAUCCAACCCGUUUUCUUUUUCCUCGUUAUGAUCACGCACGUUCCACAUGAAUCCAUACGAGAAGAUGCUAAGAAUAUUCUAGAAACACACUUAGGUGUCUCAUCCAACGUUCAAAUCUCAAAAUUCUCGCAUAGAGGUUUACGAAUUCGUACAUAGGUGGAGUAUUUUCAUUGGCUUGUGAAGAUUAUUCCCUUUCCACCAAUUUCUAUUGGCCACUUUUUGGAAUUCCGUUCAAGAAAAUCAAAAUAGAGGUAUAGUUUGUUAGGGUCCAGAUCUUUUUAAUUUAAAAAAUGAACCCUCAAUCCCCUUCUAUAAGUAGCUCUCUUUAGAGCAAGAAAAAGGGAUUUUUUAGGGGAUUUUGGAAUUUUUUUUCACUGGCAACUCCUUUCCUUUGUGGGUUUUCCUCUUCUUUCUCUUUGGAGUUUGAAAUUUUAGAAGCAAAAGGGGUUCAAAAGUUUUUAUUUGAAAAUUUGGGGUUAGAGAAAAUAUUCAAAAAUUCAGAAAUACACAAAAAAAAGAGGGUUAGAAAGGGGGGCUCUCAGAGGGAAAAAAUAUUCUCUUUACGCCCAAGAAACAUACAUUUUUAGGAGGUGCGUCUGAACUGUCGAAGCAGUUGUGAGUUUUUCGGUGGUUGGAAUCCUAUCGUCAGCUCGUUAUACCAUUUUGCUGCCCCGAAAGAGGUAAAUACACCUUUCUUUUUAAUUUUGUUGUGGUUAUCAUUUUCUUCUUCGUGGUUCCACUUCUGUUUGCUGGGAAUGACUGCUGUAGAGGCCUGAAAGGCAUAGGAUUUUCAUUUUUGAUAUAUUGUUCUACUAAAAAACUCAUUCUUGAUCAUGUUUGAUUGGUUGUCGUUCAUUCUUAAUCUCUCUCAUUUUAUUCUGUCUGAAUGUUACUAGUUAGCUUUAAUGCUUCAACUUUAGAAACUAUUUUACUGGUCUCAUAUUUGUUGUUGCUUUGUAGUUCAUAGAGUAGGAGAGUAACAUAUUUACGUAUUUUCGAAAUUCGAAAAAAUGUUCAAAGAAUAGAUAUUAGGCAGCCUGUUUGCAUAUCUUUUUCGCUCAGACGUAGGAAAUUGUUAUAAAUAAGAACUCCAAUGUUAUUUUCUACCGACUUGCCACUCUCGAUGUACGAUAGUCUCAUUUGAUUCUAAAGUUUAUUUUAAAAUAUGAGAGUGGACCAUAGGUCUGAAUUAUGUUUUCUUCAUGGCUAAUUCAAUUUGCUGUAAUUGACUCAUGAGAACAAAUUAAAGUUUGACGGGCUAAUGUUUCUUUCCUUUCUUGCUUUUCUUGUUCGGAUAUAAGCUGUGGCAUCUUGUCUUAUGAUUAAAUUACCUAAAAUUAGGUUUAUGUAGUGUUAGAAUCUCAUUUGUUUGUUAACCCAGUGGUAACGAAGGUAUUAAGAUUUCAGCCUUGCUUUUCUUGAAGUUUCAGCUAUCGUAUUCCUUGCCUAAAGUGAUUAAGUCUUUAAUUUUGUAUGUUUGGCAUUCUGGAAUUUGAAAGUUGCUUGUGAUCUAUCGUUUAUGUAGUAUGAUCUAGGAUUUGUAACUCUUUUUUGUGACAUGCUUAAUUGGGUCCUUUUGUGGCAUUAAAGUGAUAAAUUAUUUUCUUUAUUUUGCUAAAGACCAUAAGAAUUUCUUGUUGAAGCUUUAUUUCCUCCUGUAGUUGAAAUUUCUUUAAUUGAUUAUUAACAUUUUCUUCAAACAUAAUAGACUUUUUAUCCUAUGGCAUUUUUACCUGUGUAUGAGUGUAUUUGAAUGAAGAAGGAAUGCUAUAGCUUAUUAUAUGUUAAAAUCUUGGACGUAUGUUAAUUUCUUCAUUCCUUUCUUUACAUGUUCAUUCCUUUCUUUACAUGCACCCCCUUUGGAGUUCAAAUGGACCCCUUCUCUCUUUGCAUUUCAUAAAUGGGCCAAUGAGGCCUAUCCUUCUGAGUUAAACCCAAAAGAAAAUCCAAGAAUCCAUCACAUGGCGUAUGGAUACAAGGAAUCGAAAUAAGAAUGGGUUAAAGUUCAAUCUUUGAAGCGGCAAAGGGGACUUGAAAAUCUCGUUAUUUCUUAUUUAUUGAUUUAUUUAUCCAUUGUUUUCAUUAUUUAUUUAUUUAUUUACUUAUUUAUAUUUUUUUUUAUUUAGUGACUUAUUUAUUUAUUCAUUCGGGCCUCGAAGCCAAAGUUGUAAAUUUAAAACAGGUGGAGCGAGACUCGAGCUGAAAAGGGCUCAAAAACAUAAAAUUAAGACAGGUGAAAGAUGGGUCAAAAACCUAACUAGAUUAGGACAGGAUCGACUGUUUGGGCUUGAAAGCCUAAAUCACUACUUCCCCCCUUUCCCUUUUUUCUAUUUGCUUACUUGUUUUACGUGUGUUUUGCGAACCUAGUAAAAUCCUUAGUCAAGUCGCUAAAAAAAUUGGUUUUGCAUAAACACCAAAAUAUUCCUAAAAUUGCUUUUCUUUUCAAAAAAUACACUUUUUCAAAGUUAAUCAAAAGAUGAUUUUCAAACAGUCCGGAUAACCGCAAGUUAGCGGACAUUUUAGGUGCCUAAUACCUUCCUAAAACGUUAAUAGGAACCGCUUAUCUUGAAUCUCUAACUUAAAACGAUUUUUUUGUUUUGAAUCGUUUGCAGUAACUCUCUAAAGGUUUCUUAUUUCCUUUUCAAAAUUAAGUGGCGACUCUCAAAAAGUCAAAAUUUCCACAAAAAAAUAUCAACCACAAUCACAUCCACACAUCUACUACCCCCACCCGAAAGUAGUAGAAGAAUAAGGGUUUGUAGUAAUUCAAGUACCUUAUCCUCUUGACGCUUGCACUUCUUCUCUUUUAGUUCAUUAACAAAUUUGUUAAAUAUUUCAAGCAGCAAGCCCUCACCACCCAUUAUUCUGUAAAAUAAUAACAGCAAAGAAAUUCACAUUCAAUGUUACGGCAUAAUGAGAAUCAUGAGAUUAUGAAUAAAAAAGUAAAAAUCCAGAGCAUUUCAUUUUAUAGACAAAGAGGCUAGACAAAUUGAAACUAGAGAUUUAGCAGCAUACUUCAUCAGAACCGUGAAACAAUCACAAAUGCCAGCAAUUAAAAAACUAAAACAAUCACAAAUGUCAGAAAUUUAAAAAACUAACUGCUAGAGCUAUUAAACGCCCAGUGUUGGAACAACUAAUAAUUGACAUCAACCAAUUUCUAGAGGGAUAAGUUCAACAUUAAAAAUCACUUAGCAAAAUGGUAAUUCAUGCUAAUACUAUAAAGAAAUAGCCUACCUAAAUGUUGAGGAAUAUAAAACAACAAAUCAUUCAACACAGCUAUUAUUCUAAGGUACAUUCUAGAACUAUGUGAAUUGCUGAGUUUAGAAUAUUGAAGGAGUUGGUCCUUGAAAAUAAUAUCAAUUAUCAUUCUCCAAUAGUCCUUGCAAUCGUGUUACGAAUUCUAGAUCAAUAAAAGCAAAAGAAGCUACUUGCCUAUCUCUGAAGAGGGAUUUCCAGUCCUCCCAUUUCGACGAUGCAGUAAUUUCCUGCAACCAUAGCAAACAAAUAGAUUAUGGUUUAAAGGAAAUAUCAUGGGAUCCCAUCCAUUGCAAUGUGAGAGAUUGUGAACUGUUUUCUAUAUCUUUGAUGCAUGAAGGAGUUCAUAGAACUCAUCUGCUAGACGUUUACGCUUUUUAGCUUCUUUUUCUUCUUUCUCCCUGGCCCUUUCCAGUAACUCCUCAAAGACAAACUAUGCAGAUGAAAUAUGCACAUUCAAUACUCAAUGACUCGACAAGCCCAAACGCGUAGAACAUAAAGUUUAUAAAGGAAGUAUGGAAUAAGAUUCAGUAUAAUCCAUGUAUGUCCUCUUAUUCCUUCGUUUGAAAGGCAAGGGUGAUAUAAUGUAAGACUAUUAUUACCAUCUUUUGGAGUAACUCCUCGCAUUAUAAUAUUUGAUAAAAUGCUUUAAAAUAGUUUUGAGCUAUUGAAAGUAAACUAAAAGCCUUAAGAGACCCAACCGUCUAAGCAUAAUUCUUCGACAAGAUACCCCUUGCAAUUCCCUCUUCCCACAUACAUAGAUUAUACGCCAUGACCAUAAAUAAACUCCAAAAUUGAAAUGAUAUAUGAAGAAUAUCCUCAUUACAAAAAAAGAAAAUGAUCGUUGAUAUCAUCCAUUUAUGCUGUUUAACCACUUUCGCAGAGUAAAACUCUUAUCCACUAACCGUAAAAAUAGAAAACUACAACGCAAAUUGCUUUGAAUUAAGCAACUUAAGAUAUGUGCGGUAGGUGUAAUAUUAAACACCGCCAUCCAGGAAAUAAAAAGUAAGGAAAAUGGUACCAAAACUAAAGAAUUGGAAGAAAAAGAUAACACCAAAUAUUUGAUCAAUGUGGUCCUCGUCUUUAUUCUUGAAGGUUUCAGGCUUACUUGCUAACCGACACACUACUCUUCUAUUAACUCCAUUACUAGAAGAUCCAGAUUUAAUGUGGGAUAGGUUAUGGUUGAUACUAAAGGAAAAUUCCACUAACCACAGUUGACUACCUACGAUUUGCCAAUUUAGCAAUCACAAACUGACCGACUUCCAGUGAAACAUAACAUGGAAGUACUACUAAUGCUUUUGCACUCAAUCCACUCAUCUUAUGCAGGACCUGUCCCAAAGACAAAAAGGGGACAAAUACAUAAAAAUCCAUUUAACGAAUGGGGUACUUCAAUUUUCACAACAUUCAAUUCAACAUAGGUCGAUGUGAAACAGUAUACAGUGCUUAUCCAUAAUUAGACCUUUAAGUUGGUAUCUGACAUUGGUGGAGAGCUAAUAUACUUGGCGAUUGCAACCUUAAAAUCAUCAAGCAUCCAGGCUAAUGUCAAUCCAAUCUGAAAGUAGACAUGGCUCAGCCAAAAUAUUAGGUACUAACCAAAGCACAACAGAGGUUAAAAUGAAGAGUGGUGAUUACCUCGGCCAUCCUAACUGCAUCUUUAAUUUGUGACUUGUCAUCAAGAUACUGAAGCAACAUACAAGUAACACAAAUUCAGAAUGCUUAUCAGUAACAAAAAUAGGAUACCAAAUGGAGCUUUGUCCAUGCAUUUGAGUUACCAUAAAGUCUAUAAAUUACAAGCAGGGUGAUGGGGAUGAAAUUUCUUUCAUGAAUACCAACAUUUCUCCACUUGUUCAAAGUCAUCUACAAUNNNNNNNNNNNNNNNNNNNNNNNNNNNNNNNNNNNNNNNNNNNNNNNNNNNNNNNNNNNNNNNNNNNNNNNNNAAAAAUGGAUAGCAUCUCUGUUAACAGCGCUUUCAUUAUAUUUACUUAAUAAGAAUCAUUUAUGCACACAAACAGUAAUACAAACUUUAAAGAUAGAAGUUGACAUCAUUAUCUGACAAGGGAAAAAGAAAAAAUAUUCAGCAUCUGAGUUUAUGUAUAACUCUCAACAUCCCAUAGCAAGAGCCUAACUCAAGAAAACAUUUCCAAAUCCAAUCAUUGAAUAAGAGUACGAACAGGAUCAUUAUCAUGCUAGGAUACCAGGUAAACUCCCUCUUUCAUCAAGCAAGGAGAUAAAUGCUAAUAAAAUUUGAUCAUUCAACUUCAAUUCUUUUCAGAAAGGGCAGAGGAUGAAACAAUAUAUCGUUUAGUUAGUCGCAAUGGUGUAUUACGGCCAAAAAAAUCAUAGUGAGGGAGAUGCAACUUUAUUUAGAGAAACAGAGAUGCUCUCAGGCACUUUUUCCGAGGCUAAUCUUUUCUAAGCCUUUACUUUCAUUACAUCUCAACUACCUCUUCAGAGGCGAAUUCUGGCACUAAGUUUUUUUAGUCUAAGCUAUAUGGUUGACAACACAAUAUAUUUUGAAUUGGGUUUUAAGUUGCAUGAUAUCAUCCGAAGUGAAAUCAAAACUGGGGUGUGGUACAAAUGGACAAAACAUGGCCAAAACUUGACCAGACAAACUACUUUCAGGUCUCAUUUGUUUGCACUUAUUGGAUUUAUGAACCUGUUCAGACCUCAAACCAUUAAGUGCAUUUGUUUUUAUUAGGAUUUUAGCUCUUAAUAGGUCUGAGUAGGUCUUAAUCAUUCAUAUGUGGAACCAAGUCUAAAUAUCAUUUACAGAUAUUCUUGUGUAGGAUAAAAUUCACCACCACUUUAUCCACAAUCACCUGGCACCACCACCAACCACUUCCACCAUCACAACCAACAUCACUACCAACUACACUACCAGCCGCUACCACACCUACCACUUCCAUUAUUCUAAUUAUAUCCACCUCCAACUAGGGGUGUUCAAGGUUUGGUUUUUAACACAACUUAACCGCGAUACAAACAAAACCGAUUAAAAAAAACUAUAUUUGGUUAGGUUUGGUUUGGAUUUGAAUUUUAAAAGACCGAUACUAAUUUGAUUUGGUUUGGUUUGGUCUUACUCUAAAAUAACCAACAAAAUAACCAAAACGAACCAAUAUACAUAUAUAUUAUAAUUAUUUAUAUGUUUUUCAUAAAUGUAAUCUAAAUAUUUGUUACAUUUUAUAUUUUAAUCAUGAUUUAACUUUAGUCGUAACACAUUCAGUCAUGUGUCUUCAUCUAGUUGACAAUACAUUAUGAGAUUCUAAAUGAAUUUCAUAUUUUGAAUGACAAAUGAUACUAAUUGUGAAAGUAAUAUCUUGUUAUAUAUUGAAAUUUACAGCUGAAAUUUAUUAGACUAUACACAAUCACUAAUUUUAACUUUCUUUUGAACCUUGUUGAGCAAGAAGUUUAUGUGUUCACCUUUUGGGGGUUUAUCAUAUCAUUCUAUUAAAUAUAGUUUUAAAAUAUUUUUUAAAAGCGUUCAUAUGGUGUUAUCAUGGCUUUGCCGAAGUAUAACACUCAGUUGACAUCAUAGUUUCAAGAUUGAGAUACAACACUUGGUUGACAUCUCAUAUGUUAGAUUUGAUUUGUUUUUUAAAAAUUUCAACAUAUAUCAUUAACUAAAGUUAUAAACUAAAAAACCCGAAUCAAACCAAACUAAACCGACAAGAACCAAACCGAUGGUUAUUUUUUUGUUUGGUUUGGUUUGGUUUUAGAAAUUUAAAAACCAAUUAAUUUGGUUUGGUUAUGGUUUUGACCACUAACCGACCCAUAUUGACCCAUGAACACCCCUACCGCCAACGUCGCCACCAUCAACUGCUACCAGUUGAUCCCUGCUACCGACCAACUCAUCUAUCAGAACUACCACUACCACUAAUAACCACCUACACAUCAUCAACUUCCACACAUCACUAACAACCACUAACACAUCAUCAACUUCCACACAUUCUUCGGACACCAUCACCACCACUGUCACCGGCGUCACCACCUCUACCACCAGCAUCCGCUACACUCGCUACAGUAUCUGUACUAACAACCAUUCAACCAUCACAGCUAACAGUGUCUCCAACAACCACCAACACAUCGUCAACCAUCAUGCAUACAGUUUUUCAUCACCACGAUCAACACCUUCAACUACUAACAUUAACCAACUUCACAUCACAACCACCACCACCACUACCAAUCGCCAAUAUUAUGACAGUAACUACAAUUCCAACUAUCUCUACUAUCACAACUAUUAUCACCAACAUUGCUAAUCACUAACAUCAAUUAAUUUAUUACAACCACCACCACCAUUACAAACCAUCUCCACUAUCACUAAUAAACAUAAAUGUUUCCUUUUUUAAUCAAAUAAUAAUUUUAUUGCAUUAAAUUAAAAAAAUUUCUAAUAAAUAAUUAAAUUAUAUUUAGAAAUAAAUAAAUUUUGCAUAUUCAGAUAUUGAGAAACACCCAACCUUAAUCAUUUAGUUUUCAGAUCUAGAGACAAUAUCUUAACCAUUCAGAUGUGCAUUCAAAAUGAUUCAAAUGUCUAAAUAUUAAUAAAAACAAAUGCAGUCUUAGCUGAAACACAAUAGUGUGGUUGUGUGAUACUUUAAAGGAAUCCUCGAAAGUCAAAGAAACUACAUGAAAACAUGGAAGUUUGAUGAUCACUUCUCAGAGUUGUUCUGCUCGAGAAACUAUAACAAUUAAGGUAACAUAACCAUUAACAGCAUUCAACGGAGGAGAAGUCAAUUACAUAUGUCUGUGAAGUAGUAUUUAAUAUAGCUUGGCUAGAUUGAAAGAAUCAUCUAUAUCUAUACUACAUUAAAAGCAUGGAACCCCUAACUUAAAAGUUUACGACAAUAUGAUUCCUAUCAGCAUAAAUACGUACUAUCUAGUAAAAAAAAAGAGGAAACUAAUUGGCAUAAAGAGAAACAACACAGAUGUUUAAUAGGAACAACCGAUCAUUGUUCUUAUCUCAACAAAAUAUGUGUUAUUUAAAAAAAAAAAAAGCAAGCAGAGGGGUAACUCUCAAAUCUCAAUCUCAUGCUUUUAUCCUACCAAGUAUGUUCUAUUCUUUAAUGCACAACAACAACAACAACAACAACAACAAACCCAGUAUAUUCCCACAUAGUAAUGCACUAACUUACUUUUUUACCCAAUGAAUUGAACUUUUUAGUGAGGAUCUAAAUGAUUUUCAGACUUUGUUUAACAUCUGAUUCAUUAAGAUAUAUUAACAGGUUGAAUCUUUUUUUAAAAAAAGCACUUAAUAGGCUGAUAUCUGAACCAUUCAGAUCCAAACCUUCAUUAAGUGAAAGCAAAUGAAAAGGGAUUGUAGUGUAAAGUCUAUAAAUAUGGGUUAGUGUAACAAAUGUAGUUGACACAAUUCAAUACUCCUAUUAGCAACCUAUUUCACCUGUUUCUCCAGCUCAUCCAUAACAUCUGUAAAUAAGUAGUACCUGGAAAAUCUCCAAGCGAUUGAUUUUCUCAAGGCAGGAGCAUCUUUCAUCAGUUUCCAAGCGGUCCUGAACUUUCCACCACUGGCUACUAGCCUGAACAAAAGAAGUCAGCAACAAUGGAACUAUGGAAGUUCUAUCUUCUUGAAAUAGAAAAACAUAAUCUAGGAACUGAUGCUAAGACCACUAGAACAAAUACCUUAAUAAAGUCAAAGGAUUUUAAAAAUUCUAAGUACUCCACUCUAUUGCGCUUCUGCUCCUCCAAUGCCUUCGCAUGCUUCUGGUAAAAUCCAGUACAAAGUAAAAAAAAUAAAAUUUCUCUUUAAAGAAAACAAUAUGGACAAAGAGACUGUAACUACACUUUCAUGAAAGUAACGAAAAACUCUUCCUGUUUUACGAUGGAGAGGGGAGAGGAAGAAGCAUAUCAUAGUUUCAAGUUUCAAGAAAAAUUACAUACAAUACAUGGAAGUCUAUUUAUAUUAGAAUUCAAUGGUGAACAAAUUUAAAUCUUGUACCCUUGAGAAGCCAUUAAAAAUGUAUUCAAAGAACACAAGAUUUUAAGUUGAAUAUCUACAACAUUCCUUCUUUCUACUCUUUAAGCAAAACAAAAAAAGGGAACAAACUAAAAGACAUCCUGCAAAGGAAAGGAAUGGAAUGACUGUUGUUAAUCAAGUGGACCAGUGCCAAACUCAACUUCAAAGUCUAGGUCAGGUGGUGAAGAAUGUCCAAGAUCAUAUAAGGAAACUACAGCACAUACACCUUACUAGUGUGGGAUUCUCAUACAUUAAUCGAACACCAAGACUAGACAUUUGUAGCAUCAGUUAACCUAGGUUGGCUAACAUCUAAUAGUCUAACAUCAAGAUAGAUCUGCCUCUAAUACCAUGUUUAAGAAAUUGGACCUUGUUUCUAUCUCAAAUGAAAGGCUAACUUAAUUUGUGAGGAGCCAAAGACCAUAUAAGGAAACUACAAUCCGCACACUUUGUUUUUAACAUAUAGAAGCUUACAAGAAAGUUCUGCAAAAGAAGCAUCAACUUUUUAUCUUAUUCCUCCACAUAAUCUUCAAAAAGGUCCCCACAGUCUUUAGCUCGCUCAACAGCUUUAAAAUGUUCAUCAUGUUCAAAUAUGGAGAUUGCCUUACUGAAUAAUCAAUAGCAAAUAGUUGGUGGAUCAAAUGGAACUUACAUAAGUAAUGGAUCAACUUCAAGGUACCAAAACACAUACAAACAAUGACCAAUAUUAGAAAACAAGCAACAGACAACUUAACAUUACAAGUGAAAGACAAACCUCCAUCUUGAUGAUGGUGACAGCUCCUUGCAAUCCUGUAAGAUUGAGAACAACGGACAUUGUUAUGAAAAAUACCACUUAUUCUUUUGAACAAGUCAAAUACCAGUCACUAACACAUCAUGAAUAUUAUGAUAAUAUCUUUUUAUUUUUGAAACUGGUAAUGUGAAUAUCAUGAUAUAUCAAAUAUAAGACACCCACAAAAGAAAAUUUCACUUACUUUUAAAAUUACCCUGAAAUCUUCCCGAGCUUUUUUCUGUUUAACACGCCUCUCUUCAGCUUCUAGUUUUCUCUUUUGGCUCAAAUACUGGAACAGACACACGACUUCAAAAUGAUCACUAUAGACCUUAGGUGUGUUUGGUAUGAAGGAAAAUGUUUUCCUAGAAAACAAGUUGGUUUCUUACUUGAUUUCUUAUGUUUAGUUGAUGAAAGGAAAAUAUUUUUUAGAAAAUUUUUUCUAGUGUUUGGUUGGUGAAUAAAAAAAUAUUUUUCAGAAAAUACAUUUGAGAGUUGUAUAAAAAUUUCAACUUAAGAGUGAGAUUGAAAGAGAGUUUUGGAAAAUGUUUUUCCUACUUUUGGAAGGGAAUUCAUUUUCCUUAAAUUUAAGAAAAAUAAGUUGAUUUGGAAAACAUUUUCCAAAAUAUUUAAGUCAACCAAACAUGAAACAAUUCAAUAUCAAACACAAUCUAUCUUUUUGCAAUAUGGUAUGCUGAAACAUUGAGGCAACAAUUAACCAUUCCAAUGCCGACUUGGAGAGAUACCUCAUUAAAAGCUUGCUUCUGCUCACAAAGGGAUUUUACAGCACCAUAUCUCCGGUCAUUAAUUACUGCUCUCAUGGCCUGACUAAUACAAUUCAUGUCAAAUGAUCUCCCUCAAUUGUUUGGUACGCACAAAACACUCAAGUAAUAAACCUGAUUCCACAUGCAAUCAGACCCAAUAUUUGCAGAUUCCAAAAGAGUUUUGAAUGUACUCUUUUCCUCCUAAAUAAAAUCAGAUACUUAAAAUAGAAAUAAGAGAAAUUUCGAGAACAUACAUUAAACGAGACAAAAAGCAAUAAUCAACUAUACCGCUUUGCUCUCAUAAACUAAUGGUCCCAGCUCGACUAUUUUCUCAUCUGAUGGAGUAGUACCUCCGAUUUCAGUUAUUACAACAUCUUUCUUGACAUUCUGCAUGUUAGGCACAACAUCAAUCACAAAGGACAAAAGCAAACCUCAUUGGAAUUUGUAGCAUAUUCUUCACCUGUUAGCAGUUGACUAACAACUACACUACAAAAUUGUUGGAUCAACAUCCAGCAUAACAGCUAUGAAAAGCUUUCUUGGUGUUUUAACCAGUAACCAGUAGUAAUUAACUAAUUGCAUAAGUAUUUCAGAAGGACAAAGUACCUCUCUAUUCUUCGAAGAAAAUCCAUCACCAUACACUACUGUAACUUGAGUUGUAGUAGUCUCAAAACUACAGAAAAAUUGAAUUCCAAAUAAGAAGCAACAUAAACCAGAGGCAAAUUUAUAACAUAUAAAUCUGAAAACAUGCACCGGUGGCGCGACAGAAUUUCCCAAGGUUACUGCUAUUCCAAUUUUCUCUGAAUUAGCAACAGCUGGCAAAGCAGGUUCUGAAGAAUUCUUCAUUUCAACUGUUCCAAUCAUCGGAGAAGAAACAUUACCAGAUAAACUUGAUGAUUCUAAAGCCACAAUAGUUGGUAAGUUAGCAGCUGGUGACACAGCAAUUGGGCUUGAUUUAGCAUCGUGUGCCGAGACUAAUAAACCAUCUGCACCCGGGGAUGAUGUUUUAACAACAGAAAUGGAUCCAAAAUCAGAAGCGUGCAAAUUCUCUCCAGGACUUGUAAAUUCUCUCCAGUAAGUUGAUGCGUCUGCCUUCUGUCCCAAUGAAAACUGAAUAAAAGUAGGUUAAGUCAAAAAAUAGAACAUAAACAGUACCCUGAGAGUAGAAAUCAAUAACUUCCAGCAGUACAAUACUGGAUGGAAGUGUUAGAAUAUGAAUGAUAUAAUGUCCCACAUAAAAAAGGACUAGCAUGUACUGUGUAGAAUAUAACUACAAGCAGGGUGGAAACAUUGCCAAGCUGCGGCUGAGCUACAACUAUCCAAGGGUGAUCAACUCAACAACAUUCGCUUGAUAAUCGUAUUUUGUAUAUAUAUAUAUAUAUAUAUAUAGGUCAAAUUCUGUCGUUUCUAAGUAUUUUUUAAUGAACACCCUCGCCACAAAAAACAAGACGGAGUGUGACAGUAAGGGUGUUCAAAUCUUGCAAUGAGGUUCUAAGUUCCAUACUCAACACAGCCCCCCCAUAAUUUUUUUUUUCAUUUGGACACGUUUGAAACUCAUAAACUACAGUUAUGCUUUUUUUGAUGAAUCAAUUUCUGAACAUGUGUUUUUUGUCCCAAUUAGCUCUUACAAAAGAGCUAGUAACUAGCAUGCCAGGUAUCAGAAUUUUGUUAAAAUAAACUUAAAGGUAAAUUUAUAAAGUGGUUGUUAUACUAGCUAUCUUGCAUGGGGCAGAGUGUUUGGCUGGUCAAGAGCUCGCAUGUUCGAAAGAUAAACGUAGAAGAAAUGAGGAUGUUGAGAUUGGUGUGUGGGCAUACUAGGAGAGAUAGAAUAAGGAACAAAGAUAUGCGAGAAAAAGUGGUAGUGCUCUCUGUGGUGGACAAUUAACAAGAAGACUAGAGGGUUGGGGAUAAAGAACCUAAAAAUUCAAAGUAAGGCUCUCGUGAUGUAAUGGUUUUGGAAAUAUGCAAACAAUAACCAGCUGCUAUGGAGGAAAGUGAUUGGGACUAAAUAUCCUGAAGAAGAUAGAUGGAUAAAUAAAGAAUUGACCACACCAUACGGGAUUAUCCUCUAGAGAUCUAUUAGACAAUAGUGGAAUGAAGUUAAAAGAAACUCAAAGGUUAAAGUGAUGGAUGGAAACAAGACUAGGUUCUGGAAGGAUAAUUGACAUGAGGAUGGGAAUAUGGAAGUUAUUUUUCCUGAUAUCUACAACUUGGUAUUGCUUCAAUAGAGGACUAUAGCAGAAUUAUGGACACCACAUGGGUGGAACUUCAAUUUCAGAAGGCAACUUAAUGAACGGGAGGUAAUGAGAGUAGUUGAAUUUUUUAAUACCAUGGACUUAUUCAAUGGACUGCAAACAGUGAAGGAUGUACUAUGGUGGAUGGGAAAUGAAAAAGGAAUGUUCAGUGUCAACAAAGCCUACAAGAUAAUGAACCAAAUAAAUCACCCAGAUCCAAGAUGGCCAUGGAAGAAAAUAUGGAAAAGUAGGAUACCUCACACAGUGUCGUGCUUUGUCUUUGUCUGGUUACUAACCAAGGAAGUAGUUCUUACACAAGAUAAUGUCAUGAAGAAAGGAAAAACCUUGUGCUCCAUAUGUUUCCUCUGUGGAGAAACUUAGUGAUGGUUAACCAUGUAUUUCUACAUUGUAAGUACACCCAACAACUUUGGAGAAUCGUCUCAAGACUAAAAGGCAUUUCCAGGACAAUGCCUAGGAAAGUAUCCAAGACUUUAAUAUGCUGGGAGAACCAGGUGUACAUGCGAAGAACAGAGGUAGAUGGAGAAUUAUCCCUGGUGCUAUAUGGUGGGCUAUAUGGAAAGAAAGGAAUUCUAGAUGUUUUGAAAGCAUAGAGAAUAGUGUGCAGAAGGUUAAACUCAAUUGCAAUUUUGCUUUUAUGUUUUUAGUGUAAUCAACUAUACUCUAAUGAUAUUACCUCGAUAAUUGAUGUUCUAGACUAAAUUUAGAGAUAGAACAGUUGAUUUUGGAGUACUCUUGUAUAUAAAGGUUUCAGUACAACCCAUGUACUGUGUGAUAUAAUACAAAGUUGCCAAGUUCAAAAAAAAAGAUAAUAAUUUUUCAAGUACUAAAAGUUUAUAAAAUAACAAAUAAAGCAAUUAAAUCUGAGUUCAAAUUAGGUGGGUUGGGUUAUGACCCGAAUUUUAGAGCAUUUCAACCCAACUCGUUUCAGCCCAAGUAGCUUUAGGGCGGGUUAAUAACCCGCCCAUUUAUUAACUCAGACCUCUUUGAUCCGCCCAAAUCCAGCCAACCCCGCCCAUUCGACACCUUUAUUUUAAAAGAAGUAAAGUGGACCAUGCCAGAACACAUACCAGAUCUAUUGAGUUGAAGUAAAGUGGACUAUCAAAGGACACACAACAAUCUGUUGAGUUGUUGGAUUAGUGGGGAUUAAAAAGAGUGAGAAGAAACGGGGGAGAACAAUCCUUCCUUGUAUUUGGUGGACUGUAUGGAGCGAGAAAAUUUGAAGGUAUUUUGAAGAUAAAUAUAAUUCCAUUCAGAAAGUUAAAUGAAAUAACAUUGUAGAUUUUUGUUUAUUGUUUAAGGGCCAAUGUGUACAGGAUGCAUAACAGGUAGUAGAUCUCUUCGAAUCCUAGCAUUAUUUUCAUUAUUUUUCAUUUCUUUUGGACUGUUAGCAUAAUCUUAACGCUGACGAAUACAAAGUAAUAUCUCUGAAAAAAAACUGUUUAUCUGAAAAAAAAAAGGAAUAAAAAUGUUCAAACUUCCUUACAGCUCCAGUUGUUGGUCCCUUAAUACUUGUCCCUCACAACCAGCCAAACUUUCUUUGAUAACCGUCAUGUUUGGGCCAGCUUGCACCUUGACUAGUUACACCAGGUACUGCUACCUCCCACCAGCACAGAUACUAGGUAACUCUGUCCAUCAAGGCUUGGACAGACGGUAAGAAAUCACCUAGUGUUUUUAUCUCUGUUGGAAAUUAAACCUGAGACCUCAUGGUUCUCAAUCUACUUCAUUGACCACUAUGUCACACUUUUGGGUGCAAGUGUGCAACCAGCCAAACUAUUAUUCUGUAAACCAGAAUGAGAAGUGUCAACCACAAUAUUAUAUCAAGUUUCCUCUCUCCAUAUCAUCAUUGAGUUACAAUAACAUUACAUUAAUCAGAAAGUAAAUAAAAUUGUUUAAAAUAGACCAAAUAUAAUCCUGUCGUGUAUGCUUAAACACAUUUUUUAGAACAAUAGUGUUAAAUAUAAAAUCUUUUAGAACUAUAUUAGAAAUAAAAGGUCAAUGCAAAUCCCAAAUGAAGCCUACAUAGUAUAGUAAGAUCGAGGAAAUUUGCUCGCUAAACAAAUUUUCAACAGAAAUCACAUAUACUUAGGAAAGAAAAAGAGUUUCUGCGAAGCUUCAUAGAAAAAGAAUCAUGUACUUCUUUUUCAUUGAUAAGCACAGGAAACUGGAUAAAACUACCCAUAAAAAUCUCGAUGACAUGAGACCUCACCUCCAUUUCUGUCAUUAUCUCUCGAGGUUUCUCCCAGGUAGAGAUUCUUGUCCUUCUAUUAUAAUAGUAUCUAAAAAUCAAUUCAAGAAUUGUAAGAAUGUUACUAAUUGGUUGGAGUAAUAAAGCCAUAGGAAAUAUGACAACAUUAGCAACCAUAACUGGCCUACUGAUCAUCAAAAGAUGCUGAAAAUAGCAAUACCUACUAGCAUUUAGACACAUGUAAAUAUGUAUGAUAAUAGAGAAAUGGGGUCAAAAUGAAGUUAUCGGUAGUGGUGUAUCAAGUUCUGCUGAUCAACAGUCAGGUAGAAUUUGGUAGCGGUGAACGGCAGCCCAUAUGAUAACUUUGACAAAGAGGACUGAAACAAAUGGGCCUAUUAUCUCCAGUGCUAAUGGAAGCAGAAUGAUGUACAAAGCACUAGAUGUGGAUACUUGAGGAUUUCUUGGCAGUGAUGGGGGCCAACAUAUCCACCACUUGUUCAUAGACAAGAAAUUAAGUGUUUGUCCAAAUCGGCAUGCUCUUUUUUCUGGAGAACACAAAGUGGUAAAAAGAUUGGAUCUAAAUGAAAAUGAUUGCAGAGCUCCUUUUCUUGUAUACUGUGGUUUUACACCUUUCUUGUUCACUGGAAUCUUAAUUUGCUUACAAAAAACUAUCAUAGAAUUCAAAUGUUGACACUCUCAGUCAACACACACCCAUUAACCCAUUAACUUAAGUAUGUUACUUGUUGACAACAUUUAUGCAAAACGGGUACAAUAAAACACAUUGAAUUCUUACUGGAAUAACCAAGGGAGUUGUUAAUUCUCCAGUCUUCUACAUAGUUGUCGCAGAAUUCACAUUAUGAUUAAUUAGUGGCAUCCAGGGUUAUACCCCUGAUGGAAACGUAUGAUUAUUUAUCUGUGUCUGAUACUGGGAGCCAGAAGAAUCAACAUUUACCUGCUGUUAAAGACGAUAACAAAAUGUAUUUCAUCAAUAUAUGAAUGGAACAUCGGAAACUUAUUGACAAUAACCAAAAAAGAUCUUCCCAAGGCCUUACAUUAUAUGAAGAAGAAACAGGUAAAUUUGGGGCACCAGAACCAGGCAUGUGGUUAUUUGACAUCGGAAGAUUUCGCUGAAAAUCAUGGGGAAUAGGUGGUCCCUAAGGAAUACUAUGCUUUCCUACUACAGGUCUACCAGUAACCUAUUGCAUAGGUUGAGGAAAUUGGAUUUGAGAAGGUUGAGACAUCGCAACAUUUGAAUGUCCAAGUGGCAGAAAUUAUUAAGAUGACCCGGAACCAUAAGGUUGUGCCUGUGGGCUGGAAGCAUAGGCUGAAACUGCUAAAGAUGUGGGGAAAAUAGUUAUCAUAAUGUCUCUACAUUCAAAAGUCAUUUAUACCUCCCCCGAGCCUCCACAACUUUACCUGCAAUGACAUGGAUGGAAUAGCACCAGGAGCAGGACCAGCCAGAGGAGGUAUAGGAGGCUUCUCAACCAAUAUCCAUGCAAGGAAGAACAAAUGAAAUCAGAAUUUAGCUACUUUUCAAUCAUAUUUAGUUAAUUUUCUAAUCAAUGUCGAAAGAUUGUAUCCAUGCGCAACUCCCUAAAUUAAUUUGAAAGACAAGGAAAGAAUUUUGAAGCCAAACCACAUAGUAACAUGAAACCAUUUUCUUCAUCUAAUAAAUAGAAAGCUUGAAACGAGAAUAAAGAGAGAUAGGAAAUAGAUGACCUAUCAUAGCGUUAGAAGAGAAUGGACAAAAUGAUAAGCAUCUUUACCUUAUGGCUUGGGUUCAACAUCUACUGAUGGUCUAAGUAUCUUUUCUUCGGGUGUAAAGAAGCACGUCUGUUAAUGCAAAACUAUGAUCAUGGAACUGAAACAUGAGGUAUGAGUAGGUAUUAGAAUAACUGAAAAAUACUGAGACCAGAAUGGGUUGAGCCUCACUCUUCCCUUCUGAUGUUCUAUGUCAUACUGACAUCACUACUAGAAUCUGAAAGCCUGACUUAGUUAUUCGCUCUAUCAUCUCCCCCUUAGCUUCAAGUCAUCAUAUUAAGUUUAGGAGAUCCCUUACUAGACUCUAAACUGAAGUACACUCACUGCAAUCUGGGGUUUGAAAAACUACUAUACACGCAUAUCAUGGCACUUAACCCAAAUGACUACACCUAAAAGUUGAAAACCCACUGUUAAUACUACCUUCUGAGAUACACUUUAUCAUUCUAUAGACCCAGUAGUCAUCAUAUAAUACUUGCAUACUUCUAACUUUGGGUCUUCAUAGGUAUCCCCAUAGUCGGAGUGCACACCCUCUAGUGCUUUAACUCUUAUUUCUAUUAGUUCAACCUUCAAAAACUCAAACUUAGAAUCUAGCUCUCAACAUGGAUAUCACUAAGACUUCAAUGAAUCAUACUACUUCCGACAUAGCCUACCAAUAUCGCGACUCCAAACUUACAUCUCUCUACUAUGAGAACUAAGAUCAUAUAAAAAGUCUCAACACUAUCAAUCAAACUCCUUAACUUGGCUAUUUAGAACGCCAUAUACCAUCUAACUAGUCUUUCUCCACCUAGCAACUCAACGGUACCACUCAUCACACAAAACGUGUAAUAGUCUUAGAAAAUACCGCAACCCCAGAUCACCUUGGGUAUACUUCUACAUUAUAUAUGCAACAUCAUACUUCACUACGAAUCAAAUAAACUUAAGCUCUUGCAUAUAUCUUUCAAUCCUAUUAGAUUACUUUCAUAAAACUAGUAUCAUUAACCAAGAAAUCAUCACAUCCACCUUCAUGGACAUCAAUUGUUCAAAACUUAAUGUCUAGUGCUAAACAUGAUUUUACAACCCAACCUUACACAUGAUUCUCACUUGGAUACCAUGAAAUAGACAUCAAGAAACACUAGUACACUAGAACUUCCAAACAAAAAAUAAUUGAUCUUGACCUUAUGGUGUUCCUUAUCAUAACUCAUUAGCACGUACUAUUUUAACACAUCAAGCCUAAUAAUUUUUUUCCCACAAAACAUACAUCAUUAAUCUCAUACCACUAUUUUUACCACCACAUUCUACAUUAAAUUCAAGCAUAUAGUCCUGUACCAAUCAUCUAUCACUACUGAAAAAUGCAACAUAAUAUGCUAGUCCAUAAAAUUUGGGACAUACUAUACAAGCGCCUAAAAAAUCACUACAUACCUUCUCACAAGUAGUACUAGUUUACAAUUACCAACGAAAACAAGGUCAAGGGGUAAAGUUACAUAAUAGACAUGAUCAACCUUAAUCUUAUAUUAUAACCCCAUACAAUCUUUUCUACUUAUACGGAUUUCUCACCUCAUACUUACAUACCCAAACAUACAUUUAGACUACUUUCAAAUUCCACAAACAACCAUGAGUCUAUACUUACAACUUACUGGCUAAUAUAGCCAUUUUCACACUUCAAGCAAUCGAGAAAUCACCCUAACUAAAAACUCCUUCUCUACCUUCUACUAAACUAACACACAAGGACAAAUCACCUCUUUACCAACUCAAUCUCAUGCAAACAGAUUCAGCUAUAUAUAUAUAUAUAUUAAACUAACACAAGAACAACAAGUUGGACAACAAGUUGCUAGUGAAUCGAAAUAGGCCUCACACAGCUUCACUAGACUUCGAUUUCGUAUUUUGAACAAGAAAAUGAGAUGAAUGACAAGUCAACUAUGCUAGUGAAUCAAAAGAUCCCCACAGAGCUUCACUAGACUUUAUUUUUUUCAACAACACCUUGAUGACAAGAUUACAUGAGAUACAAAUUUAAUAUGCAAUAUCCAAUGAACUAAGAAUACACAUCUUACUUUGUAUAAAUAAAAUCGGAGUCAAACACUUCCUCCACGAACUACCAUACCAUCAACACAUGCAACUAGUUACCACAUUAGUCUAUCACCAUAAGGAGGUAAAUCAUUCUCGAACAUCGGUUAUUAUACUAAAAUAUUCAUUUACACAAAAGUCACCCUCGCUCUGACUUCUAACUUUGUGACUUCACAUCACCAACUUCUUGGUCUAAUUUCACUACCAAUAGGUCAUGACAACAACACUUUAGCACAUACUACUAUUCGGGUAGAAAUAUAGUUCUAACAUUCUACUACACAUCAUCCCCCCUAAAGCAAAACAUUUGUAACAUAAAUUUGAAGGGGACUAAAUGCAAUUAAUACCUCAAGAUGAAAAUCACGAUUCCAUCAGGAUCAAUGUUUACAUCGGAAUCAAUACACAUUGAAGCACUAAUGGACUCUUCUCAAGUUCUUGCACAAAUUUUAACUCUUAUAUGGUUCAAUCAGAAAGGACCAUACCAUUUAGAUUCUAAACUUCUUCACUUGAAUCACCACAAUAAUGAGACAUAUCUGAGGACAUUAGAGUAAGGAAAGAAUUUGGGAUGUCUUUUUUUUUUUACUUCCGUAUGGGCGACACCAUAGCACGAAUUAGAGUAUGAAAGAGGAACAUUCUGACUCUAUUGCAUGAACUAGAACAUGAAGAAAGAGAGACAUUCCUAAACGCCUAGUAGCCUCCUACUUAUAAGUGUGGCGCGCUACACACCCAUAAACAAGACUCUACCCGACGCGAUUUCACAGACACCCUGGGACCAUGAACCGUGCUUUGAUACAAAGUUUGUCACGACCCGAACCGGGGCCCUGGCCGUGACGAGCAUUCUGAACAAUGACUAAAACAACCAUGUCCCACAAUAUAUAUCGACAUCUGAACAACCGUCAGCGAAAUCUCUAAUAUAUGACUGAAACAAAUUACUGUCUGAAAACUGGUCCCCAGUAGACCCAAAAAUACUAAAUGAUAAAUGAACUGACACAGAACUUCCGAAAUAUAGAAGGCUCACCACUUGAUUCUGCAAAUCUGUCGAAAGAGAUUUACUGGUUAUCUGAACCCCUAAACUAUGCCUCCAAACCUGGGAGAGAAGGGGGUCAAUAUAAAAGUACUAGUACGCAGAGAAACCAAAAACAAAAUAUAAUAUUUUUUUCCAAAUAUAGGUGAGAGCCAUUAUAAAGCAGUUCUAUAUCAAAUUAUUUGAAAACACAUGGGCACAAUGUAAUAGUUUUCAACAAUAAUGUAAUACAGCUGAGCUAGGUGGAAUACCCUGCAUAUAACAUUUACACCAACUGUCAAAUCUCGGUUGCCGCUGAGAUUAGAGUAUAAGUGAGAGGAAGACAUACAAGAUCACAUAGCAGGGUGUCUCGACCCAAUAAAGUAUAGUACUGCCCAAGAUCACUUAUCCUGGGCGCCUAACCAUAGUCCCAAUUUGGGAAUGACAUAAAGUCAAGUACACAAGAUCACUUAGCCAAGUACCAAAUCCCCAUAUCGGCAAACAUGGUUUCCAGCGAUGAGCCCUUACACUCAAACGCCUUCUUCGGGCAUCCACCUAUCUCAUGUAAAAUCAAUGCAUCAAACUCCAUUUAAUUCAAUCACAUAUCUUAUUCUGUAGGGUAUGGUCAUACCCGACUUACAAGCCAUCAAUAUCACAUCAUUCUUUCAUGCAACUAUUAUAUUCAUCAUAUUUCAACAUAACAACACUCUUAUUGUAAGUCAAAACCAUGACCAUUUUAAAAAUAUUUCAUGUCACGCUUGUCAAGAUGAUUUCAAACAUUUCAUAUCAUAUGAGAAUUUAAAACGAGAUCAUAUAAAAAGAGGGAUUUCAUAUAAUUCAUGCUCUCAAGUUAACAUCUUUUCGGAAUACAUGCAUAUACAUAUAUCAUAUAUCAAACCACUUCGGGAAUAGGCCUAAAGACCAAAUCAAUAUCAUAAAAUGUUUAAAAUGGGAUUAUAUUCAUAAUUUCAAAACCCCCAUUUUUAAAACAUAAAUUUUUAAGCCCAUGAGAUUUUUUAGAUAACCCCGCGUACCUCUAUAUGCGAAGAUGAUAGGUGCUUCUUGAAACCUACGUUCUAGGGAUUCCAACUAUGCAAUUCGUUUCAAAAACCCACGGUUGAAUCUUGAGUUGCUUAGGUUUUUAUUUUGAAACCCUCAGGAGAGUUCUUGAGAAAUUUUGAUGAAUGAAGGUGUAUUUUGGGGUAUUUUGGGAACUGAAUUUCGUGUUUAUGGCUAAAUAAGGGUGGAAAAAGGACCAUUUUGGCCCAAAAAUGGAGUGUUUAAGUCACUUGAGUAAUAAUAUAUGCGGCACAAACCUUAUCACAUAAUUUAGGUUGUGCGUCACACUCUUUAUCGCACACAUUAGAUUGUGCGUCGCACACCUUAUGGCAUAAGUUAGGGUGUGCGUCGUACACCUUAUGGCAUAAGUUAGGGUGUGCAUCGCACACCUUAUGCUGUACGAUACACUACACUUUGCAAAGCUAUAACUUCUUCCUCGGGUGUCAAAAUUUUGUUAAAUUGGUAUCGUUGGAAAGAUAAUUCGAAUAUCUUUCAUUUGAUAUAUAUUAGGAACUCUAAUUCAAUAUAUACAAAGAGUAAUGGUCGAUUGAAGUUGACCUAAGUCUCAACGCUCACUAAAAUUCGAAUGAUAGGAAAACUUUCAACUUGUCCUUGAGCUUGGGGACCUCUAUGAUCUCAAUUCAUGCUCAAAUAGGUUUCCACACUACAUAAUUUAUUAACACACUAAAUUUGCAUUGGAUUAUGGAUUUUGGAACCUUUAUGUGAAGAAAAUGACAAUUUUCGUUCUCGUCCGAAAUGCGGGGUGUUACAAAAUUUUGUUAGAAAAUGGAGUACAUUUUAGCUGCAUCGUACUCCAAAUACACUAAACUGAACUUUAAAAGUAAUAAUGCAUUUCUUACCUGUUGGUGUGUAGCAUUCAAAAGUUUUAUUGUCUUUGGUCGGAAGAUAGCCACAACGACGGUUUCAAGCAUGAAGAUUAAACUAAAAAGAAGCCAUGCUCGCUCUGGAGUUCCUGCUACAUGAUGCAAUAUUACUCUACAAUGUUGAAGCCACUUUCCUAAUCCUUGGAGUCUAAGUUCUUUCGAGAAUGAAAUAUGAUUAGGUAACACAUCCUAAACAUCAUUUGAAUCGGUGACAGGAGGUUUACUAUCGCGAUGUUCUCCAUCAGCAUCCAAACUACUUCUCUACAAUAAGGCUAGAAUCAUUGGGUCCAAUCCAUUCUCCUUCAGCAUCACUGCAAAAUUAGGAUCAAGCCCUUUAUCUUGCAAUAAAUUAGCUAAUUCAUGAUCAGUGUGUCUUCCUUUCCGCUUUAACAUAGAUGUAAUCCUCGGAUCACUCAACUUUUCUUGAAAUGCAAGUGCGAAAUUCAAGUCCAGUAUCUGUUGGUUUGCAGAAGUGGAUGUACUAGAAUCACAGCCUUGGCUUUCAAGGCCACUGCUAGAACAAAAAAACAAUGAACUAUUGUGCUCUAAUUUUCUGUCAACAUAUGAUGAUCCUACUUCAGUCUCUUGAACAACUGAACGAUAGGAACUACUACGUAGAGCUAGACUUAGUCUUUCACUGUCUAUGCUCUUAUCACUAUUAAUCCCCUCAAUAUUAUUCCAGGUACUGCCAUCACUAGUGCAAGGAACAAUUGCAUUAUCAAUAUGACCAGCAUCAGCACUACUACUACAUUUGAUACUUGAGCCACAACCCUCAGAAGAGCUUGCGGAGCUAUUUUGGUCAUUUCUGUGGAAACCUUCUCUAAGGCGGAUAACUGUGCUCUACAAGGCAUCUCGUCUAGCUGCUGAUGGGUCUGUAACUGAUAAAUGCCGUGAAACAGCAGCACCCAACAACACAGAUGUUACAAUUUCAUAACUGAUACAAUGUCCAAAGUACCUGAAACAAAAUUAUUGCAGUAAAAGAUUAGAAGAUUUUUUUUGAUAACAAAAGAUUAGAAGUUUCUAUUCAACAAAUAAUAUUAAAAGGGAUGCAUAUGCCACAAGUAUAAGAAGACUUAAUUAUGGAAGAAAAUGAAUUAGCAUGGGUUAAAAACAAACCAAUAAUGAACUCCAAAAUAGAUCAGGAACACUCGAGAUGUACCGGCAACAAAAAGUAUGAUGACUCGACUUUUCAGAAGCUUAAAGCCAUACAAGCAAACUCCUAAGUUCCAAUCUGAUUGAAUGAAAAGAUAGUGAAUUCAUUACUUACCACAAAGAUAUAAGAAAUUAUUUCACAAUACGAGUCAGAAAAGGAGACAGAUAUAUGUAGAAAAUGAACUACCAAGGAUUAUCACGGCAGCUGAUGUUGUAGCCCCAAGCCAGUUUGAUUUCUUUUCUGUCAGACCAUACAGGAUAGAAUACACAAGAAGUACUACAAGUGAACCAACAUAUAGAAGUCCAAGAUGCAGAGCCCUGCAGAGCCCAAGUUCAAAGUGAAGAAGGGUAAAUUAUAGACUUCAGAGAAAAUAUUGAAAAGAUAGUGCAGAAAAUAUGAUGAGCAGUAUAAAUGAGAACCCACUGAACACAUAAUAUAAUAAGGUACUUUCUAAUCUAAAGCAGCAUUUAAAUUAAUUUUCUUAGCAGUGGGAUUUUAAGAUCUACUAUUUUUACUGGACUACUGGAGAGUGUGUUUUGUUCUCUCAGAGUUUGUAUUCCUUUUACUCAAAUAGGUUUGAGUUACACCCAUUGUUUAGCGUUCUUUGGCUCUUAAUUUUAAAAGUCCAUUAGAAUGAUUAGAGGGCAGGGUGGAACUCCCUCAUAGCAAGUCAAAUGAAGUUUAAAACUAUAUAAAGAAGAUGAAACUAGAGGCUUCUGUAUGUGUCUCACAUACUUGGCAUAAACCAUGUGUGAAUGAGCACAACAGAAUCAAAUGUACUGAGACAAAGCAAGCAUUUGAUUGCAGAUCAAAUGGAAGAGUCUGCCAACCAACCAAAUUUAAGAGCAGCUCUGGUCCAUGCACCAUUUUGAGGUAAAGUUAUAUGGUUAAAAAUUUGGACGUUACUUAAUAUAUGCACAAACUGAAAAUGAACUGCCCAGUUAGACAAGUGCUUUUUGUAUCUACCCAGUGACAACCUUAGUGAAAGAAUACAUCAAUGAGAAGUUAACUCAGUAAGCUUAAUGAGCUUUCUCCUGCAAGGAAUGAAAGUGUGGAUGACCCAACAUCAAAUAUACGAUUAUUAUUAUACACACAAUCUCCAUACAACAGCAACAACAUACCCGAUGUAUAUUCGGGCCGAAUAUAUGCAAACUAUACCUCUACCUCAGAGACGAGAAAAAAAUGGUAGCACCAAUCCUCACUAAAUACUUCAUAACACAAAAAACAGCCAAUACUUACAAAACCAAAUAAAGCAAAAGAAGUUCAUUGUCUUGAUCACCAGCAAGUAAAACAAAUGUUUACAAUUGGAGAUUCAAAAAGGUUGCAAAAGAAAGAAGCAAACUUUCUAUUUAACAAGUAUCAAAGGGGGGAAAAUAAGAGUAAAACCAGUAAGUAUACGAGAAGUAUGAACACUAUAGUCAAUGAACAAAAUAUGAAUUGUAGUUUAGCCAUUUAGCAUCCAUCACUCCAACAGAGAAUUAGGUCUUGUAAGAAGGUCGAAAGAUUUGCCUAUCGAGUCUUUCAAGAUUAUGAUUUGACCCUCUUUCAUAAGAAAGUCUUCGUUGAGGGUAUCUACCUUCCUUUUCAACAUAUUGAUUCAUAAUUCAACGGCAUGUUCAUCUCACUGUAGCACUUAACUUCCUCCCACAUGAAAUCCCUCUCCUGAAACACUUUUGGUAGUAUCUCCUUCACAAUGCCAAGUUCCUUCAUGCAUUCUUGCAAAUCAUUAGUAAGCUGGUUGAUAUUUUCAUCCUUUUUUAGCAGCUGCCAGAAUCAACCGUAAACCAUGAAAAACAAGAAAGACACAAAGAUCACCAAUAACAUUUCAUCAAAAAUUCAAAACAAAACCAUAGCCUAGAAGUUCAACCAAAUCAUGAAUCCUUUUUAACUGUUAAAAUUCACAGUAGAUAACUCGUGAACUUGUCCAAGAAUUAAGUCAGAUGAACGAGCAAACUUACCGAAACCCCUUCGGGUAACUUUACCACAUCAGAGCAAAAUCAGAUCAAUGGGUUUGAGGAUAUCACAAAGUGUAUCAUGUUCUUGGUUGGUUCAACUUAUUACACAUUAAGGCGAUCAGACAUUUCAUAGAAGACUACCACAUGCCAGCAACUCAUGUAUACAAGUUCAUAAAGAAAAUCGUGAACUUCAGAUGGAACAAAGAUGAACCUAAAAUCAAACAGAAGUAGAAAGCUAAUGCAGAGAGAGUAAGAUAUGAACAGACUAUCAUAUAUGAAGACGAGGUAUCCAAAGUUGAAAAAUAAAAACUAUUUCGUUGCAAUGAGAUCUUAACAUUUCAUGCUUACCUGAAGCUCGAGAUAUUUCAACUUAGGUAUGGCAUAAGAAAGAGUGUCCAACGCAUUUCGCACUUCAUAUUUGAGAAUGUCGUUACCUCUAACUAUUGCGACUAGAUCAGCCUGAAGCUGCUUUAUGUCCAUCUCCUCGGAAUAGAGCUUCUCCCUUAGCAUAGUUGUUAGCAAAGUCUCUGAUUUAAGAUCUUUAACCUUUUCCUGGUAGUUUUCUCAGACAUAAUCUCUAUUGUCUUGAGCUACUCGAUAUUCCGUUUGUAACUGAGUGAGCUGCAACCUUAGAUUUUGAUUCUCCUCUGACACUUGCUCUAUUCUCUUAGACAAAUCUCCAAGGUAUUUCUCCGAAAAUGACAUAUUGAUUCUAUUAUCUACUUCCUUCUCAUUAAAUAAAGAGACUUCCCUUGGUAAAGAGACAUUCUACUCUACAAGCUCCCUCACCCUUUCAUAGAGUCUAUGUUGUUCAAUUUGGUAUUUCUCAAGUUUUAAAGACCAAUCACUGGAUCUUCUAUCCAACUACUUUUCCAUUAUUGAUUGUAACUCAUUCUUUUCUGUCUCCAAUCUUCGUGUCCAUGAAUCUAUUUCUGCCUGUAAUAUGCUAGCUUCUUCCUUAGCAGAAGCCCUUUCAGCAACUUGAUUCCAUAGCAUGCUUAAAACUUCAGAAGCCAUUUGUACCUUCUCCUUUGUCAAUCUUCUAAUAGUCUAAAUCAACACUGGAAUGCUAAGGUCUCUGCCAUAAGAAAUAUUUGUCAUUACUUUGGACAAGCAAAUGCAAAUUAAAACAUCAGUUUAAGUGUGAAAAAGAAAGCUAUAGCAAAAUGAUAUGCAUACCGGCUUGAAUCACGACCAGAUUUCUUAGGAUGAACUUUCUUACUAUGACCAUGGAGAGAUUUGCUCAGAUUCGUGAAAUUCUUUUUUCCUAACCCACUGUCAUAAAAGAAUCCAGAUGACAAUGAAACACUUCUCCUAGAAGAAACUUCCUUGGACUUUAAUGGUGGUGAAGGGGUCUUGUUUGCAUCAUUAGUUGAUGAUCAAAAAAAGAAGAAGUUGUUCUUCAUCAUCUCUAUGUAUGGAUACUGUACAUGAAUCAAAACUAGUGUCCAUGAGAUUUCAAAGGAUAAAGCAAAACACUCAUAAACAGCCACUCACAAAUCAUUAUCCAUUCAUGAAAAUACUGCAAGCUAACUAAAUACUUAUGAUACAAAGAAAAACAUCUCUCUUUCUACAUGCUUCUUCUUCAACAACAACAUACGUAACCCCUACCUUGGCAAGUAGAAAAUUUAUUUCCCAUAAAUCCUCGGCAAGGAAAGCAAAAACACGAGGAUAUUAACAACAGUAGCAAGUAUGAAAAUAGAGGUAUACGAUACAAAAAGUAGAAAAAAAAAUAUGUACUAAUACUACUACCAGAAGAGACAUGACGCGAAACUAUUUAGUACUAGUCUUCUACUGAAAAUAAAUAAAAUACCCCACAAACAAAUAGCCCAAGAACAAUUCAAAGAACUUAUCAAAUCCUUCUGAUAAAACAAAUAAUCAUGGUAAAUAAUUAAAAAAAAAAAAAGAGAAAUUACUGAAUCAAAGAGUUGAAAGAGUAAGAGCCGGCAAAAGGUUGUCAGAAUCUGUAGGAUUCUUGUCAUUUUUUCUUGAAAUGUAAAAAUAGCAAAGGACUAGAAUGGAGAAAACUUUAUUUCUGUGUCUUUCAUUCAUCAUCGUACAAUGCAUAUAUACAACUAACAAGGAUCUGUAAAUUGCAAGUAAAUAUUUACAAGGAUCUGUAUAUGGCAAGUAAAUAUUUACAAGGAUCCAUAAAUAUGACAAGUGAAUAUUUACAUACACAUAAUGAAAAACUUGAGAAAUACCCAUGAGAGAGAGAGAGAAGAAAAGUGUAACAAAUAUUUUGUGUUAUUCAAUGGCUAUAAAUAGCCAUAUGAGGUCAAAUUUUCCAUAUAAUAGAAAUAAGAUGUAAACUAUAAAUUAACUUUUUCAAAUUAGCACACAAAUUAACUUAAAUUAUGAAAUUAAAGAUAUUUAUUUUUUCAAAAUUUAACUUUUCCAUAUAAACAUCACUGAAUUGAUAUAAGCAAUAUUUUGAAACGUGAUAAAUUAAUUAAAUAACACAAAAAUAUUGUAAUAUUGUAUUUCUUUUAUCUCUAGAUCUUUUUUAAUACAUAAGAAAUACUAAAGUCAUACAAUAAUCUCCUUUCUUUUUAUAGUCCAAACUUACCAUUUAAAAAUCGUUUCAUUUGAAUUAAUAAGAUCAUAGUAGAUUGUACAAAAUCAGUUAAUAAAUGAUAUAUAUUUCCAUUAAAUAAAUAAAGUACGAUAUAAUUGUAAUAAGACUACACAAUCAACUAAUUAAUUUCACUUAAUUAGAUUAAAUUUUAUGAUCAUAAUAUAUAGACUAAAGUUCCUUAAAUUUAAUGUUGUAAAUUUCAAAAUACAUUUAUGGCUAAAGUAGUAGUCAAUGUUCGUUAUUUUUUUUAAUCAAUAUAUGUAUAUCAAUUAUAGAACUUUGCAUAUAUUCUUUAUUAAAAUAAUUGUCAAUAUUAAUUGAAUUUUACCAUAAUUUAAUCUAAUUAGUUUGAUAACAGUACAAUUAUUAUUAAUAUUAUAUAUUUUUUAACCAUAAAUUUGUCCUAAUUUUAUAGAUUAUUCUAUUUAGUUAAUCUACAAUUACAUAAAGGACUCAAAUAUGGAAACAAUUGAUAUUAAUUACCUUUAUAAUUUCAAAAAUUUAAUCCCAUGAAUUUCUCAUACUCUUAUAGUUUGAUUAUAGCAAAUUGAUAUUAAUUACCUUUAUAAUUUUGGGAAGAAUUUUUAAAAGUUAACGAUUAUUUUUUUCCUAAUUGUUGAUUUAUUUCUCAAAAAUUUCUUAUAAAUUUAUAAUUUGAUUGUAGUUAAUUGAUUAAUUAAUUAUCUUUUUAAUUUGCUAAAAACUCAAAUAAGGUACAAUUAUUUUUUCUCAAUUACAGAUUUUCUUAAAUUCAAUCUUUUAUUGUUUUACUAAAAUAGUUCAAAUUUAAUUGUUUUGAGGCAUGACAUCUUUUUGUCUAUAAAUCUUUUUUAAUACAUAAGAAAUGCUAAAGUNNNNNNNNNNNNNNNNNNNNNNNNNNNNNNNNNNNNNNNNNNNNNNNNNNNNNNNNNNNNNNNNNNNNNNNNNNNNNNNNNNNNNNNNNNNNNNNNNNNNNNNNNNNNNNNNNNNNNNNNNNNNNNNNNNNNNNNNNNNNNNNNNNNNNNNNNNNNNNNNNNNNNNNNNNNNNNNNNNNNNNNNNNNNNNNNNNNNNNNNNNNNNNNNNNNNNNNNNNNNNNNNNNNNNNNNNNNNNNNNNNNNNNNNNNNNNNNNNNNNNNNNNNNNNNNNNNNNNNNNNNNNNNNNNNNNNNNNNNNNNNNNNNNNNNNNNNNNNNNNNNNNNNNNNNNNNNNNNNNNNNNNNNNNNNNNNNNNNNNNNNNNNNNNNNNNNNNNNNNNNNNAUUUCAUUUGAAUUAAUAAGAUCAUAGUAGAUUGCACAAAAUCAAUCAAUUAAUUAUAUAUAUUUUUAUUAAAUAAAUGAUGUACGAAAUUGUUGUAAUAAAACUAUACAAUCAACUAAUUAAUUUCAAUUAAUUAGAAUCAAUUUUAUGAUCAUAAUAUAUAGACUCAAGAUCUUUAAAUUUAAUGUUUUAAAUUUUAAAAUAUAUUUAUGGCUAAAGUAGAAGUCAGUGUUCGUUGUUUUUGUAACCAAUAUAUGUAUAUCAAUUACGAAAAUUUGCAUAUAUUUUUUAUUAAAAUAAUUGUCAAUAUUAACUAAUUUUUAACUCAAUUUAAUGUAAUUAAUUUGAUAACAAUAAAAUUAUUAUUAAUAUUAUAUAUUUAUUUACCAUAAAUCAGUCCUAAUUUUAUAGCUUGAUUAUAGUUAAUUAAUCUAUAAUUACAUAAAGGGCUCAAAUAUGAAAACAAUUGAUAUUAAUUACCUUUAUAAUUUCGGCAAUUCAAUCCCAUGAAUUUCUCAUGUUUUUAAUAGAUUGAUUAUAUUAAAUUGAUAUCAAUUACCUUUUUAGUUUUGGGAAGAAUUUAAAAAAGGUAACGAUUAUUUUUUUUCCUAAUUACUGAUUUAUUUCUCAGAAAAUUCUUAUAUAUUCACAAUUAGAUUAUAGUUAAUUGAUUAUUUAAUUAUCUUUAUAAUUUUCUAAAAGCUCAAAUAAGGUAACAAUUAUUUUUUUCUAAAUUAAGGAUUUUCUUAUAUUCAAUCUUUUAUUGUUUUACUAAAAUAUUUCAAAUUUAAUUGUUUUGAGGGAUGACAACUUUUUGUAUCUAAAUCUUUUUUUAAUACAUAAGAAAUGCUAAAGGCAUACAAUAAUCUCCUUUCUUUUUAUAAUCCAAACUUACCAUUUACAAAUUAUUUCAUUUGAAUUAAUAAGAUCAUAGUAGCUUGCACAAAAUUAAUUUAUUAAUUAUAUGUAUUUUUUUAUAAAAAAUAAUGUACGACAUAAUUGUAAUAAAAUUACACAAUCAACUAAUUAAUUUCAAUUAAUUAGAAUCAAUUUUAUGAUCAUAAUAUAUAGACUCAAAUUCCUUAAAUUUAAUGUUGUAAAUUUUAAAAUAUAUUCAUGGCUAAAUUAAUAGUCAGUGUUCGUUGUUUUUUACCAAUAUAUGUAUAUCAAUUACGAAAAUUUGCAUAUAUUUUUUAUUAAAAUAAUUUCAAUAUUAACUGAUUUCUUUCUCAAUUUUGAUCUAAUUAAUUUUAUAACAAUAAAAUUAUUAUUAAUAUUAUAUAUUUAUUUACCAUAAAUCUAUCCUAAUUUUAUAGCUUAAUUAUAUUUAAUUAAUCUACAAUUACAUAAAGGACUCAAAUAUUGAAACAAUUGAUAUUAAUUACUUUUAUAAUUUUAAAAAUUUAAUCCCAUGAAUUUCACAUAUUCUUAUAGUUUGGUUAUAUCAAAUUUAUAGUAAUUACCUUUAUAAUUUUGGGAAGAAUUUAAAAAGGUAACGAUUAUUUCAUUUCCUAAUUACUGAUUUAUUUCUCAAAAAUUUCUUAUCAAUUCACAAUUUGAUUAAUUAAUUAUCUUUACAAUUUGCUAAAAACUCAAAUAAGGUGACAAUUAUUUCUUUUAUUAAUUAUGGAUUUUCUUAUAUUCAAUCUUUCAUUGUUUCACUAAAAUAGUUCAAAUUUAAUUGUUUUGAGGGAUGACAUAUUUUUGUCUAUAAAUCUUUUUUAAUACAUAAGAAAUGCUAAAGUCAUACAAUAACCACCUUUAUUUUUAUAAUCCAAACUAAUUGCAUAUUUGGAAUCCCCAGAACGCAGGCUUCAAGAAACACCUAUCAUCUUCGCAUUUAGAGGUACGUGGGGUUAUCCUAAAAUCUCAUAGGCCUUUAAAUUCAUGUUUUACAAUGGGGGUUUUAAAACUACGAUCAUGUUUUGAAUGUUUCUAUAAUAUUGAUUUGGCCUUUAGGCCUAUUUCCGCAGUGAUUUGACAUAUUAUAUAUGUAUAUGCAUGUGUUUUGAAAAGGUGUUAAUUUGAGAGCAUGAAUUAUAUGGAAUCCCUGUCUUGAUGUGAACUUGUUUUAUAUUUUCAUACGAUUUAAAUUGUUUGAAAACGUCUUGAAAAGCAUGAGAUGAAAUGUGUUGAGAAUUGAUAUGAUUUUGACUUGAAAACGAGAAGGCUAUUUGCGUUGAAACAUGUUGAAUACAAUGGUUGAAUGAGAAGAAUGAUGUGAUAUUGAUGGUAUGCAAGUCGGGUAUGACGAUACCCUACAGAAUAUGAUAUGUGAUUGAAUCAGAUGAAAUUUGAAUGCAUUGAUUUUACAUGAGAUAGGUGGAUGCCCGAAGAAGGCGUUUGAGUGUAAGGGAUCAUCACUGGAAACUGUGUUUGCCGACAUAGGAAUUUGGUACCCUGCUUUGUGAUCUUGCAUACCUGACUUUAUGUCAUUCCCAAGUUGGGACUAUAGUUAGGAGCCCUACUUUGUGAUCUUGUGCACAACCAUUAGGCCGAGACACCCUGUUGUGUAAUCUUGUGUGUCUUCCCCUCACUUAUACUCUAAUCUCGGUGGAAACCAAGGUUCAACAGUUGGUGUAAAUGUGAUAUGUAAGGUAUUCCACCUAGCUCAGCUGCAUUAAAUUGUUGUUGAAAACAAUUACAUUACGCCCAUGUGUUUUCAAAUGAUUUGAUGUGAAACUGCUUUAUAAUGGCUCUCAACUAUAUUUUGUAAAAAUAUUAUGUUUUGUUUUGAUAUCUCUGCGUACCGGUACUUUUGUAUUGACCCUCUUCCCUUCCAGGUUCGGAGGCACAGUCUAGGGGUCCAAAAAAUCAGUAGAUUCCUCAGACAGAUUUGCAGAGUCACUUGGUGAGCCUUCUAUAUUUCGGAAGGCCUGAUCUCUGGCAGUUUCAUUUAUCAUUUAUUAGUUUUGGAUCUACUGGGGGCCUUGUCCUAGUUUUCAGAUAGAUAUUUAUUUCAGUCAUAUAGUAGAGAUUUUGCAAACAUUAAUAGAGAUAUUGACUUGAGAUUAUGGGACAUUAUUCCCCGUUAUUGAUUUCAUAUGUUUCUUGACCAUGUUUCCGUAAUAUUAUUUAUCUUCCGUAUUUCUUUUAUCAUAUGAGUUAUGUACAUGAUUAUCAGACAAAUAAGGGUAUUUUGGGCCUUCAUGGUUCGGAAUGCUCGUCACAGCUAGGGCCCCAGUUUGGGUUGUGACAAACUUGGUAUCAGAGCACGGUUCAUGGUCCUAGGAUUUUUACAAAAUCACAUCGGGUAGAGUCUUAUUUAUGGGUGUGUAGCGCGCCACACUUAUAAGCAGGAGGAUACUAGGCGUUUAGGAAUGUCUCUCUUUCUUCAUGUUCCAAUUUGUGGAAUAGAGUCAAAAUGUUGCUAUUUCAUACUGUCAUUCGUGCUAUAGUGUCGCCCAUAUGAAGGUAAAGACAUCCCAAAUUCUUUCCUUACUCUGUUUUUCUUAGACAUGUCCCAUUAUUGGGGUGAUUCAAGUGCAAAAAGUUUAGAAUCUACAUGAUAUAGUCUUUUUCGAUUGUGUCAUAUAAGAAAAAAAAUUAUGCAAAGACUCGAGAGGAGUCUGUUGGUGCUUCAAUAUGUGUUGAUUCUGAUGUAAACAUUGAUCCUGAUGGAAUUGUGCUUUCCAGCUUAAGGUAUUAAGUGCAUCUAGUCCCUCCCAAAAAUCUUGAUACAGAUAUGGAUGGUGUAUAGCAGAAUGUUGGAACUGUAUUUCCACCCAAAUAGUAGCAUAAGUUAAAUUGUUGUUGUCAUGACCUAUCGGUAAUGAAAUUAGACCAAGAAGUUAGUGAUGUGAAGUCACAAAUUUAGAAGUCAGAGUGAGGGUUAUUUUUUGUGUAAAUGAAUAUUUCAGUUGAAUAACCGAUAUUUGAGGAUGAUUUACCCCUUUAUAGUGAUAAACUACUGUGGUAGCUAGUAGCACAUGUGGAUGGUAUGGUACUCCAUGGGGGAAGUAUUUUACUCUGAUUUUUAUUUAUACAGAGUAAGAUAGGUAUUAUUAGACCAUUAAAUAUUAUGUGUCAAUUUCCUAUCUCUUGUACUAUGUAAUAUUGUUAUCAUGGUGUUUUUGAAAAAAAAAAAAAUUUAAGUCUAGUGAAGCCAUGUGGGGAUCUUUCGAUUCACUAGCAUAGCUGUCUCAUGUAAUAUGUAAUCUUGUUAUCACGAUGUUUUUGGAAAAAAAAAUGUAAAAACUUUUUAAAGUCUAGUGAAGCCGUGUGGGCUCUUUCGAUUCACUAACAUAGUUGCCUUGUUAUUCAUCUCAUUUUUUGGUUCAAAAAUAUAAAAUUAGAGUCUAGUGAAGCCGUGUGAGGCCUAUUUUGAUUCACUAGCAACUUGUUGUUCUUUUGUUGGUUUAAUAUACGUAUGGCUGAAUCUGUUUGCAUAAGAUGGAGUUGGUAAAGGGGUGAUUCGUCCUUGUGAGUUAUUUUAGUAUAAUUUGAGGAAUUUGAAGGCAGUCUAAAUGUAUGCUUGAGUAAGUAAGUAUGAGGUGAGAAAUCCGCAUAAGUAGAUAAGAUCGUAUAGGGUUAUAAUAUCAGAUUAAGGUUGAUCAUGUCUAUUAUGUGACCUUACCACUUGACUUUUUUCGUUGGUAUUUGUAAACUAGUACUACUUAUGAGAAGGUAUGUAGCAAAUUAUGAGGUAUUUGGAUAGUACUAAAUGACUGGCAGAGAUUUUUCAAAGUUUUACAGGAGUUCUUGAAACUAUUUUCUAAAAAAUUAAGAGUACUUUGAAAAAAAUCUAUAUAAAUCUUUUACUUACUGAUUUCCUAGACAUCAAUUAGGACGGGGAGUCAGGGGUGGAAGUCCCAACAUGAUGAAAUACCUAAAAGAUGGCGAGGGCAAAUCAAGGAUAGUAGGAGGUCAACACGGAGUAGUUUCUUUCAAACUAAUCAUUUUUUGUGGAUGCAGGGAUCGAUACACAAAAUGAGCGUUUCUUUCGAAAAAUCCCCAAGCAAGUCGGGAGCCAUGAUAGAGCAUAUAAUGCUUAAUAACGGUACUUUUGGUAGCCUAAAAAUCGGCUCAACACCCAUUUAUUGACGACCUUUUGAAUUGUCCAUCUCAUUUCUUGAGAUCAUGGAGGACAAACAAAAGUGUCUUGUCUUCUUUACAAAUAUUGUAUUUAGAAUUUUUCUAAAAAAAAUAAUCGCUAGCAAAAGCAACUUUGUGUCUACUAAUCUUCUACCUUGAGUAUAGGUACAUGCAGAAAGCAAGACCUUGACAAAUGAUUUCAGGAGAAACUAUUUUUAAUUUACCGAAAGAACCAUUGCAUGUUAUUGCCAAGAGGUCCAUUGCAUAUCAUCGUUAUUCAAUAUCUGUUCACGCGCUAGAUACAACGCUGGCAUCGAGGAUAUCAUUAGCAUUUAAUAUAUCCAUUGACACAAAAGACACAAUGCUGGCGUCAAGGAUAUCAUCAUCAUUCAAUAUCUAUUGACGCGCUAGACACAACACUGGCGUCGAGGAUAUCAUCAGCAUUCAAUAUAUCUGUUGACACGCAAGACACAACACUCGCGUUAAGGAUAUUAUCAUCUUUCAAUAUUUUUUGAUGCGCUAGACAAUGCUGGCAUCGAGGAUAUCAUCAGCAUUCAAUAUAUCUGUUAACACACAAGACACAACGCUGGCAUCGAGGAUAUCAUCAUCAUUCAAUAUUUGUUGACGCACUAGACACAACGCUGGCAUCGAAGAUAUCAUCAUUAUUAUAUAUCUGUUAACACACAAGACACAAUGCUGGCAUCGAGGAUAUCAUCAUUAUGCAAUAUCUGUUGACAUGGAAGACACAAUGCUGGCAUCGAGGAUAUCAUCAUCAUGCAAUAUCUGUUGACAUGCAAGACACAAUGCUCGCGUCGAGGAUAUCAUCAUCAUGUAAUAUCUGUUGAUGCGUAAGACAUAACACUGUCAUCAAGGAUAUCAUCAUCAUUUUAUAUUUGUUGACACGCAAGAUAUAAAUGCUGGCAUCGAGGACAUCUUAUCAUUUUAUAAAUCAGUAUAUGAAUGCAUCGAGAGCAUACGAUUUGAAGGGACACCUUUAAGUCGCUAUCUAAGGAUGAAUGUAUAUAAGAUUUCUUGGAAAUUAACAAUUUGAGGGUCAUAUAUAAGUCAUAUUAUUUGAAAUAGGAUAGUGUGCAAGAUCACCUAUAAUUUGAUAGCCGGUAGGUCAUCCGUAAGCCACAACAACCUCCUAAUCGGAUAGUGUGCAAGAUCACCCAAAAAUCGAUAGUUCAAAUCCAUAAGUCGAAACUAAAUCCUUACCGGAGAAUAUGGAAGAUUAUCAAAUUGAUACGUCCAAGGAUUCUCUAUAAGCCGUGUCAUAUCUAAGAUCGAUUAUGUGCAGGAUUACCCAAAGACUAAUAAUUUGAGGGAUUAUCUAUAAGUCAUAUUUUAUCCAAGGUCGGAUGAUGUGCAGGAACACCUGAAAGAUAGCGAUUGGAGGGAUAUCUGUAAGCCAUCUCUUAUUCAAAGUAUGAUAAUGUGCAGGAUUACCUAAAAGCUAGAAAUCAAAAGGAUAUCUGUAAUUCACCUCGUAUCCAACAUCAAAUAAUGCGUAAGAUUAUCCAAAGAUUGAUAAUUUAAAGGAAAUUUAUAAAUUGAUCAUCGGCUAUAAAUGGUGAGAUUAUCCAAAGGGUUGCCACACCAGCACAAGACUACACGGUUGUAGAGACUGUUCUGCAUAAAGUAUCACUGGUGUCCAAAAUGGGCACCCACUUUGAAGACAUAUUCAACCGACAAAUGUCAUAAUUAUACAACAACCAAGAGGGUUGUUGUGUUUGGUCUUGUGGUUUAUUUCAUUCCAAACAGGUACAUGAAGAGAUGACUCCGCUUUUCAAGCCACAACUCAUGUGCAGAUAUGGUAAAAGACUGCAUACCUCUUUAGUGAAUUAUGUUUAGCACUAACACUUUUUGCUUGAAGCAUUGUCAAGAGUAUCCGAGAGGAUGAAUAUCUCAAAUGAACACCACAGGUGCAUAUGACUUCAAAUAAGAUGCAACACCCGAAUCCAACCCGUUUUCUUUUUCCUCUUUAUGAUCACGCAUGUUCCAUGAGAAUCCAUACGAGAAGAUGUCGAGAAUCUUCUAGAAACACACUUAGGUGUCUCAUCCAACGUUCAAAUCCCAAAAUUCUCGGAUAGAGGUUUACGAAUUCGUACAUAGAUGGAGUAUUUUCAUUGGCUUGUGAAGAUUAUUCCCUUUCCACCAAUUUCUAUUGGCGACUUUUUGGAAUUUCGUUCAAGAAAAUCAAAAUAGAGGUACAGUUCGUUAGGGUCCGGAUCUUUUGAAUUUCAAAAAUGAACCCUCAAUUUCCUUCUAUAAGUAGCUCUCUUUAGAGAAAGAAAAAGGGAUUUUUUUGGGGAUUUUGGAAUUUUUUUCACUGGCCUCUCCUUUCCUUUAUGGGUUCUCCUCUUCUUUCUCUUUGGAGUUCAAAAUUUUAGAGGCAAAGAGUGUUCAAAAGUUUUGGGUUGAAAAUUUAGGGUUAGAGAAAAUCUUCAAAAAUUCAGAAAUACACAAAAAAAAAAAGGGUUAGAAAGGGGGCUCUCAGAGGGAAAAAAUAUUCUCUUUACGCCUAAGAAACAUACAUUCUUAGGAGGUGCAUCUGAACUGUCGAAGCAGUUGUGAGUUUUUCAGUGGUCGGAAUCCUAUAAUCAGCUUGUUAUCCCAUUUUGCUGCCCCAAAAGAGGUAAAUACACCUUUCUUUUUAAUUUUGUUGUGGUUAUCAUUUUCUUCUUCGUGGUUCCACUUCUGUUUGCUGGGAAUGACUGCUGUAGAGGCCUGGAAGGCAUAGGAUUUUCAUGUUUGAUAUAUUGUUCUACUAAAAAACUCAUUAUUGCCCGUGUUUGAUUGGUUGUCGUUCAUGCUUGAUCUCUCUUAUUUUAUUUUGUUUGAAUGUUACAGUUAGCUUUAAUGCUUCGACUUUAGAAACUAUUUUGCUGGUCUCAUAUUCGAUGUUUCUUUGUAGUUCAUAGAGUAGGAGAAUAAAAUCUUUACGUAUUUUCUAAAUUCAAAAAAAUGUUCAAAGAAUAGAUAUUAGGCAGCCUGUUCGCAUAUCUUUUUCACUCAAACGCAGGAAAUUGUUAUAAAUAAGAACUAGAAUGUUAUUUUCUUUCGACUUGCCACUUUAGAUGUACAAUAGUCUUAUUUUAUUCUAAAGUUUAUUUUAAAAUAUGAGAGUGGACCAUAGGGAUGAAUUAUGUUUUCUUCAUGGCUAAUUCAAUUUGCCGUAAUUGACUCAUGAGAACAAAUUAAAGUUUGACGGGNNNNNNNNNNNNNNNNNNNNNNNNNNNNNNNNNNNNNNNNNNNNNNNNNNNNNNNNNNNNNNNNNNNNNNNNNNNNNNNNNNNNNNNNNNNNNNNNNNNNNNNNNNNNNNNNNNNNNNNNNNNNNNNNNNNNNNNNNNNNNNNNNNNNNNNNNNNNNNNNNNNNNNNNNNNNNNNNNNNNNNNNNNNNNNNNNNNNNNNNNNNNNNNNNNNNNNNNNNNNNNNNNNNNNNNNNNNNNNNNNNNNNNNNNNNNNNNNNNNNNNNNNNNNNNNNNNNNNNNNNNNNNNNNNNNNNNNNNNNNNNNNNNNNNNNNNNNNNNNNNNNNNNNNNNNNNNNNNNNNNNNNNNNNNNNNNNNNNNNNNNNNNNNNNNNNNNNNNNNNNNNNNNNNNNNNNNNNNNNNNNNNNNNNNNNNNNNNNNNNNNNNNNNNNNNNNNNNNNNNNNNNNNNNNNNNNNNNNNNNNNNNNNNNAAUGCUAUGGCUUAUUAAUUGUUAAAAUCUUGGACGUAUGUUAAUUUCUUCAUUCCUUUCUUUUCAUUCACCCCCUUGAAGUUCAAAUGGGCCCCUUCUCUCUUGUCAUUUCAUAAAUGGGCCAAUGAGGCCUAUCCUUCCGAGUUAAUCCCAAAAGAAAAUCCAAGAAUCCAUCACAUGGUGUAUGAAUACGAGGAAUCGAAAGAAGAAUGGGUUAAAGUUCCAUCUUUGAAGCGGCAAAGGGGACUUGAAAAUCUCGUUAUUUCUUCUUUAUUAAUUUAUUUAUCCAUUGUUUCCAUUAUUUAUUUAUUUACUUAUUUAUAUUUUUGUUUAUUUAGUGAAUUAUUUAUUUAUUCAUUUGGGCCUCGAAGCCAAAGUUGUAAAUUUAAAAUAGGUGGAACGAGACUUGAGCUAUUUGCUUACUUGUUUUACGUGUGUUUUACGAACCUAGUAAAAUCCUUAGUCAAGUCGCUAAAAAACUGGUUUUGUAUAAACACCAAAAUAUUUCUAAAAUUGCUUUUCUUUUCAAAAAAUAAACUUUUUCAAAGUUAAUCAAAAGACGAUUUUCAAACAAUCCGGAUAACCAUAAGUUAGCGAACAUUUUAGAUGCCUAAUACCUUCCUAAAACGUUAAUAGGAACUGCUUAUCUAGAAUCUCUAACUUAAAACGAUUUUUCUAUUUUGAAUCGUUUGCAGUAACUCUCUAACGGUUUCUUAAUUCCUUUUCAAAAUUAAGUGGCGACUCUCAAAAAGUCAAAAAUUCCGCAAAACAAUAUCAACCACAAUCACAUCCCCACAUCUACUACCCCCACCCGAAAGUAGCAGAAGAAUAAAGGUUUGUAGUAAUUCAAUCCUCUUGACGCUUGCGCUCCUUCUCUUUUAGUUCAUUAACAAAUUUGUUAAAUAUUUCAAGCAGCAAGCCCUUAUCACCCAUUAUUCUGUAAAAUAAUAACAGCAAAGAAAUUCACAUUCAAUAGAUUACGACAUAAUGAGAAUCAUGAGAUUAUGAAUAAAAAAGUAAAAAUCCAGAGCAUUUCAUUUUAUAGCCAAAGAGGCUAGACAAAUUAAAACUAGAGAUUUAGCAGCAUACUUCAUCAGAACCGUGAAACAAUCACAAAUGCCAGAAAUUAAAAAACUAAAACAAUCACAAAUGUCAUAAAUUUAAAAACUAACUGCUAGACCUAUUAACUGCUAGAUAUCAAAACAAGAUAACCCUUGCAAUUCUCUCUUCCCACAUACAUAGAUUAUACGCCAUGACCAUAAAUAACCUCCAAAAUCCAAAUGAUAUAUGAAGAAUAUCCUCAUUACAAAAUAGAAAAUGAUCGUUGAUAUCAUCCAGUUAUGUUGUUUAACCAGUUUCGUAGAGUAAAACUCUUAUCCACUAACUGUAAAAACAGAAAACUACAAGGCAAAUUUCUUUGAAUUAAGCAACUUAAUAUAUGUACGGUAGGUGUAAUAUUAAACACCGCCGUCCAGGAAAUAAAAACUAAGGAAAAUGGUACCAAAACUGAAGAAUUGGAAGCAAAAGCUAACAUCAAAUAUUUGAUCAAUGUGGUCCUCGUCUUUAUUCUUGAAGGUUUCAGGCUUACUUGCUAACCGACACACUACUAUUCUAUUAACUCUAUUACAAGAAGAUCCAAAUUUAAUGUGGGAUAGGUUAUGGUUGAUACUAAAUAAAAAUGCCACUAACCACAGUUGACUACCUACGAGUUGCCAAUUUAGCAAUCACAAACUGACCGAAUUCCAGUGAAACAUAACAUGGAAGUACUACUAAUGCUUUUGCACUCAAUCCACUCAUCUUAUGCAGGACCUGUCCCAAAGACAAAAAGGGGACAAAUACAUAGAAAUCCAUUUAGUGACUGGGGUACUUCAAUUUUCACAACAUUUAAUUCAACAUGGGUCGAUGUGAAACAGUAUACAGUGCUUAGCCAUAAUUAGACCUUUAAGUUGGUAUCUGUCAUUAGUGGAGAGCUAAUAUACUUGUCGAUUGCAACCUUAAAAUCAUCAAGCGUCCAGGCUGAUGUCAAUCCAAUCUGAAAGUAGAGACGGCUCAGCCAAAAUAUUAGGUACUAACUGAAGCACAACAAAGGUUAAAAUGAAGAGUGGUGAUUACCUCGACCAUCCUAAUUGCAUCUUUAAUUUGUGACUUGUGAUCAAGAUACUGAAGCAACAUACAAGUAACACAAAUUCAGAAUGCUUAUAAGUAACAAAAAUAGGAUACCAAAUGGAGCUUUGUCCAUGCAUUUGAGUUACCAUAAAGUUUAUAAAUUACAAGCAGGGUGAUGGGGAUGAAAUUUCUUUCAUGAAUACCAACAUUUCUCCACUUGUUCAAAGUCAUCUACAAUAUCACAAGACACUUGACACAUAAACUUAAUUGCACUGAUCAGGUUAAAUUGAAGGAAAAAUCAAGCACCCCUGUUUGGAUAAUAGAAAAAAAGUGAAUAAAUAAAAAUGGAUAGCAUCUCUGUUAACAGCGCUUUCGUUAUAUUUACUUAAUAAGAAUCAUUUAUGCACACAAACAGUAAUACAAACUUUAAAGAUAGAAGUUGACAUCUUUAUCUUACAAGGGAAAAAGAAAAGAUUUUCCGCAUCUGAGUUUAUGUAUAACUCUCACCAUCCCAUAGCAAGAGCCUAACUCAAGAAAACAUUACCAAAUUCAAUCACUGAAUAAGAGUACGAACAAGAUCAUUACCAUGCUAGGAUACCAGGUAAACUCCCUCUUUCAUCAAGCAAGGAGAUAAAUGCUAAUAACAUUUGAUCAUUCAACUUCAAUUCUUUUCGGAAAGGGCAGAGGAUGAAACAAUAUAUCGUUUAGUUAGGCGCAAGUGUGUAUUACGGCAAAAAAAAAUCAUAGUGAGGGAGAUGCAACUUUAUUUAGAGAAACAGAGAUGCUCUCAGGUUCUUUUUCCGAGGCUAAUCUUUUCUAAGCCUUUACUUUCAUUACAUCUCAACUACCUCUUCAGAGGCGAAUUCUGGCACUAAGUUUAUUUAGUCCAAUUUAUAUGGUUGAUAACACAAUAUUUUGAAUUAGGUUUUAAGUUGCACGAUAUCAUCCGAAGUUAAAUCAAAACUGGGGUGUGGUACAAAUGGACAAAACAUGGUCGAAACUUGACCAGACAAACUACUUUCAGGUCUCAUUUGUUUGCACUUAUUGGAUUUAUGAACCUGUUCAGACCUCAAACCAUUAAGUGCAUUUAUUUUUUUAGGAUUUUAGCUCUUAAUAGGUCUGAGUAGGUCUUAAUCAUUCAGAUGUGGAACCAAGUCUAAAUAUCAUUUACAGAUAUUCUUGUGUAGGAUAAAAUUCACCACUACUCUAUCCACAAUCACUUGCCACCACCACCAACCACUUUCACCAUCAAAACCAACAUCACUACCACCUACACUGCCAGCCGCUACCACACCUACAACUUCCAUUAUUCUAAUUAUAUCCACCGCCAACUAGGGGUGUUCACGGUUUAGUUUUUAACCAAACUGAACCGCGAUCCAAACCACACCGAUUAAAAAAACCUAUAUUUGGUUAGGUUUGGUUUGGAUUUGAAUUUUAAAAAACCGAUACUAAUUUUGUUUGGUUUGGUUUUCCUCUAAAAUAACCGACAAAAUAACCAAACCGAACCAAUAUACAUAUAUAUAUUAUAAUUAUUUAUAUGUUUUUCAUAAAUAUAAUCUAAAUAUUUGUUACAUUUUCUAUUUUAAUCAUGAUUUAACUUUAGUCGUAACACAUUCAGUCAUAUGUCUUCAUCUAGUUGACAAUACAUUAUGAGAUUUUAAAUGAAUUUCAUAUUUUGAAUGACAAAUGAUACUAAUUGUGAAAAUAAUAUCUUGUUAUAUAUUGAAAUUUACAGCUGAAAUUCUUUAGACUAUACACAAUCACUAAUUUUAACUUUCUUUUGAACCUUGUUGGGCAAGAAGUUUAUGUGUUUACCUUUUGGGGUUUAUCAUAUCAUUCUAUUAAAUAUAGUUUUUAAAAUUUUUUUUAAAAGCGUUCAUAUGGUGUUAUCAUGGGUUUGCCGAAGUAUAACACUCAGUUGAGAUCAUAUUUUCAAGAUUGAGAUACAACACUCAGUUGACAUCUCAUAUGUUAGAUUGGAUUUGUUUUUUAAAAUUCUCAAAUUUUAUCAUUAACUAAAGUUAUAAACCAAAAAACCCGAAUCAAACCGAACUAAACCGAUAAGAACCAAACAGAUGGUUAUUGUUUUUUUUGGUUAGGUUUGGUUUUAGAAAUUUAAAAACCGAUUAAGUUGGUUUGGUUAUGGUUUUGACCAAUAACCAAUCCAUAUCGACCCAUGAACACCCCUACUGCCAACGCCGCCACCAUCAACUGCUACCGGUCGAUCCCUACUACAAACCAACUCAUCUAUCAGAACUAGCAUUACCACUAAUAACCACCAACACAUCAUCAACUUCCACACAUCGCUAACAACCACUAACAGAUCAUCAACUUCCACACAUUCUUCGGACACCAUCACCACCACUGUCACCGGCGUCACCACCUCUACCACUACCAUCACAGCUAACAGCGUCUCCAAUGACCACUAACACAUCGUUAACCAUCAUGCAUAUAGUUUUCCUUCACCACAAUCAACACCUCCAACUACUAACAUUAACCAACUUCACAUCACAACCACCACUACCACUACUAAUCGCCAAUAUCAUGACAGUUACUACAAUGCCAUCUAUCUCUACUAUCACAACUAUCAUCACCAACAUUGCUAAUCACUAACAUCAAUUAAUUUAUUACAACCACCACCACCAUUACAAACCAUCUCCACUAUCACUAACAAACAUAAAUGUUUCUUUUUUUAAUCAAAUAAUAAUUUAAUUGCAUUAAAUUAAAAAACUUUCUAAUAUAUAAUUAUAUUAUAUUUAGAAAUAAAUAAAUUUUACACAUUCAGAUAUUGAGAAACACCCAACCUUAAUCAUUUAGUUUUCAGAUCUAGAGAUAAUAUCUUAACCGUUCAGAUGUGCAUUCAAAAUGAUUCAAAUAUAUGAAUAUUAAUAAAAACAAAUGCAGUCUUAGCUGAAACACAAUGGUAUGGUUGUGUGAUACUUUAAAGGAGUCCUCGAAAGCCAAAGAAACUACGUGAAAACAUGGAAGUUUGAUCAUCACUUCUCAGAGUUGUUCUACUCGAGAAACUAUAACAAUUAAGGUAAUAUAACCAUUAACAGCAUUCAACGGAGGAGAAGUCAAUUACAAUUGUCCGUGAAGUAGCAUUUAAUACAGCUUUGCUAGAUUGAAAGAAUCAUCUAUAUCUAUACUAAAUUAAAAGCAUGGAACCCCUAACUUAAAAGUUUGCGACAAUACCAUUCCUAUCAGCCUAAAUACCUACUAUCUAGUAAAAAAAGAGGAAACUAAUUGGCAUAAAGAGAAACAAUACAGAUGUUAAUAGGAACAACCAGUCAUUGUUCUUAUCUCAACAAAAUAUAUGUUAUUUAAAAAAAGCAAGCAGAGGGGUAACUCUCAAAUGUCAAUCUCAUGCUUUUAUCCUACCAAGUAUGUUCUAUUCUUUAAUGCACAACAACAAUAACAACAACAAAUCCAGUAUAUUUCCACAUACUAAUGCACUAACUUUCUUUUUUACCUAAUUAAUUGAACUUUUUAGUGAGGAUCUAAAUGAUUUUCAGACUUUGUUUAACAUCUGAUUCAUUAAGAUGUAUUAGUAAUAGGUUGAAUCUUUUGAAAAAAAACACUUAAUGGGCUGAUAUCUUAACCAUUAAGAUUCAGACCUUCAUUAAGUGAAAGCAAAUGAAAAGGGAUUGUAGUGUAAAGUCUAUAAAUAUGGCUUAGAAUAACAAAUGUAGUUGACACAAUUCAAUACUCCUAUUAUCAACCUAUUUCACCUGUUUCUCCAGCUCAUCCAUAACAUCUGUAAAUAAGUCUUUUGCUAUUGAUUCUAAAGUAUUUGAUGAGACAGCUACAUAUGCAGCAAAAUCUUUAAUCUGCAAGAACAAAAUAAAGAAGGAAAUUAUUGGAUGAAAAAAUCAAAAAGACAAAAAGGGAACUCAUGAAGGUAAUCACUCACUGAACACAAGAAAGAAAAACUAACUUUGAUGCAAUAAUCACGCCAGUUAGUUUUUGCAUUAAGUAUUCCCGCAGGAACAUGCUCUUCCAUCAGUUUUCGAAACUCAUCAAAAUUUUUACGUUCAGCUUUCCUCAAUUCUUCCUAUUUGAAUCAAUGGUGUAUGCCCAGUGAGAAAGAGAUAAAUCAAAGUCUCCAAACAUAAAUUUAAUUUUAACCCCCGAGUCUAAUAAGCAAUAUACCAUCCGUAGUUUCCUUUGCUCCUCCUCUUUGCUCUCUAAAUCACAUAUAUAUUCCUAAAACAGAAAAGGUUGCAACAUAACUUUAAAACAGAGGUGUACAAAUGAGAUGUUUGGAAAAAGUUAUUUAUGAUGUAUUAGAAAAAUGAGUUGUACCUGGAAAAUCUCCAAACGAUCAAUUUUGUCAAGGCGGGAGCAUCUUUCAUCAUUUUCCAAGCGGUCCUGAACUUUCCGCCACUGGCUACUGGCCUGAACAAAAGAACUCAGCAACAGUGGAACUAUAGAAGUUCUAUCUCCUGGAAAUAGAAAAACAUAAUCUAGGAACUGAUGCUAAUUCCACUAGAACAAAUACCUUAAUAAAGUCACAGGAUUUUAAAAAUUCUAAGUACUCCACUCUAUUGCGCUUCUGCUCCUCCAAUGCCUUCUCAUGCUCCUAAUAAAAUCCAGUACAAAGUAAAAAAAAUAAAAUUUCUCUAUAAAGAAGACAAUAUUUACAAAGAGACUUUAACUACACUUGCAUGAAAGUAUUGAAAAACUUUUUCUAUUUUACGACGGAGGGGGAGAGGAAGAAGCAUAUCAUAGUUUCAAGUUUCAAGAAAAAUUACAUACAAUACAUGGAAGUCUAUUUAUAUUAGAAUUCAAUGGUGAACAAAUUUAAAUCUUGUACCCUUGAGAAGCCAUUAAAAAUGUAUUCAAAGAACACAAGAUUUUAAGUUGAAUAUCUACAACAUUCCUUCUUUCUACUCUUUAAGCAAAAUAAAAAAAGGGAACAAACUAAAAGACAUCCUGCAAAGGAAAGGAAUGGAAUGACUGUUGUUAAUCAAGUGGACCAGUGCCUAACUCAACUUCGAAAACUAGGUCAGGUGGUGAAGAUUGUCCUUGAUCAUAUAAGGAAACUACAGCACAUACACCUUACUAGUGUGGGAUUCUCAUACACUAAUCGCACACCAAGACUAGACAUUUGUAGCAUCAGUUAACCUUGGUUGGCCAACAUCUAAUAGUCUAACAUCAAGAUAGAUCUGCCUCUAAUACCAUGUUUAAGAAAUUGGACCUUGUUUCUAGCUCAAAUGAAAGUCUAACUCAAUUUGUGAGGAGCCAAAGACCAUAUAAGGAAACUACAGUCCGAACACUUAGUUUUUAACAUAUAGAAACUUACAAGAAGGUUCUGCAAAAGGAGCUUCACCUUUUUCUCAAGUUCCUCCACAUAAUCUUCAAAAAGGUCCUCACAGUCUUUAGCUCGCUCAACAGCUUUAAAACGCUCAUCAUGUUCGAAUAUGUUCGAAUAUGGAGAUUUCCUUACUGAAUAAUCAAUAGCAAAUAGUCAGUGGAUCAAAUGGAACUUACACAAGUAAUGGAUCAACUUCAAGGUACCAAAACACAUACAAACAAUGACCAAGAUUAGAAAACAAGCAGCAGACAACUUAACAUUACAAGUGAAAGACAAACCUCCAUCUUGACGAUGGUGACAGCUCCUUGCAAUCCUGUAAGAUUGAGAACAACGGACAUUGUUGUGAAAAAUACCACUUAUUCUUUUGAACAAGUCAAAUACCAGUCUCUAACACAUCAUGAAUAUUAUGAUAAUAUCUUUUUAUUUUUGAAACUGGUAAUGUGAAUAUCAUGAUUUAUCAAAUGGAAGACAACCACAAAAGAAAAUUUCACUUACUUCUAACAUUAUCCUGAAAUCUUCCCGAGCUUUUUUCUGUUUAACACACCUCUCUUCAGCUUCCAGUUUUUUCUUUUGGCUCAGAUACUAGAACAGACACACAACUUCAAAAUGAUCAUUAUAGACCUUGGGUGUGUUUGGUAUGAAGGAAAAUGUUUUCCUAGAAAACAAGUUGGUUUCUUACUUGUUUUCUUAUGUUUGGUUGAUGAAAGGAAAACAUUUUUCAAAAAAUGUUUUCUAGUGUUUGGUUGGUGAAUAAAAAAAUAUUUUUCAGAAAAUACAUUUGAGAGUUGUACAAACAUUUCAACUUAAGAGUGAGAUUGAAAGAGAGUUUUGGAAAAUGUUUUUCCUACAUUUUGAAGGGAAUUCAUUUUCCUUAAAUUUAAGGAGAAUAAGUUGAUUUGGAAAAUAUUUUCCAAAAUUUUUAAGUCAACCAAACAUGGAACAAUUGGAUAUCAAACACAAUCUAUCUUUUUGCAAUACAGUAUGCUGAAAUAUUGAAGCAGCAAUUAACCCAUUCCAAUGCCGACUUGGAGAGAUACCUCAUUAAAAGCUUGCUUCCACUCACAAAGGGAUUUUAGAGCUCCAUAUCUCCGGUCAUUAAUUACUGCUCUCAUGGCCUGACAAAUACAAUUCAUGUCAAAUGAUCUCCCUCAAUUGUUUGGUACGCACAAAAUAGUCAAGUAAUAAACCUGAUCCUACGUGCAAUCAGACCCAAUAUUUGCAGAUUCCAAAAGAGUUUUGAAUGCAUUCUUUGCCUCCUAAAUAAAAUCAGAUACUUAAAAUAGAAAUAAGAGAAAUUUCGAGAACAUACAUUAAACAAGGGAAAAAGCAAUAAUCAACUAUACCGCUUUGCUCUCAUAAACUAAUGGUCCCAGCUCGACUGUUUUCUCAUCUGAUGGAGUAGCACCUCUGAUUUCAGUUAUUGCAGCAUCUUACUUGACAUUCUACAUUUUAGGCACAACAUCAAGCACAAAGGGAAAAAUCAAACCUCAUUGGAAUUUGUAGCAUAUUCUUUACCUGUUAGCAGUUGACUAACAACUGCACUACAAAAUUGUUGGAUCAACAUCUAGCAUAACAGCUACGAAAAGCUUUCUUGGUGUUUUAACCAGUAACCAGUAGUAAUUAACUAAUCUCAUAAGUAUUUGAGAAGGACAAAGUACCUUUCUAUUCUCCGAAGAAAAUCCAUCACCAUACACUACUGCAUCUUAAGUUGUAGUAGUCUCAGAACUACAGAAAAAUUGAAUUCCAAAUAAGAAGCAACACAAACCAGAGGCAAAUUUAUAACAUAUAAAUUUGAAAACAUACACCGGUGGCGCGACAAAAUUUCCCAAGGUUACUGCAAUUCCAAUUUUCUCCGAAUUAGCAACAGCUGGCGAAGUAAGUUCUGAAGAAUUCUUCAUUUUGACUGUUUCAAUCAUCGGAAUAGAAACCUUACCAGAUAAACUUGAUGAUUCUGAAGCCACAAUAGUUGGUAAGUUAGCAGCUGGUGACAUAGCAAUUGGGCUUGAUUUAGUACCGUGUGCCAAGACUAAUAAACCAUCUGCACCCGGGAUGAUGUUUUAACAACAGAAAUGGAUCCAAAAUCAGAAGCGUGCGAAAUGGUGUCCUUUUUACGUGCCAACUGUGAAUUUAUAAAUAAUUGAACUUUAUAAGAAUAGAGUUUCCAAGAAAACAGAAUAUUGCCCCUUCUUAUCAUGCUAGCAACUGUGAAUGCAUAAAGAUUUUAUGAGAACUAGAGCAUCCGAGAAAACAGAAUAUUAUCCCUUCUUAUCAUGCUAUUUAAAGCAUAUAACAAUCCCUUCUUAUCAUGCUAUUUAAAGCACGAAAUAAACCCAUAUUGGAUUUAAAUAUAACAUCACCUUGACUUCAUCAGGCAUUCUCCAUUUGGACGUUCUAGUAACCUUCUUGUAGUAAUACCUACAGAAAACAAACAAAGAAAUCAGCAUUAUGCACAAGUAACACACAAAAGUACCCACUGUAGAAGAACAAUUGGAAAGAGGCCAAAAAAAUAUAUAAGUUACACAUUUUCUUCCCUCAGGACUUGUAAAUUUUCUCCGGUCAGUUAAUGUGUCUGCCCUCUGUCCCAAUGAAAACAACAUAAAAGCAGGUCAAGUCAAAAAAUAGAACAUAAACAGUACCCUGAGAGUAGAAUUCAGUAACUUCCAGCAGUACAAUACUGGAUGGAAGUGUUAGAAUAUGAAUGAUAUAAUGUCCCACAUGGAAAAGGACUAGAAUUUACUGUGUAGAAUAUAACUACAAGCAAGGUGGAAACAUUGCCAAGCUGCGUUCGAGCUACAGCUAUCCAAGGGUGAUCAACUGAAUAACAUUCGCCUGAUAAUCACAUUUUGUAUAUAUAUAUAUAGGUUAAAUUCUGUCAUUUCUAAGUAUUUUUUUAUAAACAACCUUGCCACAAAAAAUAAGACUGAGUAUGAUAGUAAGGGUGUUCAAAUCCUACACUGAGGUUCUAUGUUCCAUACCCAACACAGCCCUUCCAUAAUUGUUUCUCCAUUUGGACACGUUUGAAAAUCAUAAACUACAGUUAUGCUUUUUUUCGAUGAAUAAAUUUCUGAACAUGCGUUUUUUGUCCCAAUUAGCUCUUGCAAAAGAGCUAGCAACUAGCAUGCCAUGUAUAAGAAUUUUGUUAAAAUAAACAUAAAGGUAAAUUUAUAAAAUGGUUGUUAUACUAGCUAUCUUGCAUGGGGCAGAGUGUUUAGCUGGUCAAGAGCUCGCAUGUUCGAAAGAUAAACGUAGCAGAAAUGAGGAUGUUGAGAUUGGUGUGUGAGCAUAGGAGAGAUAGAAUAAGGAACAAAGAUAUGCGAGAAAAAGUGGUAGUGCUCUCUAUGGUGGACAAUUUACAAGAAGAAUAGAGGGUUGGGGAUAAAGAACCUAAAAAUUCAAAGUAAGGCUCUCAUGUUGAAAUGGUUGUGGAAAUAUGAAAACAAUAACCAGCUGCUAUGGAGGAAAGUGAUUAGGGCUAAAUAUCCUGAAGAAGAUAGAUGGAUAACUAAAGAAGUGACCACACCAUACGGAGUUAGCCUCUAGAGAUCUAUUAGAUCUAUUAGACACUAGUGGAAUGAAGUUAAAAGCAACUCAAAGGUUAAAGUGAUGGAUGGAAACAAGACUAGGUUCUGGAAGGAUAAUUGACAUGAGGAUGGGAAUAUGGAAGUGACUUUUCCAGAUAUCUACAACUUGGUAUUGUUUCAAUAGAGGACUAUAGCAGAAUUAUGGACACCACAUAGGUGGAACUUCAAUUUCAGAAGGCAACUUAAUGACCGGGAGGUAAUGAGAGUAGUUGAAUUUUUUAAUACCGUAGGCUUAUUCAAUGGACUGCAGACUGUGAAGGACAUACUAUGGUGGAUGGGAAAUGAAAAAGGAAUGUCCAGUGUCAACAAAGCCUACAAGAUGAUGAACCAAAUAAAUCACCCGAAUCCAAGAUGGACAUGGAAGAAAAUAUAGAAAAGUAGGUUACCUCACACAGUGUCGUGCUUUGUCUUUGUGUGGUUACUAACCAAGGAAGUAGUUCUUACACAAGAUAAUGUCAUGAAGAAAGGGAAAACCUUGUGCUCCAGAUGUUUCCUCUGUGGAUAAACUUUAGAGACGUUUAACCAUGUAUGUCUACAUUGUAAGUACACCCAACAACUUUGGAGAAUAGUCUUAAGACUAAAAGUCAUUUCCAGGACAAUGCCUAGGAAAGUAUCUGAGACUUUAAUGUGCUGGGAGAAGUAGGUGUACAUGCGAAGGACAGAGGUAGAUGGAGACUUAUCCCUGGUGCUAUAUGGUGGGCUAUUUGGAAAGAAAGGAAUUCUAGAUAUUUUGAGAGCAUAGAGAAUAGUGUGCAGAAGGUUAAACUCAACUGUAUUUUGCUUUUAUGUUUUUGGUGUAAUCAACUAUACUCUAAUGAUACUGCCUCGAUAAUUGAUGUUCUAGACUAAAUUUAGAUAUAGAACAGUCGAUUUAGGAGUACUCUUGUAUAUAAAGGUUUCAGUACAACCCAUGUGCUGUUUGAUAUAAUACAAAGUUACAAAGUUAAAAAAAAAGAUAAUAAUUUUUCAAGAACUAAAAGUUUAUAAAAUAACAAAUAAAGCAAUUAAAUCUGAGUUCAAAUUGGGUGGGUUGGGCUAUGACCCGCAUUUUAGAGCAUUUCAACCCAACCCAUUUCAGCCCAAGUAGCUUUAGGGCGGGUGGAUAACCCGCCCAUUUAUUAACUCAGACCUCUUUGAUCAGCCCAAAUCUAGCCAGCCCCGCCCAUGUGACACCUUUAGUUUAAUAGAAGUAAAGUGGACCAUGCCAAAACAGAUCUAUUGAGUUGAAGUAAAGUGGACUAUCAAAGGACACACAACAAUCUGUUGAGCUGUUGGAUUAAAGGGGAUUAGCAAAAGUUAGAAGAAAUGGGGGAGAACAAUCCUUCCUUGUAUUUGGUGGACUGUAUGGAGCGAGAAAAGUUGAAGGAAUUUUGAAGAUAAAUAUAAUUCCAUUCAGAAAGUUAAAUGGAAUAGCAUUGUAGAUUUUUGUUUAUUGUUUAAGGGCCAAUGUGUACAGAAUGCAUAACAGGUAGUAGAUCUCUUCAAAUCCUCGUAUUAUUUUCAUUAUUUUUCAUUUUUUUUUUUGGACUGCUAGCAUAACCUUAACUCUGACGAAUGCAAAGUAAUAUCUCCAAAAAAAAAAUUGUUUAUCUCGAAAAGAAAAGAAUAAAAAUGUUCAAACUUCCUUACAGCUCUAGUUGUUGGUCCCUUAAUACUUGUCCCUCACAACCAGCCAAACUUUCUUUGAUAACCGUCGUGUUUGGGCCAGCUUGCACCUUGACUAGUUACACCAGGUACUGCUACCUCCCACCAGCAUAGAUACUGGGUAACUCUAUCCAUCAAGGCUUGGACAGACGGUAAGAAAUCACCUAGUGCUUUUAUCUCUGUUGGAAAUUAAACCUGAGACCUCAUGGUUCUCAAUCUACUUCAUUGACAACUAGGUCACACUCUUGGGUGCAAGUAUGCAACCAGCCAAACUAUUAUUCUGUAAACCAGAAUGAGAAGUGUGAACCGCAAUAUUAUAUCAAGUUUACUCUCUCCAUAUCGCCAUAGAGUUACAAUAACAUUACAUUAAUCAGAAAGUAAAUAAAAUUGUUUAAAAUAGACCAAAUAUAAUCCUGCCGUGUAUACUUAAACACAUUUUUUAGAACAAUAGUGUUAAAUAUAAAAUCUUUUAGAACUAUAUUGGAAAUAAAAAGCCAAUACAAAUCCUAAAUGAAGCCUACAUAGUAUAGUAAGAUCGAGGAAAUCUGCUCGCUAAACAAACUUUCAACAGAAAUCACAUAUACUUAGGAAAGAAAAAGUGGUUCUACGAAGCUUCAUAGAAAAAGAAUUGUGUACUUCUUUUUUCAUUGAUACGCACAGGAAACUGGAUAAAACUACCCAUGAAAAUCUCGAUGACACGAGACCUCACCUCCAUUUCUGUCAUCAGCUCUCGAGGUUUCUCCCAGGUAGAGAUUCUUGUCCUUCUAUUAUAAUAGUAUCUAAAAAUCAAUUCAAGAAUUGUGAAUGUUAUUUUAAUUGGUUGGAGUAAUAAAGCAAUAGGAGUCAGGUAGAAUUUGGUAGCGGUGAACGGCAGCCCAUAUGAUAACUUUGACAAAGAGGACUGAAACAAAGGGGCCUAUUAUCUCCAGUGCUAAUGGAAGCAAAAUGAUGUACAAAGCACUAGAUGUGGAUACUUGAGGGAUUUAUUGGCAGUGAUGGGGGCCAACAUAUCCACCACUUGUUCAUAGACAUGACAUUAAGUGUUUGUGAUGUAGACAUUAACCUAUUCAUACGAGUAACCUAUGUGAAUAUAAUCCAAAAGCAAGAAUUCUGGAAAGCCAAAUCGGCAUGCUCUUUCUUCUGUCUGGAGAACACAAAGUGGUAAAAAGAUUGGAUCUGAAUGAAGAUGAUAUUUUUGCAGAGCUCCUUUUCUUGUAUACCGUGGUUUUACACCUUUUUUGUUCACUGGAAUCUUAAUUUUCUUACAAAAAACUAUCAUAGAAUUCAAAUGUUGACUCUCUCAGUCAACACAGACCCAUUAACCCAUUAACUUAAGCAUACUUGUUGACAAUAUUUAUGCAAAAUGGGUACAAUAAAACACAUUGAAUUCUCACCAGAACAACCAAGGGAGCUGCUAAUUCUCCAGUCUUCUGCAUAGUUGUCGCAAAAUUCACAUUAUGAUUACUUAUUGGCAUCCAGGGUUGUACCCCUGAUGGAAACCUAUGAUUAUUUAUCUGUGUCUGAUACUGGGAGCCAGAAGAAUCUGCAUUUACCUGCUGUUAAAGACGAUAACAAAAUGUAUUUCAUCAAUAUAUGAAUGAAACAUCGAAAACUGAUUGACUAUAACCACAAAAGAUCUUCCCAAGGUCUUACAUUAUAUGAUGAAGAAAGAGGUAAAUUUGGCCCACCAGAACCAAGCAUGUGGUUAUUUGACAUCGGAAGAUUUUGCUGAAAAUCAUGGGGAAUAGGUGGUCCCUGAGGCAUACUAUACAUUCCUACUACAGGGAUACCAGUAACCUGUUGCAUAGGUUGAGGAAAUUGGAUUUGAGAAGGUUGAGACAUCGCAACAUUUGCAUGUCCAAGUGGCAGAAAUUGUUGAGAUGGCCCGGAACCAUAAGGUUGUGCCUGCUGGACUGGAAGCAUAGGCUGGAACUGCUAAAGAUGUGGGGAAAAUAGUUAUCAUAAUGUCUCUACAUUCAAAAGUCAUUUAUCCCUCCCCCAAGCCUCCACAACUUUACCUGCAGUGACAUGGAUGG